CGAAAAAAGACAAAAGCAUUAGAAGAAAAUGUCUUUAGUAACAUCCGUUACCUGCGUCUGUGACAAGGUGACCACAGCUGUAUGUACUGAGGUGGGUGACAGCGAAGGGCAUGCACAUUCACUGGAAGGUCUUGGAGACAGUGCAGUGAUAAGACAGACAACAGGAGGUCUCGCAGACAAUGCAGUGAUAAGACAGACAACAGGAGGUUUCGUAGACAGUCCGGUGAUAAGACAGACAACAGGAGGUCUGGCAGACAGUGCAGUGAUGAGGACACACAACACGAGGUCUCGCAGACAGUGCAGUGAUGAGGACACACAACAGGAGGUCUCCCAGACAGUGCAGUAAUAAGAAUACACAGGAGAGAUUGACAAGAUAGAGGCGGGGCUAUACUGGUGGGGUUAUAAUGCAUGGGUUAUUGAGGAUGUGGUUAUUAGAGGAGAUAGAGAAGGAGUUUAUAAAGCAUUUGGUUCCGUGGUAGAAUGAAUGCAGAGAGGGCCCUGGUGCAAGAAAUUAGUUUGGUCCCCCUUUAGUGCAAGAGUGGCCAAAAGGUAGAUUCCCAUCUGCCAUAUGACACCCACAAUGCUAUGCCAGUUGGGAAGAGACAGAGUUAAUGGCCAAUAGGGUGAUAGACAGAAAAAGAUAAUGGCCAAUAGGAUAAUAGGUAAACAGUGUUAAUGGCCAAUAGGGUGAUAGGCAGACAACAUUAAUGGGCAAUAGGGUGAUAGACAGACUAUGUUAAUGGCCAAAAGGGUGAUAGACAGACUAUGUUUAUGGCCAAUAGGGUGAUAGACAGACAACAUUAAUGGACAACAGGGUGAUAGACAGACAGCAUUAAUGGACAAUAGGUGAUAGACAGACAGCAUUAAUGGCCAAUAGGGUGAUAGACAGACAGAGAUGAUGGCCAGUAAGUUGAUAGACAGACAGAGAUGAUGGCCAGUAGGGUGAUAGACGCAGAUAAUGGCCAGUAGGGUGAUAGAUAGAAAGAGUUGAUGGCCAGUAGGGUGAUAGACAGACAGAGAUGAUGAUCAGUAGGGUGAUAGACAGACAGAGAUAAUGGCCAAUAGGGUGAUAGACACAGAUAAUGGCCAAUAGGGUGAUAGACAGACAGAGAUAAUGGCCAAUAGGGUGAUAGACACAGAUAAUGGCCAAUAGGGUGAUAGACAGACAGAGAUGAUGGUCAGUAGAGUGAUGGGUGAUAGACAGACAGCGAUAAUGGCCAAUAGGGUAAUAGACACAGAUGAUGGCCAGUAGACAGACAGAGAUGAUGGCCAGUAGGGUGAUAGACAAAUAGAGAUAAUGGCCAAUAGGGUGAUAGACAGUCAAAGUGAAUGACCAAUAGGGUGAUAGACACAGAUAAUGGCCAGUAGGGUGAUAGAUAGACAGAGAUGAUGGCCAGUAGGGUGAUAGACACAUUAAUGGCAAAUAGGGUAAUAGACACAGAUAAUGGCCAGUAGGGUGAUUGACGAACAGAGAUAAUGGCCAAUAGGGUGAUAGACACAGAUAAUGGCCAGUAGACAGACAGAGAUGAUGGCCAGUAGGGUGAUAGUCAGACAGAGAUGAUGGCCAGUAGGGUGAUAGACAGACAGAGUGAAUAGGGUGAUAGGGUAAGGGAAAUUGGGUUAUACCAUAAUUUACAAGAGAGAUUGUGAAUUAAAAGUUUGUUUAUUGAUUAAAAUCAACUAAAUAUGUUUUAUUUCUUGUGUUUUCCCUUACAAACAUUUACACUCAAGAGCAUUAAAGCCCUCUUCACACAGGUCACUCCUGUUUAGCAAUAAAAAGUAUACUUCUAACAUAGCAAGAUAGAGAUAACAAUAUAAUAUAUAGGUAAUACCUAGUUAUCCUCAUAAUUGGGAGAUACAUAACUAUCUACAAUAAUGGAUAUCUCUGGUACAUCUUCACCUAUACUGCAUCUUCACCUUUACUGCAUCUUCACCUAUACUGCAUCUUCACCUUUACUACAUCUUCACCUUUACUGCAUCUUCACCUCUACUGCAUCUUCACCUAUACUGCAUCUUCACCGUUACUGCAUCUUCACCUUUACUGCAUCUUCACCUUUACUGCAUCUUCACCGUUACUGCAUCUUCACCUAUACUGCAUCUUCACCUUUACUGCAUCUUCACCUUUACUGCAUCUUCACCUAUACUGCAUCUUCACCUUUACUACAUCUUCACCUAUACUGCAUCUUCACCUUUACUACAUCUUCACCUUUACUACAUCUUCACCUUUACUGCAUCUUCACCUUUACUUCAUCUUCACCUAUACUGCAUCUUCACCUUUACUGCAUCUUCACCUUUACUGCAUCUUCACCUUUACUGCAUCUUCACCUUUACUACAUCUUCACCUUUACUACAUCUUCACCUUUACUGCAUCUUCACCUUUACUGCAUCUUCACCUAUACUGCAUCUUCACCUUUACUGCAUCUUCACCUUUACUGCAUCUUCACCUAUACUGCAUCUUCACCUUUACUGCAUCUUCACCUUUACUGCAUCUUCACCUAUACUGCAUCUUCACCUUUACUGCAUCUUCACCUUUACUGCAUCUUCACCUUUACUGCAUCUUCACCUAUACUGCAUCUUCACCUUUACUGCAUCUUCACCUUUACUGCAUCUUCACCUAUACUGCAUCUUCACCUAUACUGCAUCUUCACCUUUACUACAUCUUCACCUAUACUGCAUCUUCACCUAUACUGCAUCUUCACCUUUACUACAUCUUCACCUUUACUACAUCUUCACCUUUACUGCAUCUUCACCUUUACUUCAUCUUCACCUAUACUGCAUCUUCACCUUUACUGCAUCUUCACCUUUACUACAUCUUCACCUAUACUGCAUCUUCACCUUUACUGCAUCUUCACCUAUACUGCAUCUUCACCUUUACUGCAUCUUCACCUUUACUGCAUCUUCACCUUUACUACAUCUUCACCUUUACUGCAUCUUCACCUUUACUGCAUCUUCACCUAUACUGCAUCUUCACCUUUACUGCAUCUUCACCUUUACUGCAUCUUCACCUAUACUGCAUCUUCACCUAUACUGCAUCUUCACCUUUACUGCAUCUUCACCUUUACUGCAUCUUCACCUUUACUGCAUCUUCACCUUUACUGCAUCUUCACCUAUACUGCAUCUUCACCUUUACUGCAUCUUCACCUUUACUGCAUCUUCACCUAUACUGCAUCUUCACCUUUACUGCAUCUUCACCUUUACUGCAUCUUCACCUUUACUGCAUCUUCACCUAUACUGCAUCUUCACCUUUACUGCAUCUUCACCUUUACUGCAUCUUCACCUAUACUGCAUCUUCACCUUUACUGCAUCUUCACCUUUACUACAUCUUCACCUAUACUGCAUCUUCACCUUUACCUUCACCUAUAUUACAACUUCACCUAUACUGCAUCUUCACCUUUACCUUCACCUAUACUACAACUUCACCUAUACUGCAUCUUCACCUAUACUACAUCAUCACCUUUACUACAUCUCCACUUUUACUUGAAAAUUACUCCAUGUGUGUAUCACACCCUGAUACAUACACACCUUGACACCCAGAUACACACUGACAUAUACACUCACACACUGGCACAUGCAUACAGUCUGAUACACACAGUUUGACACAGGUACACACACCUUGACACAUAUACACACACCUUGACACAGACACACAUCUUGACACAGAUUCACACACCUUGACACAGGUACACACACCUUGACACAUAUACACACACCUUGACACAGACACACAUCUUGACACAGAUACACACAUCUUGACAUAUACACACCUUGACACAGGUACACAUACCUUGACACAGAUACACACCUUGACACAUAUACAAACACCUUGACACAUACGCACACCUUGACUCAGAUACACACACCUUGACACAUACACACCUUGACACCGGUACACACACCUUGACACAUUGUGAUAAAGUGAAUGCAGAUAGGCCUUUUAACCCCAGGGGGAGUAUGUGUAGUUUGUGUGUGUUACACAAAGCAUUGUUUAGUUAUGGGCCCCUGGGGUGGAGCAUUUGGAGAGAAGGGUGGGCCAAUGCUCCACUCCACAGUUUAGUGGUUUUCUGGGGAGACAUAGAUCCAGGCCAGGGUUUUUUGGACCGUCUCCAACCCACUGCUCAGCUGCAGUUAAUGAGCUAUUGCAGUGGGAAUAAACCCCUCCCUGCUAGGCAGGUGAAAGAGAGGGAUUGCUGGCUUCCUCCCAGGAAGCAGGUAGGAGAGAGAGGCUGUUCUCUCCAGAUAGAGUCAAGGAGACUAGGCACUUGGAGUGCAGAAAGGAAGCAGUCAGGGCAAGGCUGGCUUGGAGCACUGGGAGUGCAGAAAACAAAGCAGUCAGGGCAAGGCUGGCUUGGAGCACUGGGAGUGCAGAAAGGAAAGCAACAGGCUAGCUAGGAAAGCAACAGGCUAGCUGGUGCAAUAUUGUUUUGUUUAGUUUAACCCUGAGAGAUAGGGAACCUAACGUCAGUUAGUGCUCAGACGAGCUAGGUUUUUGUUUAUAGGGUUUUCUGUUAUAUUUAUGUUUUAAUUUACUGCUGUAUCCUGUGUGGAUUUUCAAAUAAAGUGCCUGGAGUAUAUGCAAUUACAAGGACUGUGCAUGUUUUUGCCCUAGAGGACCGUGCUACCUGCUGACAAGGAUCACAACAUAUAUACACCUUGACACAGAUACACACACCUUUACACAGGUACACACACCUUGACACGUGUACACCUUGACACAAGUACACGCACCUUGACACAUACACACCUUGGCACAGGUACACACACCUUGACACAGAUACACACACCUUGACACAGGUACACACACCUUGACACAUACACACCUUGGCACAGGUACACACACCUUGACACAGAUACACACACCUUGACACAUAUAGACCUAGACACAGGUACAAACACCUUGACACAUAUAGACCUAGACACAGGUACACACACCUUGACACAGGUACACACACAUUGACACAGAUACACACACCUUGACACAUACGCACACCUUGACUCAGAUACACACACCUUGACACAUACACACCUUGACACAGGUACACACACCUUGACACAGAUACACACUCCUUGAAACACAUACACACCUUGACACAGGUACACACACCUUGACACAUAUACACCUUGAAAUAGGUACACACACCUUGACACAUAUACACCUUGACACAGGUACACACACCUUGACACAUAUACACAUUGACACAGCUACACACACCUUGACACAGGUACACACACCUUGACACUGAUACACCACCUUGACAGAAAGAUACACAAUUUGACACACACAUAGAUACAUACAUGUCAUAAUUGUUAUAUUUGCAGCCACCCUCUUGAUAGCAUACCUUUAGUAUGCAGGAGGUGGCUUGCUUGGGGACCUGCUGCUGCUGGUUGAGGCUGAUGGGAGCGAGUAUGGGGUCUGCAGAAGCUCACUCCCCUGGUUUAUUAUGAAUGGGUAAAUAUGAAUGGGUUAUUACAGAUGUGGUUAUUAUGAAUGGGUUAUUACAGGUGUGGUUAUUAUGUAUGGGUUAUUAUGAGUGUGGUUAUUAUGAAUGGGUUAUUACAGGUGUGGUUAUUAUGUAUGGGUUAUUAUGAGUGUGGUUAUUAUGAAUGAGUUUUUACAGAUGUUGUUAUUAUGAAUGGGUUAUUACAGGUGUGGUUAUUAUGUAUGGGUUAUUAUGAGUGUGGUUAUUAUGAAUGAGUUUUUACAGAUGUUGUUAUUAUGAAUGGGUUAUUACAGGCGUGGUUAUUAUGUAUGGAUUUUUACAGAUGUGGUUUUUAUGAAUAGGUAAUUAUGACUGUGGUUGUUAUGAAUGGAUUAUUGUGAGUGUGGUUAUUAUGAAUGGGUUUUUACAGAUGUGAUGGUUAUUAUGAAUGGGUUAUUACCGGUGUAGUUAUUAUAGAUGGGUUAUUAUUGGUGAGGUAAUUAUAAAUAGGUUAUAAUGACUGGGUUAUUAUGAGUGUUGUUAUUAUGGCUUGGUUUUUCCAGAUUUGGUUAUUAUGGGUGAGGUUAUUAUGAAUGGGUUUUUACAUAUGUGGUUGUUAUGAAUGGGUUAUCAUGGAUAGGUUAUUAUGUAUAGAUUAUUACGGGUGUGUUUAUUAUGGAUUGGUUAUUAUGUAUGGUUUAUUACAGGUGUGGUUAUUAUGUAUGGGUUUUUACGGGUGUGGUUAUUAUGGAUUGGUUAUUAUGUAUGGUUUAUUACGGGUGUGGUUAUUAUGGAUUGGUUAUUAUGUAUAGAUUAUUACGGGUGUGUUUAUUAUGGAUUGGUUAUUAUGUAUGGUUUAUUACAGGGGUGGUUAUUAUGUAUGGGUUAUUACUGGUGAGGUUAUUAUGGAUUGGUUAUUAUGUAUGGGUUAUUACAGGUGUGGUUAUCAUGGAUUGGUUAUUAUGUAUGGUUUAUUACGGGUGUGGUUAUCAUGGAUUGGUUAUUAUGUAUGGUUUAUUACAGGGGUGGUUAUUAUGUAUGGGUUAUUACUGGUGUGGUUAUUAUGGGUGUGGUUAUCAUGGACAGUUUAUUACAGGUGUAGUUAUUAUUACACCCAUAAUAACUCCUCCAUAAUAAUCAUGAUUAUUAUGGGUGUGAUUAUUAUGGAGGAGUUAUUAUGGGUGUGGUUAUUAAUGGUGUAGUUAUUAUGGAGGAGUUAUUAUGGGUGUGUUUAUUAUUGGUGUGAUUAUUAUGGAGGAGUUAUUAUGGAUGUGGUUAUUAUAGAGGAGUUAUUAUGGGUGUGGUUAUUAUAGAGGAGUUAUUAUGGGUGUGUUUAUUAUUGGUGUGAUUAUUAUGGAGGAGUUAUUAUUGGUGUGGUUAUUAUAGAGGAGUUAUUAUGGGUGUGGUUAUUAUUGGUGUGAUUAUUAUGGAGGAGUUAUUAUGGGUGUGGUUAUUAUUGGUGUGAUUAUUAUGGAGGAGUUAUUAUGGGUGUGGUUAUUACUGGUGUGAUUAUUAUGGAGGAGUUAUUAUGGGUGUGGUUAUUAUUGGUGUGAUUAUUAUGGAGGAGUUAUUAUGGGUGUGGUUAUUAUUGGUGUGAUUAUUAUGGAGGAGUUAUUAUGGGUGUGGUUAUUAUUGGUGUGAUUAUUAUGGAGGAGUUAUUAUGGGUGUGGUUAUUAUUGGUGUGAUUAUUAUGGAGGAGUUAUUAUGGGUGUGGUUAUUAUUGGUGUGAUUAUUAUGGAGGAGUUAUUAUGGGUGUGGUUAUUAUUGGUGUGAUUAUUAUGGAGGAGUUAUUAUGGGUGUGGUUAUUAUUGGUGUGAUUAUUAUGGAGGAGUUAUUAUGGGUGUGGUUAUUAUUGGUGUGAUUAUUAUGGAGGAGUUAUUAUGGGUGUGGUUAUUAUUGGUGUGAUUAUUAUGGAGGAGUUAUUAUGGGUGUGGUUAUUACUGGUGUGAUUAUUAUGGAGGAGUUAUUAUGGAGGAGUUAUUAUGGGUGUGAUUAUUAUGGAGGAGUUAUUAUGGAGGAGUUAUUAUGGGUGUGGUUAUUAUGGAGGAGUUAUUAUGGGUGUGAUUAUUAUGGAGGAGUUAUUAUGGAGGAGUUAUUAUGGAGGAGUUAUUAUGGGUGUGGUAAUUACUGAUGUGAUUAUUAUGGAGGAGUUAUUAUGGGUGUGGUUAUUAUUGGUGUGAUUAUUAUGGAGGAGUUAUUAUGGGUGUGGUAAUUACUGAUGUGAUUAUUAUGGAGGAGUUAUUAUGGGUGUGGUAAUUACUGAUGUGAUUAUUAUGGAGGAGUUAUUAUGGGUGNNNNNNNNNNNNNNNNNNNNNNNNNNNNNNNNNNNNNNNNNNNNNNNNNNNNNNNNNNNNNNNNNNNNNNNNNNNNNNNNNNNNNNNNNNNNNNNNNNNNCAAGCCCGGUUCAGUGAUCUCUUGGAGUGGAGGGAGAGCAGGUAUGACUGGGACGACACUCACGAAAUUGAGUGACCCUAGUGACCCGAGAGAUGGAGCUGGAGCAGGGCUACCAAGAUCUGUUCCACUCCAGUGAGAAGGCUCAGCAGGGAAGCGGAGACCCAGAUCCAGACCCAUUCAGCUGGUUAGAUAUUGCGGAGGAUUACUGGGAAGAACCCCAGGUGGCGGGUGGAGAUGGGACAGAGGUCUCUCCACCGGUAUUGCAGGGAAUUGGGAGCCCGAGCUCCAUUCCCAAGCGGGAGAUAUUGCAGGGAAUUGGGAGCCUGAGCUCCAUUCCCCAGCGGGAGAUAUUGCAGGGAAUUGGGAGCCCAAGCUCCAUUCCCCAGCGGCAGGCUGAGUUACAGGAAGCAGAGACAAGUGGUCCUGUUCCCCAGCAGCAGUGUACCUUGCAGGGAGAGGAGAGCAGCGUCCUCCCUCCCCAGUGGCAGGGUGAGCUACAGGGAUGCUGGGCAGUCGGCUCAGAUCCCCAGCGGCAGUGUGAUCUAUUGGGAAUUGGGAGCCCAGGCUCCAUUCCCCAGCGGCAGUGUAAUUUAUUGGGAAUUGGGAGCCCAGUCUCCAUUCCAAAGUGGCAGUACGAUUUGUUGGGAAUUGGGAGCCAAGUCUCCAUUCCCCAGCGGCAGAGUGUCCUACCGGGAAUAGAGAGCCCAGUCUCCUUUCCCCAGCAGCAGGACUCUGUAUUGGGAGCAGAGACAGUCGGACUCCUUCCCCCGCGGCUGGAAGUAUGUAUGGGAGAGGAGCUUGUUACCCCCUCUCCCCAGCGGCAGCUUAAUGUACCAGGGGGAGACAGUAAGCCCCACAACUGUGCAGAUGGAACAGUGGUCUCUGCUCUUACAGCACAGGGGGUAGGGACGGUCGGUUCUGCCCCCCAGCAACAGCGCUGUUUAGCCAAAGGGGAGACAGUCGGUCUCCAGCAGCAGGGCUGUGUAUCUAAAGGGGAGACAGUCGGUCUCCAGCAGCAGGGCUGUGUAUCUAAAGGGGAGACAGUCGGUCUCCCCAUCCAACAACCAGGCUUCAACCAGGCUACCUUCCCAGUAGCGCUGGCACCAGGGCAGAGUACCGCUGGUCUCUGUCCACUCAGCAACCCACCAAGUCAGCGUACCCGUACCCAGCACAGCCGUGGUGAGGCACCUGGACAUGGACAAGCUUCUCCUCUACCCAGGUGUAGUAACCAUUUAUUGUGGGUGGGCUGUGCUGUUGAUUGUGUUUUGUGGGUGGGCUGCUGGACUAACAAGGGCACUGACCGGCAGGAGGUCAGAUACCCUGUUAGUCUGUUUGGAAAAGGGGAGAGAUGUGACGAGACCAAUCUCGCCACAUUGCAUUGGAGAAGCCUGGUUGCUCGCCUGGUUGCUCGCCUGCUGCCUUUGGACUAUGGCCCCAUGUUAAAAGACAUCUUUUUUCACUGCAGAAAAGACGUAUUCGUGCUUUUCUGCCUGGUGUUCGGUAGAUUCAAUCUACCGAACAACCGCACGAAUGACUGGACCACCUGGGAGCUGGAGUGUGCCGGCAAUUAGCCUCCCUGAAGCUGCAGUUAACCGCAGCUUAAUUGACGAAUGCAGGGUGGCCGCCAUUCGUAUCACGAACACGAGGUCGCAGCCAUUUUAAACAUGCGAACGCACAGCGGUGUUCGAUGCUUAAUUCAUGGAACUAAAAUCGGACACAGUUUUGCGCGAAUACCGCUGAAGCCGCCGACCUCCCUUAUUGUUCGGUGAAAGGGCACGAACGGCCCGGUGUUCGGUAGUUUUACUUGAAAUGUUAUACCCCAGAUAGGAAUCCCAUGGAGCCCAUUCGCAUGAGAACUGACUGUGUAAAGACUUUGGCUCCAUGGCGAUUAAACUGUAUUCGUGUGGUCUGAGCGCCAUUCGCUUAAUAGUGUGUGCUCAGACCUGAGCUAUCUGGGGACAUGUUAAAUGUAUAGUUUUAUUGUAAUGUGUCUUACAUAGUGUAUUUUAACAGUAAUUCUUGUUUUAGUAUCCCCACGUGCAUAAUGGCGAUUUGCCUUUGUCUUGGGAGAUAAUUUAAUUACUUCUCAAUUAUCUCCAAGGCAGAGGGGAGGAAGCCAGGAUGCAUUGUGGGAAUAUAAUGUGACUGUGUGUCCUAUUUGUCUACUUGUCUGUCUUUUGUCACAGUGGGAGACCUGCAUAAAUACUGGGCAGGUAGCCCUCAUUAAACAGACCACUGUUUGACCCUCAACACGGAGCCUUGUCUCGUCUUUGGGGGGAUUUACUGAAUGCUGAUAGAGACUGAUUGCUAGGAGUGUAAGCCGCUUGGGUGCUUUUCCUAUUCGUCUGCUAGCAGCUAUUCGUAUGGUUCCAGUUCGUGAGUUUGGAGUGUUAUAUCGUAUGCCGUUCGGGAGUUUGGAGCAUUCCCUUACAUGCGGUUCAUGAGUUUGGUGUUCUACAGUAGCUGUGCCUGCAUCUCUGAAAGGGGACGAUAGCCUAAACGGUUUUACCCCUUUUGUGCAAAACGGUCCGUUACAGUGAUAUUUUGUGUAAUUGAAGCUCCCAUAAGAGACCAGCCGCACAACCUGAAAUCCAUGGAACUACUCUGGGCAGAUGCCUCAUGUAAGGUCGGUCAGAAAUAAGACUUCCAUAAAACUCCCAAACCCCUGAAACGAUCUGGGUGAUUUUCGGAUAUGUUUCUCACCCAGAUCGGGGGUAUCAGGGAAUAUACUUUUUUAUGGGGUUUAUUUGAGUUUUUGGGGUACUUUUGUGUUGUCUGUAAAUUAUGUUCUUUUUCGCCUGGAGAUAGUUGAGUUGAUACAGUAAUUGACUCAAUUAUCUCCCAGGCACAGGGGAGGGAUUGUAUGCCAUGUGUGGGAGUGUCAUACAGUUUAACCCUACUAUUAUUGGUCUGUAAUUCUAUAUUGUAGUACCCCACAAGGUCCAUGUUGGAGUGCCUCUUGCAUGGGGAAUUGCAUAAAAGGCCAGUGUGGCUACCAUUAAACCAGUUCACUUAACCCUUAACAUGCAGCCUUGUAUCGUUAUUGUAGGGAACCGCUAUACUGCUAUAACCACUCGCUCUUAUAAGAGCUCUACAGCUAUAUUGUAUUCAUGGUCUGCUUGGAUAUCAACUGGAGAAUACUGCAGCGCUACUCAGACUAGGGGGAAAGNNNNNNNNNNNNNNNNNNNNNNNNNNNNNNNNNNNNNNNNNNNNNNNNNNNNNNNNNNNNNNNNNNNNNNNNNNNNNNNNNNNNNNNNNNNNNNNNNNNNGUAGUUUGUUUGUAAUUACCAGUUUUAUCACUAUUUUAUUAGUAGUGGCUAACAGCUGGUUUUUUUGGAAGUUAUCUGUGUCUAAUACGGCUGGGCACUCAGUCAGUCAUUAGCUGGGAACACUGUUAGUCAUUAGCUGGGCACACUCUGUCAGUCAUUAGCUGGGCACACUCUGUCAGUCAUUAGCUGGGCACACUCUGCCAGUCAUAAACUGGGCACACUUUUUCAGUCAUUGGCUGGGAACACUGUCAGUCAAUAGCUGGGCAGAAUGUUAGUCAUUAGCUGGGCCCACUCUGUCAGUCAUUGGCUGGGAACACUGUCAGUCAUUGGCUGGGCACUCUGUCAGUCAUUAGCUGGGCACUCUGUCAGUAAUUAGCUGGGCACACUCUGUCAGUCAUUGGCUGGGAACACUGUCAGUCAUUGGCUGGGCACUCUGUCAGUCAUUAGCUGGGCACUCUCUCAGUAAUUAGCUGGGCACACUCUGCCAGUCAUUAGCUGGGCACACUCUGCCAGUCAUAAACUGGGCACACUUUUUCAGUCAUUGGCUGGGAACACUGUCAGUCAAUAGCUGGGCAGAAUGUUAGUCAUUAGCUGGGCCCACUCUGUCAGUCAUUGGCUGGGAACACUGUCAGUCAUUGGCUGGGCACUCUGUCAGUCAUUAGCUGGGCACUCUGUCAGUAAUUAGCUGGGCACACUCUGUCAGUCAUUGGCUGGGAACACUGUCAGUCAUUGGCUGGGCACUCUGUCAGUCAUUAGCUGGGCACUCUCUCAGUAAUUAGCUGGGCACACUCUGCCAGUCAUUAGCUGGGCACACUCUGCCAGUCAUAAACUGGGCACACUUUUUCAGUCAUUGGCUGGGAACACUGUUAGUCAAUAGCUGGGCAGAAUGUUAGUCAUUAGCUGGGCCCACACUGUCAGUCAUUAGCUGGGCACACACUGUCAGUCAUUGGCUGGGAACACUGUCAGUCAUUGGCUGGGCACUCUGUCAGUCAUUAGCUGGGCACUCUGUCAGUCAUUGGCUGGGAACACUGUCAGUCAUUGGCUGGGCACUCUGUCAGUCAUUAGCUGGGCACUCUGUCAGUCAUUGGCUGGGAACACUGUCAGUCAUUGGCUGGGCACUCUGUCAGUCAUUAGCUGGGCACUCUCUCAGUAAUUAGCUGGGCACACUCUGCCAGUCAUUAGCUGGGCACACUCUGCCAGUCAUAAACUGGGCACACUUUUUCAGUCAUUGGCUGGGAACACUGUUAGUCAAUAGCUGGGCAGAAUGUUAGUCAUUAGCUGGGCCCACACUGUCAGUCAUUAGCUGGGCACACACUGUCAGUGAUUAACUGGGCACACUCUGUCAGUCAUUAGCUGGGCACACUCUGCCAGUCAUAAACUGGGCACACUUUUUCAGUCAUUGGCUGGGAACACUGUCAGUCAAUAGCUGGGCAGAAUGUUAGUCAUUAGCUGGGCCCACUCUGUCAGUCAUUGGCUGGGAACACUGUCAGUCAUUGGCUGGGCACUCUGUCAGUCAUUAGCUGGGCACUCUGUCAGUAAUUAGCUGGGCACACUCUGUCAGUCAUUGGCUGGGAACACUGUCAGUCAUUGGCUGGGCACUCUGUCAGUCAUUAGCUGGGCACUCUCUCAGUAAUUAGCUGGGCACACUCUGCCAGUCAUUAGCUGGGCACACUCUGCCAGUCAUAAACUGGGCACACUUUUUCAGUCAUUGGCUGGGAACACUGUUAGUCAAUAGCUGGGCAGAAUGUUAGUCAUUAGCUGGGCCCACACUGUCAGUCAUUAGCUGGGCACACACUGUCAGUGAUUAACUGGGCACACUCUGUCAGUCAUUAGCUGGGCACACUCUGCCAGUCAUAAACUGGGCACACUUUUUCAGUCAUUGGCUGGAAACACUCAGUCAAUAGCUGGGCAGAAUGUUAGUCAUUAGCUGGGCCCACACUGUCAGUCAUUAGCUGGGCACACACUGUCAGUGAUUAGCUGGACACACACUGUCAGUCAUUAGCUGGGCACUCUGUCAGUCAUUGGCUGGGCACACACUGUCAGUCAUUAGCUGGGCACACUCUGUCAGUAAUUAGCUGGGCACACUUUAUUAGUCGUUAGCUGGGCACACUCUGUCAGUCAUUAGCUGGGCACACUCUGUCAGUGAUUAGCUGGGCACUCUGUCAGUCAUUAGCUGGGCACACUCUGCCAGUCAUUGGCUGGGCACACUCUGUCAGUGAUUAGCUGGGCACACACUGUCAGUGAUUAGCUGGGCACACACUGUCAGUGAUUAGCUGGGCACACUGUCAGUCAUUAGCUGGGCACACACUGUCAGUCAUUAGCUGGGCACACUGUCAGUCAUUGGCUGGGCACUCUGUUAGUUGUUAGCUGGGCACACUCUAUCCGUCAAUAUAUAAUGGAUUAUCUUUAUCACUCCAGUGCAGUUGCCCUUUUUCCUUCAUUCUGGAUCUGUCAUUGAUUUCUGUUUGUCGAUGUGUCUUUGAUUGUAGCGUUGAUUAAGCCACAAGUCAAUACAAUGGUGGUAUUCUUAGGAAUGUUCAAUUCAUACAGAGCUAAAGGUAGCCCAGUAACACGUGGGGUUCUCUCCGAAACGUAGCAUUCAUUAAUACCCACGCACAUUGUGCAAUAUUACAAUGAUUUUUCAUGAUACUUAGAGACUAAAUAUGGCAGAACCUGCAUUGAUUCAGACGGUUGAGUAAUUCCGAACAUAAGUGGAUAAGAGCAAACUUUUCUUUCUAAGUAUCUCAUGUUAACAUUCAGAUUUGAUAACCAUCACGUUUUGUAAGAUAGCAUGGCGGCAGAGGCCUGAACUCGCACGCCAUGUUUCCAGGAGACUCACUGUUCUUGUUUUAUGUUUCGUGCGAAAGGUUCAAUGAUUGACGGCUUGAUACGUUCCUGCUGUCUGGGGGCUUUGUGUAAAUAUUUAGAGUAGGAAUCAUCAUACACAGCCACACUACCACAAUGCUCUACAGAAUACUCCGCACAAUACUCCACACAAUGAUCUGCACAAUACACUACACAAUACUCUACACUAUACUCUGCACAAUACUCUACACAAUACUCCGCACAAUACUCCACACAAUACUCCACACAAUACUCCCCACAAUACUCCACACAAUGAUCUGCACAAUACUCCACACAAUGAUCUGCACAAUACACUACACAAUACUCUACACUAUACUCUGCACAAUACUCUACACAAUACUCCGCACAAUACUCCACACAAUACUCCACACAAUACUCCACACAAUGAAUUGCACAAUACACUACACAAUACUCUACACUAUACUCUGCACAAUACUCUACACAAUACUCCGCACAAUACUCCACACGAUACUCCACACAAUACUCCCCACAAUACUCCACACAAUGAUCUGCACAAUACACUACACAAUACUCUACACUAUACUCUGCACAAUACUCUACACAAUACUCCGCACAAUACUCCACACAAUACUCCACACAAUACUCCCCACAAUACUCCACACAAUGAAUUGCACAAUACACUACACAAUACUCUACACUAUACUCUGCACAAUACUCUACACAAUACUCCGCACAAUACUCCACACAAUACUCCCCACAAUACUCCACACAAUGAUCUGCACAAUACUCCACACAAUGAUCUGCACAAUACACUACACAAUACUCUACACAAUACUCUGCACAAUACUCCACACAAUACUCUGCACAAUACUCUACACAAUACUCCGCACAAUACUCUGCACUAUACUCCGCACAAUACUGUGCACAAUACUCCACACAAUGAUCUGCACAAUACACUGCACAAUACUCUGCACAAUACUCUACACAAUACUCUGCACAAUACUCCACACAAUGAUCUGCACAAUACUCCACACAAUACUCUACACUCUACUCCACACAAUACUCUGCACAAUACUCUGCACAAUACUCCACACAAUACUCUGCACCAUGCUCCACACAAUACUCUACACAAUACUCCACAAAAUACUCUCCGCACAAUGCUCCACACACUACUCUGCACAAUAUCCUACACAAUACUCUACACAAUACUCUGCACAAUGCUCCGCACACCACUCUGCACAAUACUUUACACAAUACUCCGCACAAUACUCUACACAAUACUCCGCACAAUACUCCGCACAAUGCUCCAAACAAUAAUCUGCACAAUACUCUUCACAAUACUCCGCACAAUGAUCUGCACAAUACACUACACAAUACUCUGCACAAUACUCUACACAAUACUCCGCACAAUACUCUGCACAAUACUCAGCACAAUACUCCACACAAUACUCCACACAAUGAUCUGCAAAAUAGACUACACAAUACUCUGCACAAUACUCUACAAAAUACUCCGCACAAUUCUCCACACACUACUCCACACACUACUCCACACAAUACUCCACAUAAUACUCUGCACAAUACUCUACACAAUACUCCGCACAAUACUAUACACAAUACUCUGCACAAUACUCUACACAAUACUCUGCACAAUACUCCACACAAUACUCCACAUAAUAUUCUGCACAAUACUCUACACAAUACUCCGCACAAUACUACACACAAUACUCCACACAAUACUCUGCACAAUACUCUGCACAAUACUCCGCACAAUACUCUUCACAAUACUCUGCACUAUACUCCGCACAAUACUCCGCACAAUACUCCACACAAUACUCCACACAAUACUCUGCACAAUGAUCUACACAAUGAUCUGCACAAUACUCUACACAAUACUCUGCACAAUACCCCGAACAAUACUCCACACAAUAGAGUCAGGGCUCCGGUUAGCCCAGGCACUAUAUUUAUAGGUAGGUAGACACUGUAUUAAUAGAGGAGUGGGCACCAUUAGAGUCAGGGCUCCGGUUAGUCUGGGCACUAUAUUUAUAGGUAGGUAGACACUGUAUUAUUAGGGGAGUGGGCACCUUAGAGUCAGGGCUCCGGUUAGCCUGGGCACUAUAUUUAUAGGUAAGUAGACACUGUAUUAAUAGGGGAGUUGGCACUAUUAGAGUCAGGGCUUCCGGUUAGCCCGGGCACUAUAUUUAUAGGUAGCUAGACACUGUAUUAAUAGGGGAGUGGGCACCUUAGAGUCAGGGCUCCGGUUAGCCCGGGCACUAUAUUUAUAGGUAGGUAGAAAGUGUAUUAAUAGGGGUGUGGGCACCUUAGAGUCAGGGCUCCGGUUAGCCCGGGCACUAUAUUUAUAGGUAGGUAGACACUGUAUUAACAGAGGAGUGGGCACCAUUAGAGUCAGGGCUCCGGUUAGUCUGGGCACUAUAUUUAUAGGUAGGUAGAAAGUGUAUUAAUAGGGGAGUGGGCACCUUAGAGUCAGGGCUCGGGUUAGACCGGGCACUAUAUUUAUAGGUAGGUAGAAAGUGUAUUAAUAGGGGAGUGGGCACCUUAGAGUCAGGGCUCCGGUUAGACCGGGCACUAUAUUUAUAGGUAGGUAGAAAGUGUAUUAAUAGGGGAGUGGGCACCUUAGAGUCAGGGCUCCGGUUAGCCCGGGCACUAUAUUUAUAGGUAGGUAGACACUGUAUUAAUAGGGGAGUUGGCACUAUUAGAGUCAGGGCUCCGGUUAGCCCGGGCACUAUAUUUAUAGGUAGGUAGACACUGUAUUAAUAGGGGAGUUGGCACUUUUAGAGUCAGGGCUCCGGUUAGCCCGGGCACUAUAUUUAUAGGGAGGUAGACACUGUAUUAAUAGGGGAGUUGGCACUAUUAGAGUCAGGGCUCCGGUUAGACUGGGCACUAUAUUUAUAGGUAGGUAGACACUGUAUUAAUAGGGAAGUGGGCACUAUUAGAGUCAGGGCAAAAACAUUCUCAGAGGUAUUUACUAAAGUGUGAUUUGUUGGGAUUUAAAAAUAUUUUUCAAUUUAUUUUAAAUUCCCUAUAAUUUGCAGUUUAUUAAAUAACCACAGCUGUGGAGAAUUGGAUUAUUCCGCUGGGUCCCCCUUUGUGUAACAAUUAGAUGUAUUUCCCUGUGUAAGAAGCAGAUCUCUGGAUACGAAUUCCACUGGCAAUAUUACUGCACCCAUCGCACCAUCUUUACUGUCUGCCAAACAGAUGAUGCUGUAGUAACCCAGCCCAGCACUUUGUGAUUUAUGUAACCUUGGAAAACUGAUAGUAUAUCAGCAGAAAGGGUUAUUAUGUCUUUUCAUAAAAACUUUGUGUAUUUCGUAUCAUUUUCUUUCCAGGUCGGGACAUGUGUCGUACUGUAUAGAAUUCACUGAACUCGUACCAUAUGGAAAAAUAACCCUGAAUGCAUAUUUAUUGAAUGUUAUCAAGUUUAUCAGCAUCUAAAAAUCAAAUUCCAGACAAAUGUGCAUUCAUUCCAUUCUCUCUCUCAAUAAUUCAUAAAAAGUAAGUGAAUCAGUCGAAAAAAAACAUAAAACUUUCACGGACUCCUUCCAAAGGCUCCGAGACCACAUCGAGGAAAUAAAGUGCAAGCUUAAUGCAUUAAUACAAUGGUGGAAACCCAGAGUGGCUCUUAAACCAUCAAUUCAUACAACGAGGGGCACAUUAACCCUCGUAACAAACCUACAAACAUUAUUUAUUGGUGCAAGGAUGGGAGAAUGAGUUAAUCUCACAAAUACGCUCAAAGAGACUAGGAGCAAGCAUCUGCUCAAAGAAAAUUCUGUAGCAUCUUAUCUGAUAUUCUUCAUUCUAAACCAAUAAAAUAAUAUUUCUCAAGCAUAAUUAACUUUUUUAACUGUGUACUGUUUAACUUUCAAUGCAUGUAUAUCUGUAUUGUUUGGUCUCCUCUCUAGAGACCAUCUUUUGUGAGUUCAUAUUGAAUUAUUAUGUUAAAGAAGGGGGCACAGUGUAUCUAAAUAUAGAUACUAGAUAUAGUAGUGUAAAAGAACGUUACAGUGACACCCAGUGCACUCAUAGGAAAACAUAUUAUUAUUUUAUUAUUUAUAAAGCGCCAGCAAAUUCCGUAGCGCUGUACAAUUGGUGGGCUAACAGACACGUAAUUGUAACCAGACAAAUGGACACACAGGAACAGAGGGGUUGAGGGUGGUGGUGGAAACCUGCUAACAGUUUAAAUGAUGUGCUUUCCCGAAGAAGUGUGUUUUCAAAAUUUUUGUGAAGAAGUGGAGACUGGGUGAGAGUCUAACGGAGAAGGGAGGGGAGUUCCACAACGGAGGUGCAGCCCUGAAGAAGUCUUGGAGGCAAGCAUCAGAUGUGGGAGUACGGACAGAGGAUUGACCUAGGUCUUCGGCAGAGCACAGGGGUCUUGACGGGACAUAUUUCUGUAUUAGGGAGGAUGGUCAGGUUGGAGCAGCUGUUAAGACACCUCCAGUGUCUUUAGGCAAAACUGCCGUUUAGUAGAUCUUCCCCGUCUGCAAUAUCAGUAACUCCGUUCGCCUAACCUGUAGUGCACGAACCAAAUGCAGGGGAAGCAGCAAUCUCCCGACCGGGAUCCGUGAACGGCUCCAAACUCCCGAACGGCAAUACACGAACUGCUGCUAGCCGCCGAACAACAAUAUCCACCAAGCGGCUUUCGUUUCCAUCCAGCAGUCUCUAAACGUGAAGAAGAAAUCCCCCCAAUAACGAGACAGAAGCUCCGCAUUGAGGGUCAAACAGGAUCUGGCUUUACUGUGGGCUACCUGCCCGUAUUUAUGCAGGUCUCCCACUUGGUGGACACUCCCCUAGGGGACCAAAUGGGAGACUUAAAUGACAGACAGAUAUGGGGACAUUCCAGACACAUAGAUACAGUUUUUACCCACAAUGCACUAUGAUUCCCUCCCCUCUGCCCUGGAGAUAAUUACCAAGUAACUCAAUAAUCUCCAGGACAAAGCCAGUCUUCAUUUUAAACAUAAAACCCAAAAAGACAUAAUUUCACAAUAACUGAACACUGCAUUCGUAUCACCUAUCCCCAGAUAGCCUGGAUCUGAGUGCAUAUUAUUAGCGAAUAGCGCUCAAAUCCCACACACAUAGUUCAAUCGCCAUGGAGUCAAAGUUCUUACAGUCUUUCGGUAUACGAAUGACUCCAUGGGAAGGCUAUCUGGGUUAAGUCCUUUCGUAUGCUUCACAAACUCCCGAACGGCCGGUAUUCGUAUGCUUUCGUGGAGGCAGCCAGGCGUUCCGUUGUUUCAGCGGUGUUCAACAGAAAAAGUGUCCGUUUUUAGUUCCAUGAAAAUAGAGCCGAACACCGCUGGGCUUUCGCGUGGUUUUAAAAUGGCCGCUGCCUCGUGGUCGACAUACGAACGACUACCACCCUGAAUUCGUGUAAUUGAGAAGUGUCUGCGGUUAACCACAACGUUCUAAUUGGGAUCAAUAGGUUAACCAGCAGCACACUUCUCUCCUGGGUGGCCGUCCGUUCGGCUAGUUUGUUCGGGAAAAAACAGUCAUUCGAAUGGCUGGGCUAUAGAAAACAGCCAUUCAUACGAACAGGAUAAAAACAGACGAAUACACCUAAAAUAAGCAGACAGAUGGUUCUGUCACAGCAGCAUUAUGUAGGGACUUGUAAGCAAGCACCAGAAUCUUAAAUGGAGCCUUAUAUCUAACUGGAAGCCAAUGUAGGGACUGACAGAGGGGGGAGGCGUGGGAGGUGCAGGCGGACAUGAAAAUGAGCCUUGCCACCGCAUUCAUUAUAGAUUGCAGCGGUGCAAUCUGGGAACACGUAAGACCACUGAGAAGGGAAUUACAGUAGUCAAAGCAAGAAAGAGCAAUGGUAUGGACCAGCUGUGACAGAUCCAUCUGUGUGACUAGUAUUGCUGGUUCGUCUAUUUUGCCUCCCUUCGCGGAAUUACCUGUCCGUAUGCCCCUGUUCGUUUAUUACAGACUUAUACCGAACAAAACUACCGAGCGGACGGCCACCCAGAAGAGAAGUGUGCUGCUGGUUAAUCUCUUGGCCCCAAUUAGAACGUUGUGAUUAACCGCAGACACCUCUUCAUUACAACCGAAUGCAGGGUGGUCGUCGUUCGUAUGCCGACCACGAGGCCGCGGCCAUUUUAAGCACGCGAAAGACCAGCGGUGUUCGACAAAGAUCUUAUGGAACUAUAAAUGGACACUUUUCCUACCGAACACCGCUGAAACUACCGAACGCCCUUCUCUUUCGUCAAGGCAUACGAACACCGGUCCAUUCGGGAGUUUGGAUGAUACGAAUGGACUUAACCCAGAUAGCCAUCCCAUGGAGUCAAUCGCAUACCGAAAGACAUGUAAAGACUUUGACUCCAUGGCGAUUGAACUGAGUGCAUUGGAUCUGAGCACUAUUCGGUAGUAAUAUGCACUCAGAUCCAGGCUAUCUGGGGAUACGUUACACAAAUGUAUUCGGUAUUUGUACAGUUAUGUAUUUUUAUGUGUUUUUCAUAUACCAUGUAAGAUGGCGGUUUGCCUCUAUCCUUGGAGAUAAUUGGAUUUCUUCCCAAUUAUCUCCAGGGUAGAGAGGAGGGAUUUACUUGCAUAAAUGGGAGUGUGUAAACCUGGGGCACUGUGAUUGGCCACUGUACCAUAUAUGUCUCAGUCUUGCAUCUGGUCCCCUCGGGACCACCAGGUGGGAGACCUGCAUAAAUACCGGGCAGGUAGCCCUCAUUAAACAGAUUCCUGUUUUACCCUCAAGACGGAGCUUGGUCUCGUGUUUGGGGGGAUUGCUACUUGGAAGGAUUUAUUUCGCCUGUUUUAGCCGUGGAAGGAAUUCGGCUGAUUUUGUGUUCGUGGGUUUGCCACAUUCCCUUGCACUCCGUUCGGGAGUUUGGCGGUCUGCUUUAUAGAGCCUGUGUCUCUGGAAAGGGGGAAUAUCGGCUAAACGGCGGUUUCAUCCAUUUAAGCUGGGAGUGUCGUAACAACUGGUGGCAAGCGACGGGAUGACCACUACAUCCAGAAUUAAUGGAAAUACAAUACCAAAGGCUGAAAGAGCUACCCUUAAAGACCUAUUGGAACAAAGAGGCAGACAAGCCAGUAAUCUCAGGAAGAGGGAGAUUAUUGAAAUACUGAACGAAAUGGAUGGAGUACCAGGGGCUGAAGGAACAAAUGGGCCCAACAUAGCUGAUAGAACCCCCGAAGAGGCAAGCUUUGACCGGGCAGUAAGGAUCAGACUGGCUCAUUAUGGUCCCAACCCGUCUCCAGAGAUCAUCAGCCGGGUCAUGGACGCUGUGGAGGCCAACCUCCUAUGCCAAAGCGGUGCUGCAGCAGCCCCAGUUCCAGCAACCCCGGUGGAGAAAAGGAAGGUACAGUUUGCAGCUUUUAAAUCCUUCAUUGACACAGAAGGAGAGAUUGAUGGGUACCUUGCUGAUUUUGAGCGACAAUGUGCGCUAAACAAGGUACCCGCAGAAGACUGGGUUACUAUAUUGUCCGGAAAGUUAUCCGGCCGGGCCAGUGACGCUUUUCGGGCCAUUCCUGAUGAGGAGAUCGGGGCUGUUAAUGAAGCUUUGCUCUCCAGGUAUGCCGUUACACCGGAGGUUCAGAGACACUGCCAAACUAGGUUCAGAGACACUGCAGAGACACUGCCAAACUAGCCAGGGAUUCCUACGUCGAAUAGGCCUGUAAAGUACAUCGCACAGCUGCUCACUGAAUGGCGGGGUGCCAAGCCGUAUCCGGGGAAGAGUUGCUGCAGAUGUUCCUGCUGGAACAUUGUUUUGAGAAAUUAUCCCCAGGAGUCAGAGAAUGGGUACGGGACCGUAAACCUCCACCCUGCAUGAAGCUGCCCGCCUGGCAGAUGAGUACACGGAUGCCCAUAAACUGGACAGUGCGAUUAAUAAGACUCAUGCCAGAGUGGAGUACCGACCAGCAGCACCCCCAGCAGCUACCGUCUACCAACCGCCGACGCACCGCACACCAGCACCCCCUCCAGCGAAUAACUACCCUCAGCCACCCCGGUUUAAUUCACGGGACUACUCACAGCCCAUCCGGUGUUUCGGGUGCAAGCAGCUAGGGCUCAAAUGCAUACAGCUAACAGCGGGAACCAGCGCAACCCUCCGCCUGCUGCCCACUGCAUAGAGGAGGAGGAAUGUUGGGGCGUCCUGCACGAGGCAAACCCCGUCCAAGCUGCCCACCGGGACAACCAACAACAACACCGGCAACUCGUCAAAGUGAACGGGAAGGAGGUCAGUGGUCUGCGGGAUAUUGGUGCAACCAUGACAGUGCUCCAAAAGCACUUGGUGUCUGAGAACCAGCACACAGGAGACACUGUGGCUGUGAGAGUAGCAGGGGUUCCGCCUGCCUGUUGCCUGCCUGUUGCCCGGGUACAUUUGGAUUGGGGAGUGGGCACUAGACAUGUGAAUGUGGGGAUCAUGAGGGACUUACCAGCUGACGUCCUGCUUGGAAAUGAUUUGGCCCCUCUUAUCUCUGCAUACGCUCCCAUGGGUCCAGCUGAAGUUAAUGCUGUGACGACCCGUGCCACCGAGACCGGCCCACCUGCUGCUGAGACCCAGGUAAGACCCUCUACCCCGACUUGCACAUUAGAUCAGGCCCACUUAGGCUGGGAUACCCUAGAGAUGUAUGGGAGGGAAACCCGGGAGGAUACAACCCUGGCGAAGUAUAGGGCUAGGGCAGAUGCUGGGGAAGAGGGAGUGGGUGGGGGAUAGGUUGUAUAAACCUUCCCAGAAAAAGAAUACCCCUCCACAGAACCGGCAGCUGGUGGUGCCUGCGAAAUACCGGCAGGAGAUUCUGCGGAUUGGGCAUGAUGUGCCGUUAGCUGGACAUCUAGGGUCCCGCCGCACAGCUCAUAGGAUCACCCAAAAUUUCUUCUGGCCCAAUUUUAACCAAGACGUGCGGGUAUAUUGUAGCACUUGUGAGACAUGUCAACGGGUAGGUAAACGGGGGGAUCACCCAAAAGCUAGGCUUAUGUCUAUGCCUAUCAUUGGGGAACCCUUUUCCCGCAUAGCUGUUGACAUUGUGGGUCCACUGGCCAGGGCUAGUCCAUCAGGUAAGACGUAUAUUCUCACAGUGGUGGACUAUGCCACUCGUUACCCAGAGGCAGUAGUGCUUCUCUAAUAUUGAGGCAGAGACAGUAGCUGAUGCCCUGGUUAAGAUUUUUACUAGGGAAGGUUUCACUCAGGAGAUUCUCUCCGACCAGGGAACUCAGUUUACCGCGGUGCUCACCCAGCAGCUGUGGAAGGUGUGCGGCAUGAAACCGCUGCUUAGUUCACCCUAUCACCCACAGACUAACGGCCUCUGCGAGUGCUUUAAUGGGACCCUAAAGCAGAUGUUGAGGACCUUUACUGACACUUGCAGAGACUGGGAGCGAUUCCUGCCUCAUCUGCUAUUUGCGUACAGAGAGGUGCCCCAGGAAUCUCCUGGGUUCUCUCCCUUUGAACUACUCUAUGGGAGAAGGGUCCGCGGACCCCUAGAUCUCAUCAGAGGACACUGGGAGGUAGAGACAGAGCAGGAAGGAACUCCCAUAGUACCAUAUGUCCUGGAACUCCGGGACCACCUGGACCACGAGCCCCAGCUGUAACAUGGAAUCUGUAACCCCCAAAAACCUGGAUUGCGUAUCCCAGCUGUUCCUCUAACCCCAAACACCUGGACCGCGAGCCCCAGCUGUAACAUGGAAUCUCUAACUCCAAAAACUUGGGGUUAGAGGAACCUCUAGCUGUAACAUGGAACCUCUAACCCCUAACCUCUAAAAAAAAAGGUGGUACGAUGCCCCGGGUAGACGAGUUAUUAGACCGUAUUGCCAGGGGACGCGAUCUGACCACCAUAGACCUGUGUAAGGGCUAUUGGCAGAUUCCCCUGGCCGAGGAUGCUAUCACUAAGUCGGCCUUCAUCACCCCAUUUGGCCUGUACCAGUUUAAGGUCAUGCCAUUUAGGACGAAGAAUCCUUCGGCUACCUUCCAGCGCAUGGCUUCCAGGAAUUUGCAGCGAUGGCUUCCAGGAAUUUGCUUGUGCAUACCUGGAUGACAUUGCGGUCUACAGUGAGUCCUGGGAGGAACACCUGGUACAUGUAGGGGUGGUCCUGGACAAGAUUCGGGCCGCUGGAUGUGAGCUAUGUUUUUGAAAUGGAAACGGCAGGAUUUGGUGAUUGACUGGACAUGAAGGGUGAAGGAGAGGUUGGAGUCAAAGAGAACACCUAGGCAGCGAGUCUGCGAGGUAGAGGUGAUGGUCGCACCGUUGACUUGGAGGGAGACAGAUACGAGAGUAGCAACACUUGAGGUAGGAAAGACCAGAAGUUCUGUUUUGGACAGGUUGAGAUAUGAAAUGAUCGCGUGAACAGCGCCCUCCUGAGAAGAACCAGGAACUGCCUCUGUAUCUUGGAUGGAUUUGCACAGCAAUCCCAAGAUCUGACUUACUCAGGGUACAAGCAAUGCCAUAAAAAUAUGAAUUAACUAUAAAUGACUGACAAUCCUCUUAAACACACUAAAUGUUAGUAUCCUUCGUACACAUUUUGACCCCUUGGUAAUGAGUCUUCCUCAGGGGCUAUCGAGUACAGUCUAAAUGACAUCUUCUUUGAAGAGAAAACCAUGGAGUGAGUAAUCAGUUCAUUUAAUAUGACUGAGUAUUUUUAUUACAUCAUGAACCUUUUGAUGAUGAUGAUUAGGUGAAUUGUGAGAACCAGGACAAAUGUAGCUGCAGAAGAGGACACAAAAUGGACAAACAGAUCCUCGCCGGCUAUAUCGGCCAACAGCAGACAUUUAUCUCAAUAAUACCCAGUUAUCUGCAGAUAUUUCUCACAUAAUAACACUGGCUUCUUGGACAUUGUAUUUACUAAAAUGUGAAUAAUUGGGAAAGCAAAGAUAAUUUCUCAUUUUUGGACAAACCACUGAGCUGAAAACACAGCUGAAUUUUUCAAUGUACUUUCCAUACCCCACGUUCUGGGUACCGUAGAGUAGACGUUUAGUGAAUAAAGACCCAAAAUGCACCAAUUACUCUGGAAAUGUGGAUGCCAAUAUUCUUGACUUGUUGGAUAAUGUGUGGGUUGUUUUUAGGAAUGUAAUAGUAAGAUAAAACUAUAACAGAUAAAGAAAGGAAAUCGGAACGGUUAUAGAAUGAAAUAUAAAAUAAUCAUCUCCAUCUUGAAGCCAGAGGAGGAAAACGUAUUGAAAUCAUUGAUAAACAAAACCAAUACAUCAAAAGGGAAAUAAGUCUGAAAUGAACCCAAAUUCCCCUCCAUUUAGUGCGGCCCCAGGUCACCAUGAAUUGCAGGAAUUUAUCAUCCAAAUUAAAGGACCACUCUAGGCACCCAGACCACUUCAGCUUAAUGAAGUGGUCUGGGUGCCUGGUCCAGCUAGGGUUAACCCAUUUUUUAUGAAUGGGUUAAGCCUUCCCCCUAUUCCCUCUAGUGGCUGUCUCAUGGACAGCCACUAGAGGCGCUUGCGUGCUUCUCACUGUGAUUUUCACAGUGAGAGCACGCAAGCGUCCAUAGGAAAGCAUUGUAAAUGCUUUCCUAUGCGACGGGCUGAAUGCGCGCGCAGCUCUUGCCGCGCGUGCGCAUUCAGCCCAGGAGGAGGAACGGAGGAGGAGAGAAGGAGGAGAGCUCUCCGCCCAGCACUGGAAAAAGGUAAGUUUUUACCCCUUUCCCCUUUCCAGAGCCGGGCGGGAGGGGGUCCCUGAGGGUGGGGGCACCCUCAGGGCACUAUAGUGCCAGGAAAACAAGUAUGUUUUCCUGGCACUAUAGUGGUCCUUUAAGCAUCACGAAGCUUGUACUCGGCUCACAGGCCGAUUUAAGUCAUUAAACAGUUCAGUCCAAUUUACAAAUCCAUUUAGUAAGUUUGUUAUUAUUCCGUGAAAUCUGAAAUUCUCAGGGACUGAAAGGGUUAAUCUCUUAUCAGAGUGAUGUGUCGGGGUUGUUUUAGAGGUAAGUGGCCAUUGAUAGUCUGGCUUCAAACUUAACUGCGCACCCAGUAAAUUCAAAUUCAUUUGGAAUUGUGCUGAAUUUCUCAAUUAAAACUUUAGUCACUAAGCAAGAAAAACAACCUUUUAUUUCAUAUUGAUAAUUAUUUGACAACAGGAUAAAGAGAACAGAAAUCAAACGUUAUGAUGCUAGUAGGCAUCUAGCUUAGAGCUGGCAGUGUUAGUAAAUAUUAGAAUAUGUACACAAGAUAGAAUGACAUAAAGAUGGUGGAAUCCUUCAACUUCACAGGUGGGGUAAAAUUGCUAAUUUAGAUGGUAUCGAUGGUGAAACUCGGAAACUUCACAGGUGGAGUAAAAUGGCUGACGUAGAUGGUGGAAGCCUGCGACGUCACAGUUGGGGUAAAAUGGCUGACGUAGAUGGUGGAAGCCUGCGACGUCACAGGUGGGGUAAGAUGGCUGACGAAGAUGGUGGAAGCCUGCGACGUCACAGGUGGGUUAAAAUGGCUGACGAAGAUGGUGGAAGCCUGCGACGUCACAGGUGGGGUAAAAGGGCUGACGUAGAUGGUGGAAGCCUGCGACGUCACAGGUGGAGUAAAAUGGCUGACGUAGAUGGUGGAAGCCUGCGACGUCACAGGUGGAGUAAAAGGGAUGACGUAGAUGGUGGAAGCCUGCGACGUCACAGGUGGAGUAAAAUGGCUGACGUAGAUGAUGUCGAUGGUCCCUGCGACUUCUCAGGUGGGGUAAAAUGACUGACAUAGAUAGUAAAGAUGGUGGAGCCCUGUGACUGCACAGGUGGAGUAAAAUGGCUGAUGUAAAUGGUAAAGAUUGUGGAACCCUGCGACUUCACAGGUGGGAUAAAAUGGUUGAUGUAGAUGGUGUAGAUGGUAGAACCCUGCGACUUCACAGGUGGGGUAAAAUGGUUGAUGUAGAUGGUGUAGAUGGUAGAACCCUGCGACUUCACAGGUGGGGUAAAAUGACUAACAUGUGAUGUGUAACCUUUCAUGAUGCAUUGUGGGUAUAGUCAUAUUUACCUGCUGAAUUUUACUGUUUAUCCUCAUUUUCCAUUGAUUUAAUUGAUGACUCUUUGCCAUGAGUUAUUUUAAUAAUGAUUGACUUUACAUUUUAUAAAACAUCUUGCAGUUUAGUUGCACUAUACACUGGAUGAAUGCUAAUGCAAAGCAACAAACUCAAUAAUCCAAUCUAUUGCUAUAAAUUGAAUAAACAGAUUUACUUAUUAAAGGGCUUUUUUCUUUGAUCAAUUAGAUCUGCAAAGAUCUUCUCCAUUGCAGAAUAUGCAAGCGAUAAGAGAUUGCAUUCCAUUAAAGGAAUGUUAGGAAUACAAACUAUAGCGUCCCUGUCCCUAGAUUUAUAUAGGUCAGCCCACAUUCACCCAUUCAUAAUAAAAAUUGAAAAAAUAAAAUAAAAGUUUUGCUCUAUGUGAUGUCACAGAGGAGGCAUGGAGUUAUUUUNNNNNNNNNNNNNNNNNNNNNNNNNNNNNNNNNNNNNNNNNNNNNNNNNNNNNNNNNNNNNNNNNNNNNNNNNNNNNNNNNNNNNNNNNNNNNNNNNNNNCAGUCACUGGCUGGGCACUCUGUCAGUCAUUAGCUGGGCACUCUGUCAGUAAUUAGCUGGGCACACUCUGUCAGUCAUUAGCUGGGCACACACUGUCAGUGAUUAACUGGGCACACUCUGUCAGUCAUUAGCUGGGCACUCUGUCAGUCAUUAGCUGGGCAGAAUGUUAGUCAUUAGCUGGGCCCACUCUGUCAGUCAUUGGCUGGGAACACGGUCAGUCACUGGCUGGGCACUCUGUCAGUCAUUAGCUGGGCACUCUCUCAGUAAUUAGCUGGGCACACUCUGCCAGUCAUUAGCUGGGCACACUCUGCCAGUCAUAAACUGGGCACACUUUUUCAGUCAUUGGCUGGGAACACUGUCAGUCAAUAGCUGGGCAGAAUGUUAGUCAUUAGCUGGGCCCACUCUGUCAGUCAUUGGCUGGGAACACUGUCAGUCAUUGGCUGGGCACUCUGUCAGUCAUUAGCUGGGCACUCUCUCAGUAAUUAGCUGGGCACACUCUGCCAGUCAUUAGCUGGGCACACUCUGCCAGUCAUAAACUGGGCACACUUUUUCAGUCAUUGGCUGGGAACACUGUCAGUCAUUGGCUGGGCACUCUGUCAGUCAUUAGCUGGGCACCUCUCAGUACUAGCUAAGUAAUACUCUGCCAGUCAUUAGCUGGGCACACUCUGCCAGUCAUAAACUGGGCACACUUUUUCAGUCAUUGGCUGGGAACACUGUCAGUCAAUAGCUGGGCAGAAUGUUAGUCAUUAGCUGGGCCCACACUGUCAGUCAUUAGCUGGGCACACACUGUCAGUGAUUAAUUGGGCACACUCUGUCAGUCAUUAGCUGGGCACACUCUGCCAGUCAUAAACUGGGCACACUUUUUCAGUCAUUGGCUGGGAACACUGUCAGUCAAUAGCUGGGCAGAAUGUUAGUCAUUAGCUGGGCCCACUCUGUCAGUCAUUGGCUGGGAACACUGUCAGUCAUUGGCUGGGCACUCUGUCAGUCAUUAGCUGGGCACUCUGUCAGUAAUUAGCUGGGCACACUCUGUCAGUCAUUGGCUGGGAACACUGUCAGUCAUUGGCUGGGCACUCUGUCAGUCAUUAGCUGGGCACUCUCUCAGUAAUUAGCUGGGCACACUCUGCCAGUCAUUAGCUGGGCACACUCUGCCAGUCAUAAACUGGGCACACUUUUUCAGUCAUUGGCUGGGAACACUGUCAGUCAAUAGCUGGGCAGAAUGUUAGUCAUUAGCUGGGCCCACACUGUCAGUCAUUAGCUGGGCACACACUGUCAGUGAUUAACUGGGCACACUCUGUCAGUCAUUAGCUGGGCACACUCUGCCAGUCAUAAACUGGGCACACUUUUUCAGUCAUUGGCUGGGAGCACUGUCAGUCAAUAGCUGGGCAGAAUGUUAGUCAUUAGCUGGGCCCACUCUGUCAGUCAUUGGCUGGGCACUCUGUCAUUCAUUAGCUGGGCACUCUGUCAGUAAUUAGCUGGGCACACUCUGUCAGUCAUUAGUUGGGCACUCUGUCAUUAGCUGGGCACACUCUGCCAGUCAUAAACUGGGCACACUUUUUCAGUCAUUGGCUGGAAACACUCAGUCAAUAGCUGGGCAGAAUGUUAGUCAUUAGCUGGGCCCACACUGUCAGUCAUUAGCUGGGCACACACUGUCAGUGAUUAGCUGGACACACACUGUCAGUCAUUAGCUGGGCACUCUGUCAGUCAUUGGCUGGGCACACACUGUCAGUCAUUAGCUGGGCACACUCUGUCAGUCAUUAGCUGGGCACUCUGUCAGUAAUUAGCUGGGCACACUUUAUCAGUCGUUAGCUGGGCACACUCUGUCAGUCAUUAGCUGGGCACACUCUGUCAGUGAUUAGCUGGGCACACUCUGUCAGUGAUUAGCUGGGCACACACUGUCAGUGAUUAGCUGGGCACACACUGUCAGUGAUUAGCUGGGCACACUGUCAGUCAUUAGCUGGGCACACACUGUCAGUCAUUAGCUGGGCACACACUGUCAGUCAUUAGCUGGGCACACUGUCAGUCAUUGGCUGGGCACUCUGUUAGUUGUUAGCUGGGCACACUCUAUCCGUCAAUAUAUAAUGGAUUAUCUUUAUCACUCCAGUGCAGUUGCCCUUUUUCCUUCAUUCUGGAUCUGUCAUUGAUUUCUGUUUGUCGAUGUGUCUUUGAUUGUAGCGUUGAUUAAGCCACAAGUCAAUACAAUGGUGGUAUUCUUAGGAAUGUUCAAUUCAUACAGAGCUAAAGGUAGCCCAGUAACACGUGGGGUUCUCUCCGAAACGUAGCAUUCAUUAAUACCCACGCACAUUGUGCAAUAUUACAAUGAUUUUUCAUGAAACUUAGAGACUAAAUAUGGCAGAACCUGCAUUGAUUCAGACGGUUGAGUAAUUCCGAACAUAAGUGGAUAAGAGCAAACUUUUCUUUCUAAGUAUCUCAUGUUAACAUUCAGAUUUGAUAACCAUCACGUUUUGUAAGAUAGCAUGGCGGCAGAGGCCUGAACUCGCACGCCAUGUUUCCAGGAGACUCACUGUUCUUGUUUUAUGUUUCGUGCGAAAGGUUCAAUGAUUGACGGCUUGAUACGUUCCUGCUGUCUGGGGGCUUUGUGUAAAUAUUUAGAGUAGGAAUCAUCAUACACAGCCACACUACCACAAUGCUCUACAGAAUACUCCGCACAAUACUCCACACAAUGAUCUGCACAAUACACUACACAAUACUCUACACAAUACUCCGCACAAUACUCUACACAAUGAAUUGCACAAUACACUACACAAUACUCUACACUAUACUCUGCACAAUACUCUACACAAUACUCCGCACAAUACUCCACACAAUACUCCACACAAUACUCCACACAAUGAUCUGCACAAUACUCCACACAAUGAUCUGCACAAUACACUACACAAUACUCUACACUAUACUCUGCACAAUACUCUACACAAUACUCCCCACAAUACUCCACACAAUACUCUGCACAAUACUCCACACAAUGAUCUACACAAUACACUACACAAUACUCUACACAAUACUCUGCACAAUACUCCACACAAUACUCUGCACAAUACUCUACACAAUACUCCGCACAAUACUCUGCACUAUACUCCGCACAAUACUGUGCACAAUACUCCACACAAUGAUCUGCACAAUACACUGCACAAUACUCUGCACAAUACUCUACACAAUACUCUGCACAAUACUCCACACAAUGAUCUGCACAAUACUCCACACAAUACUCUACACUCUACUCCACACAAUACUCUGCACAAUACUCUGCACAAUACUCUACACAAUACUCCGCACAAUACUCUGCACAAUACUAUGCACAAUACUCCACACAAUGAUCUGCACAAUACACUACACAAUACUCUGCACAAUACUCCGCACAAUACUCUGCACAAUAGUCUGCACAAUACUCUGCACAAUACUCUACACAAUACUCUACACAGUACUCUGCACAAUACUCCGCACAAUACUCUACACAAUACACUGCACAAUACUCCACACAAUACUCUGCACCAUGCUCCACACAAUACUCUACACAAUACUCUACAAAAUACUCUCCGCACAAUGCUCCACACACUACUCUGCACAAUAUCCUACACAAUACUCUACACAAUACUCUGCACAAUGCUCCGCACACCACUCUGCACAAUACUUUACACAAUACUCCGCACAAUACUCCGCACAAUACUCCGCACAAUGCUCCAAACAAUAAUCUGCACAAUACUCUUCACAAUACUCCGCACAAUGAUCUGCACAAUACACUACACAAUACUCUGCACAAUACUCUACACAAUACUCCGCACAAUACUCUGCACAAUACUCAGCACAAUACUCCACACAAUACUCCACACAAUGAUCUGCAAAAUAGACUACACAAUACUCUGCACAAUACUCUACACAAUACUCUGCACAAUACUCUGCACUAUACUCUGCACAAUACUCUGCACAAUAAUCUGCACAAUACUCCACACAAUACACUACACAACACUCUGCACAAUACUCUACACAAUACUCUACAUAAUACUCCACACAAUACUCUGCACAAUACUCUGCACAAUAAUCUGCACAAUACUCCACACAAUAAUCUGCACAAUACACUACACAAUACUCUGCACAAUAAUCUGCACAAUACUCCACACAAUGAUCUGCACAAUACACUACACAAUACUCUGCACAAUAAUCUGCACAAUACUCCACACAAUGAUCUGCACAAUACACUACACAACACUCUGCACAAUACUCUACACAAUACUCUACAUAAUACUCCACACAAUACUCUGCACAAUACUCUGCACAAUACUCUACACAAUACUCUACAUAAUACUCCACACAAUACUCUGCACAAUACUCUGCACAAUACUCUGCACAAUAGUCUGCACAAUACUCCCACAAUACUCUACACAAUACACUGCACAAUUCUCCACACACUACUCCACACACUACUCCACACAAUACUCCACAUAAUACUCUGCACAAUACUCUACACAAUACUCCGCACAAUACUAUACACAAUACUCUGCACAAUACUCUACACAAUACUCUGCACAAUACUCCACACAAUACUCCACAUAAUAUUCUGCACAAUACUCUACACAAUACUCCGCACAAUACUCCACACAAUACUCCCCACAAUACUCUGCACAAUACUCUGCACAAUACUCCGCACAAUACUCUUCACAAUACUCUGCACUAUACUCUGCACUAUACUCCGCACAAUACUCCGCACAAUACUCCACACAAUACUCUGCACAAUGAUCUACACAAUGAUCUGCACAAUACUCUACACAAUACUCUGCACAAUACCCCGAACAAUACUCCACACAAUAGAGUCAGGGCUCCGGUUAGCCCAGGCACUAUAUUUAUAGGUAGGUAGACACUGUAUUAAUAGAGGAGUGGGCACCAUUAGAGUCAGGGCUCCGGUUAGUCUGGGCACUAUAUUUAUAGGUAGGUAGACACUGUAUUAUUAGGGGAGUGGGCACCUUAGAGUCAGGGCUCCGGUUAGCCUGGGCACUAUAUUUAUAGGUAAGUAGACACUGUAUUAAUAGGGGAGUUGGCACUAUUAGAGUCAGGGCUUCCGGUUAGCCCGGGCACUAUAUUUAUAGGUAGCUAGACACUGUAUUAAUAGGGGAGUGGGCACCUUAGAGUCAGGGCUCCGGUUAGCCCGGGCACUAUAUUUAUAGGUAGGUAGAAAGUGUAUUAAUAGGGGUGUGGGCACCUUAGAGUCAGGGCUCCGGUUAGCCCGGGCACUAUAUUUAUAGGUAGGUAGACACUGUAUUAACAGAGGAGUGGGCACCAUUAGAGUCAGGGCUCCGGUUAGUCUGGGCACUAUAUUUAUAGGUAGGUAGAAAGUGUAUUAAUAGGGGAGUGGGCACCUUAGAGUCAGGGCUCGGGUUAGACCGGGCACUAUAUUUAUAGGUAGGUAGAAAGUGUAUUAAUAGGGGAGUGGGCACCUUAGAGUCAGGGCUCCGGUUAGACCGGGCACUAUAUUUAUAGGUAGGUAGAAAGUGUAUUAAUAGGGGAGUGGGCACCUUAGAGUCAGGGCUCCGGUUAGCCCGGGCACUAUAUUUAUAGGUAGGUAGACACUGUAUUAAUAGGGGAGUUGGCACUAUUAGAGUCAGGGCUCCGGUUAGCCCGGGCACUAUAUUUAUAGGUAGGUAGACACUGUAUUAAUAGGGGAGUUGGCACUUUUAGAGUCAGGGCUCCGGUUAGCCCGGGCACUAUAUUUAUAGGGAGGUAGACACUGUAUUAAUAGGGGAGUUGGCACUAUUAGAGUCAGGGCUCCGGUUAGACUGGGCACUAUAUUUAUAGGUAGGUAGACACUGUAUUAAUAGGGAAGUGGGCACUAUUAGAGUCAGGGCAAAAACAUUCUCAGAGGUAUUUACUAAAGUGUGAUUUGUUGGGAUUUAAAAAUAUUUUUCAAUUUAUUUUAAAUUCCCUAUAAUUUGCAGUUUAUUAAAUAACCACAGCUGUGGAGAAUUGGAUUAUUCCGCUGGGUCCCCCUUUGUGUAACAAUUAGAUGUAUUUCCCUGUGUAAGAAGCAGAUCUCUGGAUACGAAUUCCACUGGCAAUAUUACUGCACCCAUCGCACCAUCUUUACUGUCUGCCAAACAGAUGAUGCUGUAGUAACCCAGCCCAGCACUUUGUGAUUUAUGUAACCUUGGAAAACUGAUAGUAUAUCAGCAGAAAGGGUUAUUAUGUCUUUUCAUAAAAACUUUGUGUAUUUCGUAUCAUUUUCUUUCCAGGUCGGGACAUGUGUCGUACUGUAUAGAAUUCACUGAACUCGUACCAUAUGGAAAAAUAACCCUGAAUGCAUAUUUAUUGAAUGUUAUCAAGUUUAUCAGCAUCUAAAAAUCAAAUUCCAGACAAAUGUGCAUUCAUUCCAUUCUCUCUCUCAAUAAUUCAUAAAAAGUAAGUGAAUCAGUCGAAAAAAAACAUAAAACUUUCACGGACUCCUUCCAAAGGCUCCGAGACCACAUCGAGGAAAUAAAGUGCAAGCUUAAUGCAUUAAUACAAUGGUGGAAACCCAGAGUGGCUCUUAAACCAUCAAUUCAUACAACGAGGGGCACAUUAACCCUCGUAACAAACCUACAAACAUUAUUUAUUGGUGCAAGGAUGGGAGAAUGAGUUAAUCUCACAAAUACGCUCAAAGAGACUAGGAGCAAGCAUCUGCUCAAAGAAAAUUCUGUAGCAUCUUAUCUGAUAUUCUUCAUUCUAAACCAAUAAAAUAAUAUUUCUCAAGCAUAAUUAACUUUUUUAACUGUGUACUGUUUAACUUUCAAUGCAUGUAUAUCUGUAUUGUUUGGUCUCCUCUCUAGAGACCAUCUUUUGUGAGUUCAUAUUGAAUUAUUAUGUUAAAGAAGGGGGCACAGUGUAUCUAAAUAUAGAUACUAGAUAUAGUAGUGUAAAAGAACGUUACAGUGACACCCAGUGCACUCAUAGGAAAACAUAUUAUUAUUUUAUUAUUUAUAAAGCGCCAGCAAAUUCCGUAGCGCUGUACAAUUGGUGGGCUAACAGACACGUAAUUGUAACCAGACAAAUGGACACACAGGAACAGAGGGGUUGAGGGUGGUGGUGGAAACCUGCUAACAGUUUAAAUGAUGUGCUUUCCCGAAGAAGUGUGUUUUCAAAAUUUUUGUGAAGAAGUGGAGACUGGGUGAGAGUCUAACGGAGAAGGGAGGGGAGUUCCACAACGGAGGUGCAGCCCUGAAGAAGUCUUGGAGGCAAGCAUCAGAUGUGGGAGUACGGACAGAGGAUUGACCUAGGUCUUCGGCAGAGCACAGGGGUCUUGACGGGACAUAUUUCUGUAUUAGGGAGGAUGGUCAGGUUGGAGCAGCUGUUAAGACACCUCCAGUGUCUUUAGGCAAAACUGCCGUUUAGUAGAUCUUCCCCGUCUGCAAUAUCAGUAACUCCGUUCGCCUAACCUGUAGUGCACGAACCAAAUGCAGGGGAAGCGGCAAUCUCCCGACCGGGAUCCGUGAACGGCUCCAAACUCCCGAACGGCAAUACACGAACUGCUGCUAGCUGCCGAACAACAAUAUUCACCAAGCGGCUUUCGUUCCAUCCAGCAGUCUCUAAACGUGAAGAAGAAAUCCCCCCAAUAACGAGACAGAAGCUUCGCAUUGAGGGUCAAACAGGAUCUGGCUUUACUGUGGGCUACCUGCCCGUAUUUAUGCAGGUCUCCCACUUGGUGGACACUCCCUAGGGGACCAAAUGGGAGACUUAAAUGACAGACAGAUAUGGGGACAUUCCAGACACAUAGACACAGUUUUUACCCACAAUGCACUAUGAUUCCCUCCCCUCUGUCCUGGAGAUAAUUACCAAGUAACUCAAUUAUCUCCAGGACAAAGCCAGUCGCCAUUUUAAACAUAAAACCCAAAAAGACAUAAAAAUACAUAAUUUCACAAUAACCGAACACUCUGCAUUCGUAUCACCAAUGCCCAGAUAGCCUGGAGUGCAUAUUAUUAGCGAAUAGCGCUCAGAUCCCACACACAUAGUUCAAUCGCCAUGGAGUCAAAGUUCUUACAGUCUUUUGGUACACGAAUGACUCCAUGGGAAGGCUAUCUGGGUUAAGUCCUUUCGUAUGCUUCCCAAACUCCCGAACGGCCGGUAUUCGUAUGCUUUCGUGGAGGCAGCCAGGCGUUCCGUUGUUUCAGCGGUGUUCGACAGAAAAAGUGUCAGUUUUUAGUUCCAUGAAAAUAGAGCCGAACACCGCUGGGCUUUCGCAUGGUUUUAAAAUGGCCGCUGCCUCGUGGUCGACAUACGAACGACGACCACCCUGAAUUCGUGUAAUUGAGAAGUGUCUGCGGUUAACCACAACGUUCUAAUUGGGAUCAAUAGGUUAACCAGCAGCACACUUCUCUCCUGGGUGGCCGUCCGUUCGGCUAGUUUGUUCGGGAAAAAACAGUCAUUCGAAUGGCUGGGCUAUAGAAAACAGCCAUUCAUACGAACAGGAUAAAAACAGACGAAUACACCUAAAAUAAGCAGACAGAUGGUUCUGUCACAGCAGCAUUAUGUAGGGACUUGUAAGCAAGCACCAGAAUCUUAAAUGGAGCCUUAUAUCUAACUGGAAGCCAAUGUAGGGACUGACAGAGGGGGGAGGCGUGGGAGGUGCAGGCGGACAUGAAAAUGAGCCUUGCCACCCAGGGGCGGGCUGGGCCGGGGGGCAGGGAGGCAAUUGCCCCCCAGGCCGCCCUAAAAUCUGUUGGGACCGGCCACUGAAGGGCCGGCCCUUUAAAUGCUGCAGCCGCCUGAGCACUCUGUUAAGAGCCUCAGGCNNNNNNNNNNNNNNNNNNNNNNNNNNNNNNNNNNNNNNNNNNNNNNNNNNNNNNNNNNNNNNNNNNNNNNNNNNNNNNNNNNNNNNNNNNNNNNNNNNNNAGGCAUGAUUUAAUCUUACAACAAAUCCAGUAAGCAAAUCUUUAUAAAUUUGGGUGGGAUCAGAUCUGUUUCCACAGUUUAUUGGUGUUUACUCUGCUGUCUGUAUUAAUAUUGAGGGAUUUCUAAGUAGUAACAUCAGUGUGUAAAAGAUAGAGAUAGAGGAGUGCAAAUACAAAUGUAUAUGGUAUACUUAGAGACACUGGUCAGUCCUUCAGAUGUAACCUAUAUACAAAAAGAUCCAAACAUAGUAUAAUACUGUUUUUCCAAAUAAUAUAGUAAAUAAAUGUGGAUUUUUCACUCACACUUUGCAGAGCCACGUAUAGUAGGCUCUGACUAUAGUUGCUCUUUGGUAAUUCCCUGGUGUAUUAAACUCCACCACGCCUUCAGGAUUCUCCACUUGGAUCAGGAUACAGGAGAUAUAAAAAUUCCAAAACAGAGUGGGGAUACUUUUCGAAAUUUAAUAAUAUACAGGGACAUAUAUAAAGUGCAUAAGACAAAAUAGCAGCACUAUAUGUGCAAAGACAUCUAUAAAGUGCAUAAAAAGAAUAACACUAACGCGUUUCGACUAAAAUAAAGUCUUUUUCAAAGUGCAUAAAGUAAUGGUCGCCAUAUUGGGUAUUUAUAUCCUCACUGAUGUUCUAAUUUGGCGCCCAAACAUCUCCGUCGUGGUGUCCUCCUCCUACUUCCUGGUUCCGGAGUAGUGCACUUUGAAAAAGACUUUAUUUUAGUCGAAACGCGUUAGUGUUAUUCUUUUUAUGCACUUUAUAGAUGUCUUUGCACAUAUAGUGCUGCUAUUUUGUCUUAUGCACUUUAUAUAUGUCCCUGAAUAUUAUUAAAUUUCGAAAAGUAUCCCCACUCUGUUUUGGAAUUUUUAUAUCUCCUGUAUCCUGAUCCAAGUGGAGAAUCCUGAAGGCGUGGUGGAGUUUAAUACACCAGGGAAUUACCAAAGAGCAACUAUAGUCAGAGCCUACUAUACGUGGCUCUGCAAAGUGUGAGUGAAAAAUCCACAUUUAUUUACUAUAUUAUUUGGAAAAACAGUAUUAUACUAUGUUUGGAUCUUUUUGUAUAUAGGUUACAUCUGAAGGACUGACCAGUGUCUCUAAGUAUACCAUAUACAUUUGUAUUUGCACUCCUCUAUCUUUAUCUUUUACUUGUAUGUUAUCUGUGUUUUUUAAGUGGUUUUAAAACACUGUGGAGUUGCACUGUUACUUUUUACUACCACCCCUACACUUUGUGUGUUCUGCACGCUAUUGUGUAAAAUUUGUUUAACAUCAGUGUGUGUCAGCAGGGCCAGCCAUUGGGGUGUGCACGCUGUGCGGUCACGCAGGGUGCCAUCACAACAGAGGCGCCCGGCGGACAACACAGCUCACAAGUUGGGGACACCAGCCUAUUCAAUUUAAACGAUUCGCUGGUGGUCCACUGGUGCCACCAGCAGUAGGUGCAGUCAGAUUAUAGCCUCUCCCUCAUGGUUCCGACGCUCAGUUAGUGAGUCAGAGCACAGGCUCAGAGAUUCUCAGCCUGCGCUCUGACAACAUUGAAAGUCAGAGCCGUGAAGGAGAGGGUAUGGCAAAGAGCUACUGAUUAGCAUAACAUCAAUAUCCGUUAUAAAUCCAGGAAAAGGUGGGCACCAUUGCACUGAUUUGGUGGUGCAAUGGGCCUCUUGACUGGUUUUGCCCCCCAGGCCUAAGGCUGCCAGCCCUCCCCUGUUGCCACCGCAUUCAUUAUAGAUUGCAGCGGUGCAAUCUGGGAACACGUAAGACCACUGAGAAGGGAAUUACAGUAGUCAAAGCAAGAAAGAGCAAUGGCAUGGACCAGCUGUGACAGAUCCAUCUGUAUAGACUAAGAUUGCUGGUUCGUCUAUUUUGCCUCCCUUCGCGGAAUUACCUGUCCGUAUGCCCCUGUUCGUUUAUUACAGACUUAUACCGAACAAAACUACCGAGCGGACGGCCACCCAGAAGAGAAGUGUGCUGCUGGUUAAUCUCUUGGCCCCAAUUAGAACGUUGUGAUUAACCGCAGACACCUCUUCAUUACAACCGAAUGCAGGGUGGUCGUCGUUCGUAUGCCGACCACGAGGCGGCGGCCAUUUUAAGCACGCGAAAGACCAGCAGUGUUCGACAAAGAUCUUAUGGAACUAUAAAUGGACACUUUUCCUACCGAACACCGCUGAAACUACCGAACGCCCUUCUCUUUCGUCAAGGCAUACGAACACCGGUCCAUUCGGGAGUUUGGAUGAUACGAAUGGACUUAACCCAGAUAGCCAUCCUAUGGAGUCAAUCGCAUACCGAAAGACAUGUAAAGACUUUGACUCCAUGGCGAUUGAACUGAGUGCAUUGGAUCUGAGCACUAUUCGGUAGUAAUAUGCACUCAGAUCCAGGCUAUCUGGGGAUACGUUACACAAAUGUAUUCGGUAUGGAAACAGUUAUGUAUUUUUAUGUGUUUUUCAUAUACCAUGUAAGAUGGCGGUUUGCCUCUAUCCUUGGAGAUAAUUGGAUUUCUUCCCAAUUAUCUCCAGGGUAGAGAGGAGGGAUUUACUUGCAUAAAUGGGAGUGUGUAAACCUGGGGCACUGUGAUUGGCCACUGUACCAUAUAUGUCUCAGUCUUGCAUCUGGUCCCCUCGGGACCACCAGGUGGGAGACCUGCAUAAAUACCGGGCAGGUAGCCCUCAUUAAACAGAUUCCUGUUUUACCCUCAAGACGGAGCUUGGUCUCGUGUUUGGGGGGAUUGCUACUUGGAAGGAUUUAUUUCGCCUGUUUUAGCCGUGGAAGGAAUUCGGCUGAUUUUGUGUUCGUGGGUUUGCCACAUUCCCUUGCACUCCGUUCGGGAGUUUGGCGGUCUGUUUUAUAGAGCCUGUGUCUCUGGAAAGGGGGAAUAUCGGCUAAACGGCGGUUUCAUCCAUUUAAGCUGGGAGUGUCGUAACAACUGGUGGCAAGCGACGGGAUGACCACUACAUCCAGAAUUAAUGGAAAUACAAUACCAAAGGCUGAAAGAGCUACCCUUAAAGACCUAUUGGAACAAAGAGGCAGACAAGCCAGUAAUCUCAGGAAGAGGGAGAUUAUUGAAAUACUGAACGAAAUGGAUGGAGUACCAGGGGCUGAAGGAACAAAUGGGCCCAACAUAGCUGAUAAAACCCCCGAAGAGGCAAGCUUUGACCCUCUUGUCUCUGCAUACGCUCCCAUGGGUCCAGCUGAAGUUAAUGCUGUGACGACCCGUGCCACCGAGACCGGCCCACCUGCUGCUGAGACCCAGGUAAGACCCUCUACCCCGACUUGCACAUUAGAUCAGGCCCACUUAGGCUGGGAUACCCUAGAGACGUAUGGGAGGGAAACCCGGGAGGAUACAACCCUGGCGAAGUAUAGGGCUAGGGCAGAUGCUGGGGAAGAGGGAGUGGGUGGGGGAUAGGUUGUAUAGGAUUUCUAAACCUUCCCAGAAAAAGAAUACCCCUCCGCAGAACCGGCAGCUGGUGGUGCCUGCGAAAUACCGGCAGGAGAUUCUGCGGAUUGGGCAUAAUGUGCCGUUAGCUGGACAUCUAGGGUCCCGCCGCACAGCUCAUAGGAUCACCCAAAAUUUCUUCUGGCCCAAUUUUAACCAAGACGUGCGGGUAUAUUGUAGCAUUUGUCAGACAUGUCAACGGGUAGGUAAACGGGGGGAUCACCCAAAAGCUAGGCUUAUGUCUAUGCCUAUCAUUGGGGAACCCUUUUCCCGCAUAGCUGUUGACAUUGUGGGUCCACUGGCCAGGGCUAGUCCAUAAGGUAAGACGUAUAUUCUCACAGUGAUGGACUAUGCCACUCGUUACCCAGAGGCAGUAGUGCUUCUCUAAUAUUGAGGCAGAGACAGUAGCUGAUGCCCUGGUUAAGAUUUUUACUAGGGAAGGUUUCACUCAGGAGAUUCUCUCCGACCAGGGAACUCAGUUUACGUGGUGCUCACCCAGCAGCUGUGGAAGGUGUGCGGCAUGAAGCCGCUGCUUAGUUCACCCUAUCACCCACAGACUAACGGCCUCUGCGAGUGCUUUAAUGGGACCCUCAAGCAGAUGUUGAGGACCUUUACUGACACUUGCAGAGACUGGGAGCGAUUCCUGUCUCAUCUGCUAUUUGCGUACAGAGAGGUGCCCCAGGAAUCUCCUAGAGUAGCCCUUUGAGCUACUCUAUGGGAGAAGGGUCCGCGGACCCCUAGAUCUCAUCAGAGGACACUGGGAGGUAGAGACAGAGCAGGAAGGAACUCCCAUAGUACCAUAUGUCCUGGAACUCCGGGACCACCUGGACCACGAGCCCCAGCUGUAACAUGGAAUCUGUAACCCAAAAAAACCUGGAUUGCGUAUCCCAGCUGUUCCUCUGUGACGAAGUGCCCUUCGCCACUUGGUACUGGAGAGGCCUGCUUGCCAGCCUCCUCCCCUGUGACUAUGACUCUUUGAUGUAUUUGCCUUUAAAGCCCCUAUUCUACCUUCAGACAGACUAUUUAUGUAGGCUGCUUUAUUUAUCUUAUGUUUGUCACCCUGUACCCAUUAUAGGUGCAGGGUGUGUGUAAUGUAAUUGUUUAUAGUGUGUGUGUGUGUGUGUACUGUGAAAUGUAUUGCCUUCUCUCCUGUACUGCUGAGGUUUGCUACCAACUAGGUGGGUUUGGCUAUGGAGCUUGUCUAGUGCCCUCUGUUGGUAGCAACAGCAAUAUGCACUACCUGAAUUGCAAGACUGGUUUAUUUGCAUAUUCGGGUAGAUUUGCAUAUUGCUAAUUCUGCAGGCAGGUGAGAUAUUUACAGUUAAAUAUUGUCUCCCCCCACCCCUUUAAAAAUUUGCCAUUGUGUUGUGAUACGUCACUGUGUGUUUCUUGAUAUGGUUUGACUGUUUGUGAUUUUAUUGAGGUUUCACAACAAUGUUAUUGUGGUGACUGUAUUGGCUGGUCCCAAGGGAAUAAAGGUUUUGACAGUUCUUCUUGAUCCCUCUAAACGUAGCCUUGUCUCGUUAUUGGAGGGAGCUGUUAUAAUCACACUGGGGAUUGCUAUGCUCUGGAUGCUCCCCUGAGCUUGAGUCACUUAGCUCUUUUAAGAGCUUGUUCCUGACACGCUCUCCUUGGAGGAGGGGUCUUCACCACACAGUCCUGGAUGCUGGAGGUUCGUACAGGGUGGAAGGAAGAGUUCUUACCCACACAGUCCUGGAGGACAGAAGCUGAUCCAGGGUGGAAGGAAGACGGCGAGACUCCAGUCCAGAUACGGCGGUUGCGGAGUCUGCGGUGGUUGUGGUGUCUGCUGCAGUGCUUGGAGUCCUCAGGAAGCGCUAGGAGCAUCCGUCAACGGAGGGUACUCGGUCGGAGUACAGGGAGCUCCGUUACAUCCUCUAACCCCAAACACCUGGACCGCGAGCCCCAGCUGUAACAUGGAAUCUCUAACUCCAAAAACUUGGGGUUAGAGGAACCUCUAGCUGUAACAUGGAACCUCUAACCCCUAACCUCUAAAAAAAAGGUGGUACGAUGCCCCGGGUAGACAAGUUAUUAGACCGUAUUGCCAGGGGACGCUAUCUGACCACCAUAGACCUGUGUAAGGGCUAUUGGCAGAUUCCCCUGGCCGAGGAUGCUAUCACUAAGUCGGCCUUCAUCACCCCAUUUGGCCUGUACCAGUUUAAGGUCAUGCCAUUUAGGACGAAGAAUCCUUCGGCUACCUUCCAGCGCAUGGCUUCCAGGAAUUUGCAGCGAUGGCUUCCAGGAAUUUGCUUGUGCAUACCUGGAUGACAUUGCGGUCUACAGUGAGUCCUGGGAGGAACACCUGGUACAUGUAGGGGUGGUCCUGGACAAGAUUCGGGCCGCUGGAUGUGAGCUAUGUUUUUGAAAUGGAAACGGCAGGAUUUGGUGAUUGACUGGACAUGAAGGGUGAAGGAGAGGUCGGAGUCAAAGAGAACACCUAGGCAGCGAGUCUGCGAGGUAGAGGUGAUGGUCGCACCGUUGACUUGGAGGGAGACAGACACAGGAGUAGCAACACUUGAGGUAGGAAAGACCAGAAGUUCUGUUUUGGACAAGUUGAGUUAUGAAAUGAUCGCGUGAACAGCGCCCUCCUGAGAAGAACCAGAAACUGCCUCUGUAUCUUGGAUGGAUUUGCACAGCAAUCCCAAGAUCUGACUUACUCAGGGUACAAGCAAUGCCAUAAAAAUAUGAAUUAACUAUAAAUGACUGACAAUCCUCUUAAACACACUAAAUGUUAGUAUCCUUCGUACACAUUUUGACCCCUUGGUAAUGAGUCUUCCUCAGGGGCUAUCGAGUACAGUCUAAAUGACAUCUUCUUUGAAGAGAAAACCAUGGAGUGAGUAAUCAGUUCAUUUAAUAUGACUGAGUAUUUUUAUUACAUCAUGAACCUUUUGAUGAUGAUGAUUAGGUGAAUUGUGAGAACCAGGACAAAUGUAGCUGCAGAAGAGGACACAAAAUGGACAAACAGAUCCUCGCCGGCUAUAUCGGCCAACAGCAGACAUUUAUCUCAAUAAUACCCAGUUAUCUGCAGAUAUUUCUCACAUAAUAACACUGGCUUCUUGGACAUUGUAUUUACUAAAAUGUGAAUAAUUGGGAAAGCAAAGAUAAUUUCUCAUUUUUGGACAAACCACUGAGCUGAAAACACAGCUGAAUUUUUCAAUGUACUUUCCAUACCCCACGUUCUGGGUACCGUAGAGUAGACGUUUAGUGAAUAAAGACCCAAAAUGCACCAAUUACUCUGGAAAUGUGGAUGCCAAUAUUCUUGACUUGUUGGAUAAUGUGUGGGUUGUUUUUAGGAAUGUAAUAGUAAGAUAAAACUAUAACAGAUAAAGAAAGGAAAUCGGAACGGUUAUAGAAUGAAAUAUAAAAUAAUCAUCUCCAUCUUGAAGCCAGAGGAGGAAAACGUAUUGAAAUCAUUGAUAAACAAAACCAAUACAUCAAAAGGGAAAUAAGUCUGAAAUGAACCCAAAUUCCCCUCCAUUUAGUGCGGCCCCAGGUCACCAUGAAUUGCAGGAAUUUAUCAUCCAAAUUAAAGGACCACUCUAGGCACCCAGACCACUUCAGCUUAAUGAAGUGGUCUGGGUGCCUGGUCCAGCUAGGGUUAACCCAUUUUUUAUGAAUGGGUUAAGCCUUCCCCCUAUUCCCUCUAGUGGCUGUCUCAUGGACAGCCACUAGAGGCGCUUGCGUGCUUCUCACUGUGAUUUUCACAGUGAGAGCACGCAAGCGUCCAUAGGAAAGCAUUGUAAAUGCUUUCCUAUGCGACGGGCUGAAUGCGCGCGCAGCUCUUGCCGCGCGUGCGCAUUCAGCCCAGGAGGAGGAUCGGAGGAGGAGAGGAGGCAGAGAGCUCCCCGCCCAGCGCUGGAAAAAGGUAAGUUUUACCCCCUUUCCCCUUUCCAGAGCCGGGCGGGAGGGGGUCCCUGAGGGUGGGGGCACCCUCAGGGCACUAUAGUGCCAGGAAAACAAGUAUGUUUUCCUGGCACUAUAGUGGUCCUUUAAGCAUCACGAAGCUUGUACUCGGCUCACAGGCCGAUUUAAGUCAUUAAACAGUUCAGUCCAAUUUACAAAUCCAUUUAGUAAGUUUGUUAUUAUUCCGUGAAAUCUGAAAUUCUCAGGGACUGAAAGGGUUAAUCUCUUAUCAGAGUGAUGUGUCGGGGUUGUUUUAGAGGUAAGUGGCCAUUGAUAGUCUGGCUUCAAACUUAACUGCGCACCCAGUAAAUUCAAAUUCAUUUGGAAUUGUGCUGAAUUUCUCAAUUAAAACUUUAGUCACUAAGCAAGAAAAACAACCUUUUAUUUCAUAUUGAUAAUUAUUUGACAACAGGAUAAAGAGAACAGAAAUCAAACGUUAUGAUGCUAGUAGGCAUCUAGCUUAGAGCUGGCAGUGUUAGUAAAUAUUAGAAUAUGUACACAAGAUAGAAUGACAUAAAGAUGGUGGAAUCCUUCAACUUCACAGGUGGGGUAAAAUUGCUAAUUUAGAUGGUAUCGAUGGUGAAACUCGGAAACUUCACAGGUGGAGUAAAAUGGCUGACGUAGAUGGUGGAAGCCUGCGACGUCACAGUUGGGGUAAAAUGGCUGACGUAGAUGGUGGAAGCCUGCGACGUCACAGGUGGGGUAAAAUGGCUGACGAAGAUGGUGGAAGCCUGCGACGUCACAGGUGGGGUAAAAUGGCUGACGAAGAUGGUGGAAGCCUGCGACGUCACAGGUGGGGUAAAAGGGCUGACGUAGAUGGUGGAAGCCUGCGACGUCACAGGUGGAGUAAAAUGGCUGACGUAGAUGGUGGAAGCCUGCAACGUCACAGGUGGAGUAAAAGGGAUGACGUAGAUGGUGGAAGCCUGCGACGUCACAGGUGGAGUAAAAUGGCUGACGUAGAUGGUGUCGAUGGUCCCUGCGACUUCUCAGGUGGGGUAAAAUGACUGACAUAGAUAGUAAAGAUGGUGGAGCCCUGUGACUGCACAGGUGGAGUAAAAUGGCUGAUGUAAAUGGUAAAGAUUGUGGAACCCUGCGACUUCACAGGUGGGAUAAAAUGGUUGAUGUAGAUGGUGUAGAUGGUAGAACCCUGCGACUUCACAGGUGGGGUAAAAUGGUUGAUGUAGAUGGUGUAGAUGGUAGAACCCUGCGACUUCACAGGUGGGGUAAAAUGACUAACAUGUGAUGUGUAACCUUUCAUGAUGCAUUGUGGGUAUAGUCAUAUUUACCUGCUGAAUUUUACUGUUUAUCCUCAUUUUCCAUUGAUUUAAUUGAUGACUCUUUGCCAUGAGUUAUUUUAAUAAUGAUUGACUUUACAUUUUAUAAAACAUCUUGCAGUUUAGUUGCACUAUACACUGGAUGAAUGCUAAUGCAAAGCAACAAACUCAAUAAUCCAAUCUAUUGCUAUAAAUUGAAUAAACAGAUUUACUUAUUAAAGGGCUUUUUUCUUUGAUCAAUUAGAUCUGCAAAGAUCUUCUCCAUUGCAGAAUAUCCAAGCGAUAAGAGAUUGCAUUCCAUGAAAGGAAUGUUAGGAAUACAAACUAUAGCGUCCCUGUCCCUAGAUUUAUAUAGGUCAGCCCACAUUCACCCAUUCAUAAUAAAAAUUGAAAAAAUAAAAUAAAAGUUUUGCUCUAUGUGAUGUCACAGAGGAGGCAUGGAGUUAUUUUAAUCAAUUGUUCCUCAUACAGGAGAAUUGGGGACUGAAUGCACAUGCAUGGCGGGCACUGCACAUGCAUUCAAGCUUGUUCAUAGGAAGGCAUUGUAUUCUUUCUUAUGGACUUUCACAUUAUGAGGCACCCCUUGGAAGACAGCCACCAGAGGUAGACUUAACCCAACAAUAAAAGCAUCUCUCAAAAACUUCCAAAGUUUUACAUUGCAUUGUUAAACAGAACAGGGACACUGCACUCAGACCAUAUCAUUGAUAGGAAGUGGUCUGGGUGACUAUAGUCUCAAUUAAGUGUUCUGCUGUCCAAAUGAAGAUCUAUCUGACCUUCUAACUAGUCAACUAAGAUUUAUGGGACAUACAGUUUCACAUUCAACAGCAAUUCUAUCGCCAGACAUUAAGAAUGGAACUGCUACCUAAGCUGAUAGCAGUGCAGUGUUACCACGCAUACACGAAAGCAUAGACAUGGCUCUUUUGGAGUCAGUUGUAGAUAUGUCUUUCAAAGUGGUUUCGUACAUGCAUAGUGUGUGCUUGAUCAGAAAUCUAUACAAGUAUUUGGAGGGACAGAGGAGACAGCAUAAAUUCCUCCUAUGAUGCCUCUCGGUGAAAUGGUAGAUUUUUAGUUAGGUUAGUUAUGACAAAUCACUGCAUUUAUAGGUAACUGUGUGCACAAAGGCAGGGACUUUGGAUUUAUACCAUGUAAAGUUCCAAGGAAACUAAAGUUAUUCAGAGCGUCUCUUUACCAUGUUCCUUUGCCAGUGGACUCAAUUAUGUCGAGCCAUACUCCACUAGUAGUCAUAUAACUGCAUUUUUUUGUUUUUACACAAGCAUUAUAUGAUGAAUGAUUUACUGCAUGUGUCAUGACCUCAUGGGGUGCUACCCCACACCGGCACUAUCAGCACUAAGAGUGGAUUUGUGGCACCCCUGAGAAACUCAGUACAAACUGUGCAGUGGGAAGUGUUGGCAAUCAUGUAACACAAUGGACUCUACUAUUGUCAUACAGUACCCCUGGUCAGUUGGUCUUUUACUGAGAGGGGACAUACCAAUGCUUUGUCCCCCAUUACCUUAUCAAAUCAAUGAACACUAAAAACCAUAAACAAUUCAGAUUUUUAUACAACAUGGUUUUUACAUUUUAAAUUUAUACAACAUGGUUUUUACAUUUUAAAUUCAAAUUUACAUUUGUGUCACUUGAGUUUGGCUCUAGGUUUAUUUCAGUUUGAGAGUUUUGGAGUCUAGCUUGGGCAUGUGAGAUAUUUUUGAAACUGGUAUCUCUUUCUCUGUUGCUUCAAGAGUUUUCCAAAAGACAUAAACUGAAGGUCCGCUCACUGGCGCUUUGCCCGUACUAUAAGCUUCAUGUUGUGGUUUCUGGCAUGUUGAUGUUAACCAUGAUUACACCCUGUGUGUAUUGAGAGAUGUAGCGACUCUCGAUGUAGACAUUUUGGGUGGCCGUGAGACGGACAAAUUGGUGUCAUUCACAGCCCUUGGCGUCGUUGGCCAUAGCCGAUGGCGUCACAGUAUGGUCUCCAUUCUGAGUUUGAAUUUCUAGUCUAUUCCUGAAACAGAAAGUCAAAGUACGAAAUAAACUCUAAGAGCAGUAUAUGAAGGCCACGGGAAGUGUCAGAAUGCUAUUAUUACACUGAAUUCAUUGUCUGGCUAUUGGGUCAAUGAUGAUGCACUACACUUUAAAGUUAAUUGUGUAUUAUGCUAGCUUUAGUGUACCUAUAAUCUUAAUUUAAUUAAUGACAGGAGGCAAGUAUUUGCUUAAGUCUCUCUUUACUAGAACUCCACAGCAGCACAGAAAACAACCAAUCAGAAAAAAGUUAGGUACUAUAAAACCCCCCUCCCCAUACAUCAUUUCCUCUUUCAAGCUGCGACAAAACAGAAUAAAAGGCAGGAAAUAUAAUGGGGAAGAAACAAAGUCCUAGAUACAAUGAAUACAACGAUGUCCACUAUCAGAGAAGAACGGCCAAACCAGAUAGCGUUGAUGGACUGUAAACUGAAACGAGAGAAAAAACAGAAUUGAACAGGUUGGUUAGCCAAUUAAAUGUACUCUGAACAAACAUGUAGGUACCCAAUGUAGCAACCAAAAUUAAUGUAAUCUGCAUAGAUCCCAACCCUACUUAUGAAAAAAAAAGACAUAAGAACAAGUGACUGGUAGCAGAGACAACAAGCAGAGUUGCAGACGUACCUGAUUAAUCCAAACUAUAUAAUUAAACAAGGGAGGGAUAAGAACGGGUGGGAAAUACUCGCCUCCUGUCAUUAAUAAAAUUAAGAUUAUAGGUACACUAAAGCUAGCAUAAUCUACAAUUUUAUAACAUGACAAGAGGCUUCGUAUUUGCUGUUUUAACGCUCAGCCAACAAAUCCAACGCUGAUUAUUUCGCUGGUACCUAAGUUACUAGAGCAAUCCUAAACGGACCUUCCAACUGCGAGAAGUGACAGAAGAUGAAUCGAUGAAGAUGCCAGCUGUCGAGGCACCUCAAAUGCGGGAAAACACUAUCCGCUGUUAGAUCCAUUGUACGUGGGGUUGCGACCUGUUUCCUAGCAGCCGGUCCAUGAGCUGCCAAGCUGACCUAUUAGCCAUUUUCCUGUAGGUGUAAACUGUUGAAGGUCAUAUGCGGACUUAGGGCCGUGAGACGAAACUGCUACCAGGUCUCGACUCUUGAUGUGGACGGUGGCUCUUCCGAUCGUGCCAGGGUUACCAGGUAGAUGAAAAAGUGGGUUAGCGAGAACCCAAACCAAGACGGCUCCCGUGAGGGAUAUAGCGUAUAGACAAAGGGCCCUCCAUCUCCAAACCAUGUACUCCAGAUAUGUGCUCAGAGGAGUAGGGGCAGUCCUGUCAUCUUAUCCCAAGAUUGUAAUGACCAGGGAACUCAAGUCAACCGGGGGUUUCUGGUCUUUACAUUCGUACAGAGUACCUGCAGACCGGGUAGUGGGCCUUCCCUAGUCUUGUUACUCGAGCAAGGCAGUGCCCUUUUGCUCCAUGAAGGCCUCAGUAUCUCAUGUCAUCUUGAUCUGGGAAAAACUGUCUGCGCAGUUUGUUGGCAAUGGUCCAGAUAGAUAAAACAGAAUGCAAUUGUCUGUUUUGUAUAGCGCAGAAUAUACCAAAACCUGCACUCUUGAAUACCUGAGGCUCAUCCGUUAGCCGUACCGUCUCCAGGUGUGUGUAAAUAAGCGGGAGUCUCCCCCCCCCCCGUUAUACCUCUGUGAAUAUUUAUCGCAUGGGGUACAGUGGUCCAGAUCCAGUAGAUCCAUUACAGAAGGUGAAAUAGAGGGAUCCAGUCUAAAUAUGUAUCCUGCAUGAUCAGCCCUCUAUAACGAAAAUCUGUAACACGGUCGUAAGAUCUAAUUGAAUGCAGGAGGGACGCCCGUCUCUGCAGUCAUUGCUGUCCUGUACACGUACAAGCCUGUGUGAUGAACAAAUGGACGGCACCGCAGUGUGUUGAGUGUAUGAGAGAGCCGCAACCUCCAAUAAUGUGACCGAACUCCGUGUCAGUGUUCGGCUGAUAGCUUGAGCGGGCUGCACCCGUUAAUAACCAGACAGUAGAGUCUACAUCCGUGACCGGUUCUCUCGACGAGAAUGUGUCACUCAAAACAUGACCUCUGUAUCAAGCUCAGUAACGUGCUGAGGUUGAGGGAGGGCCGCGCCCUCUAAUAACAGAUCAGUGUCCAGUUCCGUAUAUGAGAGGGGUUCGCUCUCUGUUUGUGAAAGUAGAAUAUCAUUCUCGGAUCGAGGUGAUGGAAGGUCGCACCCUCUUGUAAUCCAAACUAGAGUCCUUUAGAGAUUUCAGGGUGACCAAUUGCAGGGCUAUGCCAUUCACUAAUAUCAGCAUAAGACUGAGAUCCGGAGAUGGGUCUCUCAUUGGCCAGGAGACCUCUCUCUGAAUCGCUCACCUGAGGUGGAAUUAAUUGGCAAUAAACCAGACCGAUGGAAGAUAGAAUAGUAUACAGCCUUGGGUCUUGUCCAUCCUUAAUAACAGAAAGGGAUGGUGAGUAAAUGCAACCUAUAGAAACAAUGAUGGGAACUACCAAUUGAACGCCCUAAUCCCGUGCAUGCGCACGGGGUCCAAGAUGACUGUUGGUAGCCUGAGGAAAGCUGGAGAUGUUCUCCGCAAUCCACCAGAACCCGGGAGAUCGGAGGAGGUCAAGUCAGGCCUCUCGACGACCCGAGCGAUAGGACAAUUGGAAUGCUUGAAAACCAAGAAACGACAAAUAAUGUAGAUAAUGGUAAAUACGUACCUCGGAGAGCCGUUAAAUAGCAGAUCGGAACAGCAAGACAAGUAAACCCAACUGAAAGGGUUAGGAGCUAAGGAGCUAAACAUGACAUAGGACUAACUACCAAUACCUAAGAUGGAUACCGGAAAGCAGCUAAAUGGUUAGUUGCUGAAGGCAAGGCAACCAUGCUCAUCUGUUGGCGUCUGAGCAAUAGUCCCUGCUUGUGCGAAAUUCUCUUCGGAGAUGUGCCGCCGCCGGGUUGGUGUGAACCGUGGUGGCGCGCCUGGAAAUCCUCAUAACUAAAAAACCUUGCCCCUCAGAGUAUGAGGUUUAGGGUCUUCACCCUUUCAAUCAUAUUGAGGUGCCUGUGUACUGGUGUCCUCUUAGAUGGUAAGGCAGCAGUGCUUGCCUGGAUACCCAUCUAUCUCCAUGUCAAUAGUGGGCACUUGGCUCUUCUCAGUGACAUCCUCCCAGGGCUGCGGCCAGAAGGGAUUUCGGGCCCAGAUAGCUCAGGCCGAACAAAGGUUAGAGCAGGCCAGUCAGAAAGGCACAGACAUAGAAGGCCAAUCAAGUGGGUACAGACCUAGCAGGCCAAUCAAAUGAGCACAGGUAUAGCUGGCCAAUCAAUGGGGCACAGGCAUAGCCGGCCAAUCCAUGGGGCGCAGGCGUAGCUGGCCAAUCAAUGGGGCACAGACAUAGCUGGCCAAUCAAUGGGACACAGACAUAGCUGGCCAAUCAAUGGGGCACAGACAUAGUUGGCCAAUCCAUGGGGCGCAGACGUAGCUGGCCAAUCCAUGAGGCGCAGACGUAGCUGGCCAAUCAAUGGGGCACAGACAUAGCUGGCCAAUCAAUGGGGCACAGACAUAGCUGGCCAAUCAAUGGGGCACAGACAUAACUGGCCAAUCAAUGGGGCACAGACAUAGCAGGCCAAUCAAAGGGGCACAGACAGAGCAGGCCAAUCCUGGGUUGCGUCUGAACGAGUAAUAAGGGACCCCUGUGUUUGAGUAGAGUCCCCUAAUUAUCUGUAAAUCUUCAGGGUAUCCUGAGAGGUAGGACCCCCAGACGCCAACCCUUUAGACAGCGCAAUACUGUGUUAAUACACCUGAACUGGGACUAGCAGUCCCUAAAUGCCCAGCAGGCAAAAUAGUGGUAUAUAAGCUGAAAAAUGAUUAUAAUGUCCAUUAAAUCAUGAUAUACAGAGCGAUUCAUAUUUUAACUGUGCAUGGGUUAUGCACAUGAACCUGCAUCCCUGUUUGAGAUUUCUUCAUCAAUAUUAUGUAUCAUCAGUAUACCAGCUGAAUUGAAUUGGUGUCAGCAUAGACUGGUCUCUCAUACCAGUUUGAGCCAGAGUCCAGGGCCGGACUGGCCCACCGGGAUACUGGGAAAUUUCCCGGUGGGCCGUCGGCACCUGGGGCCGGAGAGGGAGCUCCUUUGGCGGCCGCAGGGGGAGCUGGCUGUUCUGUCUCUGCUCCCCCUCCCCAGCGCGCCGCUUAAUGAACCCGGGGCCGGAAUAUGACGUCAUAUUCCGGCCCCGGUCUCAUUAAGCAGUGCGCUGGGGAGGGGGAGCAGAGACAGAACAGCCAGCUCCCCCUGCGGCCGCCAGAAGAGCCAGCUCCCCCAUGCGGCUGCCAUCAGAGCUCCCCACAGGUAGAAAUUGUGUGUGUCAGUGUGAGUGUAUGUGUGUGUCUGUGUCAUUUGUGUGUGUGUUUCAUGGUGUGUGUGUCUGUCUCAUUUGUGUGUGUGUCUGUGUGUGUCAUUUGUGUGUGUGUCUGUGUGUGGCAUGGUGUGUGUGUCUGUGUCAUUUGUGUGUGUGUCUGUGUGUGUCAUUUGUGUGUGUGUCUGUGUGUGUCAUGGUGUGUGUGUCUGUCUGGGUCAUGGUGUGUCUGUCUGUGUCAUGGUGUGUCUGUCUGUGUCAUUGUGUGCGUCUGUCUCUGUCAUGGUGUGUGUGUGUGUCUCUGUCAUGGUGUGUGUGUGUCUCUGUCAUGGUGUGUGCUUCUGUGUCAUUUUGUGUGUGUCUGUCAUUUAAUUUGUGUCUGUCUGUGUCACGGUCUGUCUGUGUCAUGGUGUGUGUGUCUGUAUGUCAUGGUGUGUGUGUGUGUCUGUCUGUGUCACGGUCUCUCUGUGUCAUGGUGUGUGUGUGUCUGUGUGUCAUGGUGUGUGUGUCUGUGUCACGGUCUGUCUGUGUUAAAGUGUGUGUCUGUCAUGGUAUGUGUGUGUCUCGGUCAUGGUGUGUGUGUGUUUCUGUCUGUGUCACGGUGUGUGUGUCUGUGUCAUGGUCUGUCUGUGUCAUGGUGUGUGUCUGUCAUGGUAUGUGUGUGUGUGUAUGUGUGUUUUUACUCACCUUUUUUUUUUUCCCACGUCGUGCUGGUCUCCCCUCGACUGGCCCUGCCUCUACGGCUGAGAUCAUCAAGCUUGAUGAUCUCAGCCAAUCCACACUGACACAGGAAGCAUCUCUAGUGACCGUCUGAGUGUCUGUCACUAGGAAGCAAUUUAAACACUGCCUUUUCUCUAAAAAGUCAGUGUUUACAUUGAAAAGCCUGCAGGGCCAGGCUAUAGACACCAGAGCCACUACAUUAAGCUGUGUGUGUGUGUGCGCCUGCUAGUGAGUGGGCUUGUGUUUUUAUGUCAAUGACCUUAUGUAUAUCAGUGAGAUUGUUUGUCUAUGAGGCUGUGUAUUAAUCAUCUUGUGUCAGUGAGAUGGUCUGUGUCUGCAUGUGAGUAUGCUUACUGUAUAAUUAAAAAUUUUACUCUGAAAGGACCAAUAUUUUAUAUUGGAAAAAGAUUGUUAUAUAUAUAUAUAUAUAUAUAUAUAUUGUGAUAAAGUGAAGGCAGAUAGGCCUUUUAACCCCAGGGGAAGUACGUGUAGUUUGUGUGUUGCACAACCCAAAGCAUUGUUUAGUUAUGGGCCCCUGGGGUGGAGCAUUUGGAGAGAAGGGUGGGCCAAUGCUCCACUCCACAGUUUAGUGGUUUUCUGGGGAGACAUAGAUCCAGGCCAGGGUUUUUUGGACCGUCUCCAACCCACUGCUCAGCUGCAGUUAAUGAGCUAUUGCAGUGGGAAUAAACCCCUCCCUGCUAGGCAGGUGAAAGAGAGGGAUUGCUGGCUUCCUCCCAGGAAGCAGGUAGGAGAGAGAGGCUGUUCUCUCCAGAUAGAGUCAAGGAGACUAGGCACUGGGAGUGCAGAAAGGAAGCAGUCAAGGCUGGCUUGGAGCACUGGGAGUGCAGAAGGAAGCAGUCAAGGCUGGCUUGGAGGCACUGGGAGUGCAGAAAGGAAAGCAGUCAGGGCAAGGCUGGCUUGGAGCACUGGGAGUGCAGAAAGGAAAGCAGUCAGGGCAAGGCUGGCUUGGAGCACUAGGAGUGCAGAAAGGAAAGCAACAGGCUAGCUAUCAGAGUGUUGCUCUCUAAUAAGGUUGGUGCAAUAUUGUUUUGUUUAGUUUAACCCUGAGAGAUAGGGAACCUAAAGUGAGUUAGUGCUCAGACCGAGCUAGGUUUUUGUUUAUAGGGUUUUCUGUUACAUUUAUGUUUUAAUUUACUGCUGUAUCCUGUGUGAACUUACAAAUAAAGUGCCUGGAGUAUAUGAAUUACAAGGACUGUGCAUGUUUUUGCCCUAGAGGACCGUGCUACCUGCUGACAAGGAUCACAAUAUAUAUAUAUAUCAUCUAGGGUGGCAAGACAUAGCCUUACAUAUUACAUGUGACAAUAUAUGGCGCAAUGACUUAUGGGGCUGGCAUAGAUUUUUUUUUCCAGGGCUGCUUUGGAAUCCCCAGUCCGACCCUACCAGAGUCAGGUCUGCUUAGCUUUUUAUAUUUGCCCUGGACAGUAAGUAUCUUACUAGAGAAGUCUUGGCUCUGACUUGAGGGAUGGAUCAGGCACAUAUACACUGAAGCACAUUGAUUGCAACCUAAGAGCACUUUGGUUAAUUGUGCAACAAAAAAUCUUCACAUCUCCUAGACAUCAUGUCAAAUCCAACAAAGGAAUAUGGGCAUUUGAUCCACGUGUUUCUGUAUCAAGCGUGUAAAUACCCAGCAGAUACCUUGUGACUGACAGUGCUUGGGCUCUUGUAGUACAGGGGAUUUGAAAACCUUGAACUCCAACCACCGUGGGUGGAGGAGGGGCCACGUGCAGGCGCACCCUCCUCUAGCCAGUCGGAUGAAUAAAAGGAGCCACGCCGCUUUAGAGGGAGCUGUCUGAGGUGGACACAUGUGUGAGAGGCCCGGCCGAUGGGUACUUGCGUUUGACCGCGAGUAACCCCAGGCGCUGGCAGGCUCACACUGGAGCUCGGGGAGUCAGAGGAGGCGGCCACAUGGCUAGUCUCCUGACUCCCCGAGUGAAAAGCACCCGCAGCCCGCGAAGAGCGCUGGAAAGAGGGGUGGGGGGGAAGAGGGGGGCGAAACACAAAGGGGAGCAAACUGGAAGUAUCCCCAGUAACCCCCAUAAAAACCCCACAACAACAGGAAAACAUCCCCAAAGUAACAGGGGAAGCCAAAAAGAGUCAAAAGGAAUCCCAAAUAAAUAUAAUAAAUAUAUACAGAAAGUAUAAAGUAUAUAAAAUAAUCUGGCAACUAAAUAUAAUGUAAAUAAUAUAUAAAAUAAAUACAUAUAUUUAAUAUGGUAACUAAAUAUAAUGAAUAUAUAUAUAAUAUGAUGCAAAUAAUAUAUAAAAUAAAUACAUAUAUAUAAUAUGGUAACUAAAUAUAAUGUAUAUAAUAUAUAAAAUAAAAAUAUAAUAUGAUAACUAAAUGUAAUAUAAAUCAUAAAUAAAUCACACUAAAUCCCAAAGCCACCCACUAGAAGCAGGAGACAGUGGUACUCUGACCUGUACUGACUGCGGAGCAGCAAAGAAAGAGGAAAUUAGGUAUGGCGAGGGGGAGUUUUAUAGUAACUAACUUUUUUCUGAUUGGUUGUUUUUCUUAGCUGCUGUGGAGUUCUAGUAAAGAGAGACUAAAGCAAAUACGAAGCCUCCCGUCAUGUUAUAACAUUAAAUUUUCAGAUUAUAAGCGAUGUGCAGGCUCUACCUAUUCACCAAUAACAAAUUGAACCCUAAAAACUUUUACAAAUAGUUUAAACAAAUCUUACCUCAAAGAUGUGAUUGGCUGACUGCACAAAGUGCAAAAACAAUUAAAGUUAAAGUAGAAAAAGCCCGAGGGCCCGAUGGUAUUGAUGGUUUUACCUGCAGGAGCACGAAGUGGCAUCAAAGUCCUUUUCCUGGACCCGCUGACCGGUCACAGACGAUGUACCUCUAAAGAAAUAGAAAGCCAAUCACAGGAAUCCAGGCAGGAAGUGUUACAAUCGAGAUAGAAUGUUAACUGAAGAGCUAAGAUAAUAUUUAUUUAAAUUAUCAAGAACAUACAGCUAGCAAUAUAAUUAAUUAAUUAUAGUUAAUAUAGUUUUAUGAAGGACUGAUCACGACAAAAUAAAAGGGGAUUAUCACAUUCCAGGAUGUUUAAUAUUGUGUUUCUUUAUCCUCUAUAUUUAGCAAAUAUCUUUUUGUGAGGUGUGAAAAAUAAAAUAGAAUGACCCAUUCUUGUUCAUGCACUGUAGAGCUGAUAAAAAAAAUAAAAAAGGUAAAAUUAUUCUUAUAAACCAGUGUCUGUCUGGAGCUUUGACUCUCCAGGAAGUAACGCGGCCAUUCAGAAGCCUCUCAUUUUGUUUUAUGGAAUAUGACACAUUUAAUUCAGCACUGAAAAGGUUAAAUUCUAGGGAGAGGGGCUAAUUAGAAGCAAUCAAAGCCUCACUUCUCAUUAGGGCAGGGAUUUCUGGGACUUGUAGUUUGGUCAUUGGCUUUCUAGUUAUGAAACUUAUUAGGUGAACUACAACUCUCAGAACGGUUUGCUGUGUAUCUUGAUGACGCGAAUGCUGCGUUACUGCAUACUGCAGAUUAGGGGGGGUAGGACAGAAAUGGCGCUGUAUACAGGUAUUGGGACCAGCCAGUUUGAAUACAAUGGACCUUUACAGGAGGAUUUGGGCAUAUGGGCACUGAGCUGGCACUGGGCAAUGUUACGCAAUGCGGGAACAGAAGAAAUGCCCAAUUGUCAGUUUAUACUCUAUAAGGAGUCAUGUUAGAGGGACCAGUUUGGGGAAUAGUGAAGAUAAAUGAGGCCCCACUGGAUUCACUAAUUCUCUAAAUGGAUUGCACAAAUUCCCAAGAAAUGGAUUACCUCAUUCAACAGAAUUCCUAAUGAGGUUUAUGUGGCUUUAACUUUUAUUUAUUUAUAAAAUAUUUUACCAGGAAGGAUACAAUGAGAUUUCUCCCGUUUUCAAGUAUUCUACAAGAUUUAUACUCGCAGCUAGUGGGAAUCCUCUUACAAUCUAUGAAAACACUAUUGGUGCAAUGUUACAGUAAUAAGUAUAAUAAUUACAGGGACACCCCAAAUCGGAGUUGACCCACAUUUCAAUACACUAAAAAUGUGUGUGAGUCAAUUAAUAAUUUCUAUUCAAAGAUGUUUUAAUAUGAGCAUUUUAAAAUGUCCUUUUCGUUCUAGAGUUUGAUUUUAAUUCACAUUAUCCAUCAAAACACUUUCGUUUAUGAGAUUUCGUAGCAUUUUAACCCUUGAGUAGCUUUCUCUGCAUUUUUAUAACUAUUUAUUGUGAUCCUGUUGUAUAUACAGCAUGUUAUAAUAUCUAUCUAGUGGUGUAACUAUUUUUGGGGGUAUAAUUUAACUUUAAAGUCUCUUCUGUGAUUUUUUUCUGCAUAUGGCGCAACACGCACUUGGUAAUGGGCUUUAAAGAGCUCUGUAAUCUGGUUCAUAUUAUCAGUGUAAUCAUCCUAUGUACAAAUCAUUGGCUAAGAGAAAUCAGGGUCCAUUUUUGUUGUGAUCUUAUCUGUAAGUGUGAUGGUUUCCUGAACACAUGGGGUGUCCGGGGACUGGAGUGGGUGACAUGCCUAAACAGAAAGAGUGAAUUAUUCAAAUAUUUAUGCAAGAAAUUACAGUCAGGCUUAAUACAACAAAGAUUUCAUAAAAAUCGUGCUCACCUCACAGAAAUCUUGUAUAAUAAAGACAUUUGAAUAAUUUAAAAUAUAUAUAUAAUAUCACUAUGGAACGCCACAACUCCUGCUAAUAACGGCCUCCAUUUGAUUUUUUGGGAUACGCUUUUCAAAUGAUUUCAAAUUAUUUUAUAUUUUGCAUUAUAUAUUAAUGUUUUAAGAUUUAGAUUUUUUUUAUAUUGAUAUAGUUUUGUAUAUAUAUAUAUAUUUUAUUUCUGAUAUUUUAAUAUUUUUUCAAAAAUAGUUUGAAAAGUUUAUGCACACAUUUUAAAUCAUUUGAAAAGGAUACCGAAAAAUAUUAAGCCAGGGCCCCCAUUCCUGUUUCUGGCCAGGCACGUCAGUAUUUUAAAUCUGUUCUAAAUAAAAUUGUAUCUUAAAGAUAUUACACGACACUUACCCAGCAAACGGAAAAUACUGAUAUUUAAAGAAAACCAAACACAUACAAGGACCGCUCUGAUUAAACCACAUCUCUGGCUGGAGAGGCUCAUUUAAUACAAAAAAUAACUAGGAUUUUAAUACUUUGAGUUUAUUCAUGUGACGGAAUAUGGGAGUUACAAACUUUAGACUUUAGUAGCUGUGCGGUGACUAUAGCAAAGUUACAUUUUUCCCCAUAUUCGCUGUAUCUUGUAAUUUGUUUCUCUAUUCCCUACAAUUUACUCUUUAGUGGAUUAAUCACAUUAUUAAACUCAUGCUGUAAAUAUAAAAUAUAUUAACAUUUAACAUAGACUGUGCAGGUCACAACUGACACAGGUUAAAUCCCCCGGAUCUAUGUAUUAAUUGCUUUAAAAACAAUAAUGUAGAUUUUAUUGGAGCAAGGAAGCGAUUGCCUGGGAUUGUGGGAAUGUCGGUCUGCGUGGUGGAAAAUUGUUUUUGAUUGAUGAAAGUAACGUGGCUCCAUUCUGACCCUAUAAAUAACAUUUAACUACAGUAAACUGGAAGCACUUUGGUUCCAUUAAAGUGCAGUGGUCCCAUUACAUUAAUGUAUGUAAUUAUACGGGUAUUGGUUCUAAAUGAUGACUAAUUAAAGCUCACUAAGUAACAAGCUGCCAGUAUGAGUCACGUUAUACUGAACACAUCAGUCACUCAGCAGAUUGGAAGAGGCAGACUUUUCUUGCCCUGUUUAUCUGCCAGACGUUAUAAUCGGGGCACAUGUGGGAGGCUGAUUUUGGCAGCCAUCGGGGUAAAAUGAGAAUUGGUGAGGUAUGUAAAAUGAAGAGGUGGUAAAUAGUGAAAGGAGUAUUGGGGCAAUGAAACAUUAUUUGGGAAUGGGGGGCUGCCAUUCCCAAGGAAAUAGGUUGAAAUGAAAUAUAUAUGGUGAAUACAGUGAUGGGGCUGAAAUGCGCAUGGGAGAAAGACGAGCUAUACAAACAAGACAUGGGAAAAGAAACGAGCAGGGGGUGAUGGGGAAAGAAAAUUAUCAGAGACAAGAGAAGUAAAAUAGACAGGGAUCUAUGGGGAAAUAAUAUGCAAAGGGUGAAUAAAAUGGGAAAGGGGCAAGUGGGACAUAAAAUGUAUGGGGGCACAUGAGAUGGAAGAGAGUCCCAGAAUAGCAACCUCUCAGUGGCAUGUUUAUUAUGUGGCAUCCCACGUGACAUGGAUUGUGUGGCCAGUGUGCUCCCCAUUCUGUAUGAUUAGUGCCUGGCCUGCGUUUUGCUCCGGAUAUGAUUCUCAGUUUGAUUGUGGGUCUCAAGCUGCCUAUAGUCCAAAACAGACCAUCAAUGUGCUAUAUUUACCUGAAAGUCCCAGGGCCAUCAUUAGCCCAUGGCUAAAUGAAUGAAAAUGUAAUGAAGCUAAAUAGGUAAGUGCACUUUGUAGCUCUCCUUCCUUCACCAAGGAACAGUCAUCAUUCAUUGAUAUAGUCACUCAUUGACUCAUUCAUACAGUCAUACAUUGAUACAGCCAUGCAUUCAUACAUUGAUACAUUGAUACAUUGGUUCAUUCAUACAGUCAUACAUUGAUACAGCCAGGGCAUUCAUACAUUGAUACAUUCAUACAUUGAUACAUUCAUACAUUGGUUCAUUCAUACAGUCAUACAUUGAUACAGCCAGGGCAUUCAUACAUUGAUACAUUGAUACACUCAUACAUUGGUUCAUUCAUGCAGUCAUACAUUGAUACAGCCAUGCAUUCAUACCAUGAUCCAUUCAUACAUUGAUCCAUUCAUACAUUGGUUCAUUCAUGCAGUCAUACAUUGAUACAGCCAGGGCAUUCAUACAUUGAUUCAUUGAUACAUUCAUACAUUGGUUCAUUCAUACAGUCAUACAUUGAUACAGCCAUACAUUCAUACAUUGAUACAUUCAUACAUUGGUUCAUUCAUACAGUCAUACAGUGAUACAGCCAGGGCAUUCAUACAUUGAUACCUUGAUACAUUGGUUCAUUCAUACAGUCAUACAUUGAUACAGACAUGCAUUCAUACAUUGAUACAUUGAUACAUUGAUUCAUUCAUGCAGUCAUACAUUGAUACAGACAUGCAUUCAUACAUUGAUACAUUGAUUCAUUCAUGCAGUCAUACAUUGAUACAGCCAUGCAUUCAUACAUUGAUACAUUGAUUCAUUCAUGCAGUCAUACAUUGAUACAGCCAUGCAUUCAUACAUUGAUACAUUGAUACAUUCAUACAUUGGUUCAUUCAUGCAGUCAUACAUUGAUACAGCCAGGGCAUUGUGGGAAUGUCGGUCUGCAUUGAUACAUUGAUUCAUUCAUGCAGUCAUACAUUGAUACAGCCAUGCAUUCAUACAUUGAUACAUUGAUACAUUCAUACAUUGGUUCAUUCAUGCAGUCAUACAUUGAUACAGCCAUGCAUUCAUACAUUGAUACAUUGAUACAUUGGUUCAUUCAUACAGUCAUACAUUGAUACAGCCAUGCAUUCAUACAUUGAUACAUUGAUACAUUCAUACAUUGGUUCAUUCAUGCAGUCAUACAUUGAUACAGCCAGGGCAUUCAUACAUUGAUACAUUGAUACAUUGGUUCAUUCAUACAGUCAUACAUUGAUACAGCCAUGCAUUCAUACAUUCAUACAUUGAUACAUUCAUACAUUCAUACAUUGGUUCAUUCAUGCAGUCAUACAUUGAUACAUUCAUACAUUGGUUCAUUCAUGCAGUCAUACAUUGAUACUGUGACAAACUCCCCUUCCCACGUGAGUUUGCCACGAGCUCCUGGAGGAGCCUGCUUGCCCGCCUCCUGCCCACAGACUAUGGGCCCCGCAGGGAAACCUGUAAAAGAACUUGACCGACCGUUAGCACUGAUUUCCCUGGAAAUGUUUUGGGCAUGGGACCAUGCAUGCAAUCGGUCAAAUUAUGACUUCCAGGAAGUUCCUGAACACCUGAACCGAUCUGGGUGAUUUUUGGAUAUGUUGGUCACCCAGAUCAGGGCUAUCAGGGGAGGUAACUUUUAAGGGGUUUUAUGUAUAUUUAUGCUACUUUUGGGGUGUUUGGGAAAUGUGUGUUUUUUGUGCCUGGAGAUAAUUGAGUUUUGUACAGUCCUUGAUUCAAUUAUCUCCCAGGCACAGAGGAGGCAUUAUCCUGUUUUAUGUGGGAGUGUCCUGGACCUGAGAGCCAAUGUAAUCGUGUGUAUGAUUUUACUGUAAUCUACUCUCAGGUCCAGGGGGGAGUGCCCCUUGCAUGGGGACCUGCAUAUAAGGCCAGUUGUGGCUUCCAAUAAAUGAGUUCUGCCUACCCUCAACAUAGAGUCUCAUCUCAUGUGUGGGGGGGGAAGAGCUGUAUCUGCUCUGGGGAUUGCUAUAUCACGAUACUCCCCUGGGCUAUAAUCAUUAGCUCUUGCAAGAGCUACACUGCUAUACCUGCUGGAUCCAGGAGUAUGGUCCAGGGUGAGAAGGGACGGCGAGACCCCAGCCAAGCUGCGGCGGCUAUAGGGCUACAGUGCUUAUGGUGUCCGGUGCGGUGCUUAUGGUACUAGGUGACAGCUAAGAAGCAGCGAUUGGCAGAGGCACCCAGUCAGGGUGCCAGGCGGUCCAUCACAGAUACAUUCAGACAAUGAUUCAUAUAUACAUUCACACAGUUAUGCAUUCAUACAUUGGUUCAUUCAUACAGUCAUACAUUCAGACAAUGAUUCAUACAUACAUUGAUACAUUCAUUCCUUGAUUCAUUCAUGCAGUUAUACAUUGAUACAGUCAUACAUUCAUACACUGAUUCAUCGAUACAUUCACACAGUUAUGCAUUCAUACAGUCGUCGUGUAAUAAUACAGUCAUAUAUUCAUAGCCAUACAUUCGUACAGUAUUGAUACAUUGAUAUAGUCAUAAAUUCAUAUAGUCCUCAGACAUUCGUAAAGUAGUCAUACAUUCAUACAUUGAUACAGUCAUACAUACAUACAUACACUCUUGCAUUCAGUGUCUGAGACACAUGUGGAAAUAAACCAUAAUUGGAAUGCUCUCUGCGUCUUGUGUUACGGUAGAGUUGGAAUGCCUGAUGUUUAUUCAACGUUUCAUAACAAAACAUAUAUUACUCUGCGUAAUGAAUGAAGGGAGUAACGCCUUAGAAGAUUCUUAAAUGAUGGUAGAUAGGUAGAAGAGAAGAAGUGCCAAAUAAUAUAGUAUCUCUAGUAUGAAUUGGUCAGAGAUAAAAAAAUAAAUAAAUGCACUUACAGUCUAUAGAUCUAGGAGUACCUCUACUUUAUAUGCUUGGGCAGCAAAAUGCCCACCUGGAGAUGCCAUCAGAGGUCUUAGUUUCUGUGGCUUAUAUUUCUGGAGGUAUGAAAGAUAAACAGAAGAAAGAAUCAGUCUAGUGUAGUAUGUUGUAGUACAGGGACAAAAUCAAAUAUAGAAGUGAGAAUUCACUCACAGAUUUCUGAGCCUCCAACUGGCCCCCAAAAAGCAGGUUUGGGUUGACUGGAAAAAGAAAAAAGUGCAACGAUAUCGAUAAGCUUUGUUCACCAGUGAAAAACCCAAUAAGACUUUGAAACAGUACUUGUUAAACUCAAAGUUUUUCAUAAAAUUCCAUGUUUUUAGGUGAUUAAUGUGUAAUUUGCUUGGACAGGUGCUGUAUAAAACAAAGGGUUAUCUCCACCAGCCACUAAUAAUUCUAAGCCCGCGUGUCCAUCAAUUAAAAACUCCAUUAUUACCAAUAUAAAUCACCGAUAUUUAUCUAACUGUCGAGAUUGUUGAAAAAAGCCGUAUGGAGGAACCGGCUGAGUCAUUAUUAAUUCCAGUCUCUGUGAUAGGGAGGGAGACUGAAGCUAAGAAAACAUUUUAGACCAGCAAGUAAACUAUAUUUUGUCAGACAUGCCAUAUCAUUAUGGUUGCAGCAUUUUCUUACUUUUAACAUUUUUGUUCCAAAAUCACUUUAACCUCUUGUGUGACAAAUGUUUCAGGAGAAAUGUUUAAAACAAAUAAUACCAUCGCUAAGUAGUGCAGCUACAAGUAACAAAGUAAGAUCUAACUCUGGCAGAUGUAGAAUAAUAAGUCAAAUAAACUCGUCUGUCUAGGCUUGCUAUUAUUUUUGGCAAUUGUAAGGACUCAAAUGUAAAAAUAAAAACUAACAUAUAUAUAUAUUAAGGAAACACAACACAAUGUAUUAGUAUAGAUAACGCACUGGGGAGAUUGAUAUAGAUGCAGGGCUCCCAACUGUCCCGCUUUUGGGGUUGUGCAUUGCCAUCCUGUUGUGGGACACCAUGGAACAUACCUGAAGAGCAUCAUUAGAUGUGCGUGUGCUGUGCAGUGGGCACUUUGACCUCACAGACAGCGCUCCCUUCAUGAUCCUAGGAGGUUGUCUAAAAGCCUGGAGCGCUUGUUGUCAGGGUGAGAGCCCCUCAAUGGGCAGGCAUGCCCACUUCCUGGAUGGAGUCAGACCAUUAUGGGUGCCAAAAGUAAUCUAAGUUACAUUACUGACAAUGCCCCCUUGAAGGCCCGACUAACCAACGUUGGGUGGUAUCUGGCAUGUACGUGAAUAGUGUGCUGUCGGAGAUUUUAUGCACAAUAUCAAUCUGCUUUAGCGUUGUUCACUCCUCUGUUCAGGAAACUGACCACCCUCCCUUCACCUGAGUAAGAUAGGUGGGGGUAGCCAGUUACUGUAGCCCAGAUGCCCCGUGCUCCGGGGAGAACUAAUUAAAGAUAAUCGCCAGCUUCCUCCUCACGUUAAAUACAACCCAUGAAUGCACCCCUAACUGUAUGCAGGAAUGGGGAGAAGGAUUUAUCCCAUCCUUGUAAAUGAGUAUUUUGCGUUUCAGAAGCAGAGCCAAUAAAUUGGUCAAUGAAUUAAACAUUGCUUGCAUUCUUGACGCUGUCUAAGUUAAAAAGCAUCUUUUACAACUGAGCUGAUGAUAAUUAUGUUUCGGUUAAACCACAUAAAAUAGAUUGUAAGCUUUUCUUUGAGUGAGAAACACAGCUGAGGUAAAUAUAAUACAUGUUAUUAAAGUUUGACUGGUAUGAAAGACUGUUUUAACUACUUCCCACAAUGCAAUGCAAAAAUAUGCAAAUAUGUUCUAAGAGCUCAGUCUCAAUUCCCUAUUUACAUUACACCUGUUGUUACAACGACAUGAUGGGUUACUGACCAUUGACAAACUUGCUUGGUUCUUUUUGGAGCUUCAGUUAAAGGGAUCCUAUAGUGCCAGGAAAACAAACCCGUUUUCCUGGCACUAUAGGCUCCUAUAGUGCCCCCCUCCCGUGCGACUGAAGGGGUUAAAACCCCUUCUGCCAUUUACCUGAAUCUGACUGUAAUGACUUUUUUCGGCUAUUAGAAGGAAUGGUUUAUUAUAUGAUUUUAUUCAGUGAUCUACUAAAUUAUAUUUCACUGUACCCAAACCUUCUCCUCUGUACGGGAAUAAAAUAACGGAUUCUAUUUAUUAUUUACAUGUAAUAUUUAUUCCCAAUCUGCCAUCAUUACAUUAUGAAAUUGCCAUCAUUAUAUUAUUAACUGAUAGUAUUCAGUCCUCAUCUUCAGUAAGCAAAGUAAAGCCCUCUCAUACUGGAACAAUGUCACAAUAACACAGAGAUAACUCAAACAGUGGCUGUUGGACCCGGUCUGGGCUUUAAUUAAAGGACCACUCUAGGCACCCAGACCACUUCAGCUUAAUGAAGUGGUCUGGGUGCCUGGUCCAGCUAGGAUUAACCCUUUUUUAAAAUAAACAUAGCAGUUUCAGAGAAACUGCUAUGUUUAUAAAUAGGUUAAUCCAGCCUCUAAAGCCUCUAGUGGCUGUCUCAUUGACAGCCGCUAGAGGCGUUUGCGUGCUUCUCACUGUGAAAAUCACAGUGAGAAGAUGCCAGCGUCCAUAGGAAAGCAUUAUGAAUGCUUUCCUAUGAGACUGGCUGAAUGCGCGCGCAGCUCCUGCCACGCAUGCGCAUUCAGCCGAAGAGGAGGAUCAGAGGCGGAGAGGAGGAGGAGAGCUCCCUGCCCGGCGCUGGAAAAAGGUAAGUGUUUAACCCCUUUCCUCUCCCCAGAGCCCAGUGGGAGGGGGACCCUGAGAGUGGGGGCACCCUCAGGGCACUAUAGUGCCAGGAAAACGAGUAUCCUUUAAGGGUUCAGACUGGGAUGCUGUUACACAAACCAAGGAAAUAGAACUACUGCCCAUUGAGAUGAAAUUAGCAAAAGAUACACAAUAUACAGCAGAUUCAAUUGAUAUAUCCACAUAGUGGCCAACAUUUAAUAAAAAGUUCCAGGGACACUUUGCAGCACAGCUAUCAAUUACUACCUUGAACAUUUACCACACCCACUCCCGCAAAGCUCCGCCCACUAUGCCCAACCCACAUAACUAAUCUCCGCCUACUUAUAUUGCAAAUUACAGGGUCUAAUGUUCAAUAAAGAGAGAAUUACAGGGAAUUGAGAUGGGAAUUUCAAACUUAAGGCCAAAGUAACCGAGUUAGAAAAAUUCUCCCAUUCAGCUGCAUUAUAUCUGCCUAAAGUUUGAAAUUCCCAUCACAAUUCCCUGCAGUUCUCUCUUUAUUGAGCAGACCUUUAUAACACCAAGUUCCCGCCAACAGUACCAGCAUCCUUGGUAUCAGAUAGAUACAUGCGCAGCACAGCAUCUAUAGCAGGCAGGUACAUUGUAUCGCUUUAAUGUGAGUUGGGUAUCGGCGGUGACACUGUCAGUACAAACAUACAAAGACCUUCUACAGAUGUGCUUCAGUCAGAGAGUUGUGACUACACCAUAGAAAUACAUUAGUUUACAAAAAUAAUUAUAUUGGGGAGUGAAUAUAGUAAAAAAAAAAAAAAAAUAACUGAAUAUAGGAAAUGGAAGAUAUAGAAGGAGAGCUUACAGAAUGGAUUUAAUAAGAGAAAUGGGAACAAAAGGAAAACAUAUGCACAUAUUCUAUUAGCCCCUUUUCAUGCCCCCAAUUCAAUAUGUUAAAUGUCUCAGAUUGAGGCUUCAGUCACCACUCCAAUGCUUCUGAUUCAUCUAGUUCCAUAAGUCUAUGGGUAUUAUACGUGUAUUAUACAAAGAGCGGCACUAUACAGGGAGCACUGACUGUCCCAGGAUAUUAUACACACAGACCUGUAUUAUACAGAGAGCAGCACUAUACAGGGAGCACUGACUGUCCCAGGAUAUUAUACACACAGACCUGUAUUAUACAGAGAGCAGCACUAUACAGGGAGCACUGACUGUCACAGGAUAUUAUACACACAGACCUGUAUUAUACAGAGAGCAGCACUAUGCAGGGAGCACUGACUGUCCCAGGAUAUUAUACACACAGACCUGUAUUAUACAGAGAACAUCACUAUACAGGGAGCACUGACUGUCCCAGGAUGGUAUACACACAGACCUGAACUAUACAGAGAGCAGCACUAUACAGGGAGCACUGACUGUACCAGGAUAUUAUACACACAGACCUGUAUUAUACAUAGAGCAGCACUAUACAGGGAGCACUGACUUCCCAGGAUAUUAUACACACAGACCUGUAUUAUAAAGAGAGCAGCACUAUACAGGGAGCACUGACUGCCCUGUGAUAUUAUACACAGACCUGUAUUCUAAAGAGAGCAGCACUAUGAAGGGAGCACUGACUGUCUCGGGAUAUUAUACACACAGACCUGUAUUAUAUAGAGAACAGCACUAUACAGGGAGCACUGACUGUCCCAGGAUGGUAUACACACAGACCUGAACUAUACAGAGAGCAGCACUAUACAGGGAGCACUGACUGUCCUGGGAUAUUAUACACACAGACCUGUAUUAUACAUAGAGCAGCACUAUACAGGGAGCACUGACUUCCCAGGAUAUUAUACACACAGACCUGUAUUAUAAAGAGAGCAGCACUAUGAAGGGAGCACUGACUGUCCCAGGAUAUUAUACACACAGACCUGUAUUAUACAUAGAGCAGCACUAUACAGGGAGCACUGACUUCCCAGGAUAUUAUACACACAGACCUGUAUUAUAAAGAGAGCAGCACUAUGAAGGGAGCACUGACUGUCUCGGGAUAUUAUACACACAGACCUGUAUUAUACAGAGAACAGCACUAUACAGGGAGCACUGACUGUCCCAGGAUGGUAUACACACAGACCUGAACUAUACAGAGAGCAGCACUAUACAGGGAUCACUGACUGUCCCAGGAUAUUAUGCACACAGACCUGUGUUAUACAGAGAGCAGCACUAUACAGGGAGCACUGACUGCCCUGUGAUAUUAUACACAGACCUGUAUUCUAAAGAGAGCAGCACUAUGAAGGGAGCACUGACUGUCUCGGGAUAUUAUACACACAGACCUGUAUUAUACAGAGAACAGCACUGACUGUCCCAGGAUGGUAUACACACAGACCUGAACUAUACAGAGAGCAGCACUAUACAGGGAGCACUGACUGCCCUGUGAUAUUAUACACAGACCUGUAUUCUAAAGAGAGCAGCACUAUACAGGGAGCACUGACUUCCCAGGAUAUUAUACACACAGACCUGUAUUAUACAGAGAAAAGCACUAUACAGAGAGCACUGACUGUCCUGGAAUAUUCUACACACAGACCUGCAUUAUACAGAGAGCAGCACUAUAUAGGGAACGCCAACUGUCCCAGGAUAUUAUACACACAGACCUGUAUUAUACAGAGAAAAGCACUAUACAGGGAGCACUGACUGUCCUGGGAUAUUCCACACACAGACUUGCAUUAUACAGAGAGCAGCACUAUAUAGGAAACGCUAACCGUCCCAGGAUAUUAUACACAGACCUGUAUUAUACAGAGAGCAACACUAUACAUGAAGCACUGACUGUCCCAGGAUAUUAUACAUAGACCUGUAUUCUAAAGAGAGCAGCACUAUACAGGGAGCACUUUCUGUCCCAUGAUAUUAUACACAGACCUGUAUUAUACAGAGAGCAGCACUAUACAGGGAGCACUGUCUGUCCCAUGAUAUUAUACACAGACCUGUAUUAUACAGAGAGCAGCACUAUACAGGGAGCACUGACUGUCCCAUGAUAUUAUACACAGACCUGUAUUAUACAGAGAGCAGCACUAUACAGGGAGCACUGACUGUCCAGGAUAUUAUACACAGACCUGUAUUAUACAGAGAACAGCACUAUACAGGGAGCACUGACUGUCCCGGGUUAUUGUACACAGACCUGUAUUAUACAGAGAGCAGCACUAUACAGGGAACACUGUCUGUCCCAUGAUAUCAUACACAGACCUGUAUUAUACAGAGAGCAGCACUAUACAGGGAGCACUGACUGUCCCAGAAUAUUAUAGACACAGACUUGUAUACAGAGAGCAGCACUAUAUAGGGAGCGCUAACUGUCCCAGGAUAUUAUACACAGACCUGUAUUAUACAGAGAGCAGCACUAUACAGGGAGCACUGUCUGUCCCAUGAUAUUAUACACAGACCUGUAUUAUACAGAGAGCAGCACUAUACAGGGAGCACUGACUUUCCCGGGUUAUUAUUCACAUACCUGUAUUAUACAGAGAGCAGCACUAUACAGGGAGCACUGUCCCAUGAUAUUAUACACAGACCUGUAUUAUACAGAGAGCAGCACUAUAGUAUUAUACACACACUGCUGAAUACACACACACACAGACUGCGGAGUACACACACACAGACUGCUGAGUACACACACACAGACUGCAGUGUGUGUGUGUGAAGGGUGCAGUGUGUGACGGGUGCUGUGUGUGUGCGUGAGGUGUGCUGUGUGUGCAUGGGGGGGUGCAGUGUGUGUGUGUGUAAGGGGUGCAGUGUGUGUGUGUGUGUGUGUGUGUGUGUGGGGUGCCUUGUGUGUGUGCUCACUACAGAAAAGCUCACUGACACACACACACACACACACACACAAGGCUGAGUAUAUCAAGCCUACCCGGCACUGAAGGCUGUUGCUGGGAGGUCAGGUAUUCAUUUUCUGGCCUUUUCCUCCUGCAGCAAGGUCUCCUGCAUAAAGGUGGAGGCAGAGCUUGGUGGUGGGAGGCAGGGUUUGCAUGCAUGGGCAGCGCUUCUGUCGCGGGCGGAGUUUGUGCCCGCGAGGCAGAGCAAGAGCCUGUUUGCCAGCAAAGUUGCUGGGAAAUCGAAAGGAGGCCCCAGCAGCCUCCAGCAUCUCUCUAUAGCCCCGAGCACCUCUCUUCAGCUCCCAGCAUCUCUCUAUAGCCCCAAGCACCUCUCUCCAGCUCCCAGCACCUCUAUAUAGACCCCAGGAUCUCUACAGCCCCCAACAUCUCUCCAGAGACCCCAGCAUCUCUCCACAGACCCCAGCAUCUUUCUAUAGCCCCCAUCAUCUCUAUAUAGACCCGAGGAUCUCUAUAUAACCCACAGCACCACUCUACAGCCACCAGCAUCUCUCUUUAGCCAUCAGCAUCUCUCUCCAGCCCCCAGCAUCUCUCUCUGGCCCCAGCAUCUCUCUAUAGCCCCCAGCAUCUCUCUAUAGUCCCAGCAUUUCUCUAUAGCCCUAGCAUUUCUCUCCAGCCCCCAGAAUCUCUCUAUAGCCCCAUCACCUCUCUACAGCCCCCAGCAUCGCUCUAUAGCCCCAUCAUCUCUCUAUAGCCCUGAGCAACUCUCUCCAGCCCCCAGCAUCUCUCAAUAACCCCCAGAAUCUCUCAAUAACCCCCAGAAUCUCUCCAGACUCCAGCAUCUCUUUCCAGCCCCAGCAACUCUCUAUAGCCCCCCCAGCAUUUAUCUAUUGCCCCAGCAUCUCUUUCCAGCCCCCAGCAUCUCUCUCCAGUCCCAGCAUCUCUAUAUCACCCAGCAUCUCUCUUUGGCCCCCAGCAUCUCUCUAUAGCAGCCAGCAUCUCUCUCCAGCCCCAAGCAUCUCUCUCCAGCCCCAAGCAUCUCUCUCCAGCCUCAAUCAUCUCUCUCCAGCCUCAAUCAUCUCUCUCAUCUCUCUCCAGCCCCCAGCAUCUCUCUCCAGCCCCCAGCAUCUCUCUACAGUCCCCAAUAUCUCUCUAUAGCCCCCAGCAUCUCUCUAUAGCCCUCAGCAUCUCUCUCCAGCCCCCAGCAUGUCGCUCCAGCCCCCAGCAUCUUGCUCCAGCCCCCAGCAUCUUGCUCCAGCCCCCAGCAUCUCUCUAUAGCCCCCAGCAUCCCUCUCCGGUUCACAGCAGCUGUCUCCAACACCCAGCAUCUCUCUAUAGCCCCCAGCAUCUCUCCAUAACCCCCGGCAUCUCUCUCCAUCCCCACCAUCUCUAUAGCCCCCAGCAUCUCUCCAUAACCCCGAAUCUCUCCAUCCCAUCUCUCUACAGCCCCCAGCAUCUUUCCAUAACCCCCGGCAUCUCUCUCCAUCCCCCAAAAUCUCUCUAUAGCCCCCAGCAUCUCUCUAUAGCCCCCAGCAUCUCUCUCCAGUUCUCUAUAGCCCCCAACAUCUUUCUCCAGCUCCCAUCAUCUCUCUCCAGCCCCCAGCACCUCUCUCCAGCCCCCAGCACCUCUCCCCGGCAGCUCUGUCCUGAAUAUAAUAAAAGCAUAUGGCUAGCAAGGUGCCGGUACUGUCACGGGAGAGUAAAUUGUCUGGGUCAGACUCCAGCUUGCCGGGACUGUCCCGGCAAAAAUGGGACAGUUGGCAACUAAAAGUCCUCUAGAAAGCUAACUUGGAAUUAGGACGGAUUCGACGUCAGACAAUUUAUUGGUGAGUUAUUGGAGGUAAAAGGCCAGAGGGAACGGAAACCUAAUGCUUAGCUGCCUGGAUUGUACCCCCUAACAGCAGUGUCCAGUAAAGAAGGAAGUCAAAGAGCGGGGUAAAAGGGUGGGCCACUGAUUCGAAUCACGUGACCAGAACUGCCAAAAGGGGCGAACAUGCCCAAAAAGGGGGCAUGUUUGUCCAAAGAAUUGGAAGGCCAGCCUGGCAUCAGUGUCCCUAUGUAUCACAGUGUCAGUGUCCCCAUGUCGCCCAGUACCCUAGUCUCCCAGUGUUUGUGUCCCCAUUUCUGUGAGGGUUCAAAUUAGGGUUAGGUAAGUGAUUCUAACCUCUCUCACACUCUAUUCUUACCCUAACCCUUGGGGUAAGGGUUAAAAUAAAGUGUGAUAAAGCACUAUUUAGUGAUAAUCCCCUAAUGUGAAAUAUCACUAAAUAUGAACAAGUCCCUAAUCCUAACCCUAAUUUGAACCCUAACAUUAACCCUAAAUGUCCCAUGUCCUAAGCUUAGUGAAUGCACUAACUAUAAUGAAAGUGUAAAACUAGUUUUACUUACCUUCCCAGACCUGGCUGUGUUACUUACCUUCCAGGAUCUGGCCGUGUUACUUACCUUCCAGGACCUGGCUGUGUUACUUACCUUCCAGGACCUGGCCGUGUUACUUACCUUCCAGGACCUUGCUGUGGAGGAGUAGCAGGAGUGCUAGCAUGCAUGUGCAGCACAGCAUCCAGCUGAUUCCCCUCACUGGAAGUGACAGGGGUAUAGAAAUCUGACGGGGUAUAGCAGAAUGAUAGAACAGCGGCCCUGGUGGUGCCCCCCUCCCCCUCCAAAAAAAAACCUGUCACCUCAAAACUAUCUUAUAGUAUAAUAAUAUUUUAAUCAAGUUUUAAAAAGAAACAGAUUUCUUUAUUUUUAUGAAGUAUAUGUAAAAAACAACCAUCUCAUCCCUUUAUUCUAUGACAUGAUCCUACAGCCCUAUACUGUACAUGCACCUUGGCUCAGACUGAGUAUAAAAACCAACUACACAGAGACUAAAUGUUGGUUUUCAAACACUGACCUAAGGGGUCAUUUCUCUUCAUUUUGAAAAAAAUCUAUUUCCUUUCAAAACUUGAUGAAAGGAUUAUUUUUAUAUUAAACAGGCUAAAACCUGUUAUCUUUAGAAUUUAGUAACCCUGUAUAAUUCACAGUGAGAAGCGGAGCUGGGAUAUCCAGGCUCGGUUAGGCUGGGCUCCUAAUGGUUUGACAUCUACUGAUGGAGACUGUGGCAAAACUAGCCACUUAAGACUAUCCAUAUAUUGAAUGUGUUUAUAUCCCUGUUUCAGCUGUGAGAACCAAGUGUAAACAAGUGAGGGCGUUCGUAUGCUUGCAGUAUGAAAAACCCAGCAUUCCUAAUGUAGUUUCACGAACAAUGAGUUUCAACACUGUUCGUGAAACAAAUAAACUACCGAAUGGUCGACCACACACAAGAGGUCGUGUGGCUCCCAUUAACAGAUUGCAACAUUGUUGCUUCCCUAGGUGGCCGUCGUUCGGCUACCGACCACGCGGCGGUCAGCCAUCUUGGAUCCUUUGUUAGCCCAGCGGUGUUUUGCCGUCGAGCGCCUGGAACUAAAAUCGGCUACUCGACGGCGCGAACACCGGUGGACUUCCAGGCCGUUUGGGAGCCCCGGGCGUUCGGUAGUUUGUUCCCCUAAUAUCAAUCGCUAUUUUAGCAGUGUGUUGGAAAUAAUGUGUAUUUCGUGCAGCGUUCGGUUAGUUAGACUGGGAGCUGAGCGGUAUCCAGCUAUCUACCGAACGUCCAUUCGUUUAAAUACAGUGAAUAUCAAGAAAGUUAUGCAUUUUAAUGUAAAAUGUAAGUUCUGCUGCACGUGGGGAUAAUCCACUUAGCUGUAUAUUCUAGUGGGAGUAUCCUUCUCGUACAGCAGUGCAUGAUGGGAGAAAUGUAUGUGUUGGUCAGUUCCCCAUGUAGUCCCCUACUGUACCACCCCUGGAAUGUCAGUAGGGAAACCCCUUACAUGGGGAAUCCCAUAAAUACAGUGACCUGUGAAUAAAAACCUCAGUUGACUCCCAGCCUAUGUGUCGUCUAGUUCUUGGGAAGGAAGGAUUCUUAUAACGCUACCGGGAUUAUUGUAUGCUGUAUUUAUUUCCUUGGAAUAUUUUAUGCUUGUGACAGAACCAUCUGUCUGGUUAUUGCUGGUGGAUUCAUCUGUUUUGCCCCGUUCGUGUAAAUGUUCCUAUAGCCCAGCCAUACGAAUGACCGUUUUUCCCGAACAAAACUACGGAACGGAUGGCCACCCAGGAGAGAAGUGUGCUGCUGGUUAACCUAUUGAUCCCAAUUAGAACGUUGUGGUUAACGGCAGACACUUCUCAAUUAAACCGAAUUCAGGGUGGUCGUCGUUCAUAUGUCGACCACGAGGCAGCGGCCAUUUUAAAACACGCGAAAGCCCAGCGGUGUUCGGCUCUAUUUUCAUGGAACUAAAAACGGACACUUUUUCUGCCGAACACCGCUGAAACAACGGAACGCCUGGCUGCCUCCACGAAAGCAUACGAAUACCGGCCGUUCGGGAGUUUUGAAGCAUACGAAAGGACUUAACCCAGAUAGCCUUCCCAUGGAGUCAUUCGUAUACCGAAAGACUGUAAGAACUUUGACUCCAUGGCAAUUGAACUAUGUGUGUGGGAUCUGAGCGCUAUUCGCUAAUAAUAUGCACUCAGAUCCAGGCUAUCUGGGGAUAUGUGAUGUGAAUGGGAAAUGGUCGGUUUUUGUGAAGUUAUGUAUUUUUAUGUCUUUUCUGAUUUUAUAUUUAAAAUGGUGACUGGCUUUGUCCUGGAGAUAAUUGAGUUACUUCUUAAUUAUCUCCAGGGCAGAGGGGAGGAAACCAUAUUGCAUUGUGGGUAAAAGCUGUGACUGUGUGUCUGGAAUGUCCCCAUAUCUGUCUGUCAUUUCAGUCUCCCAUUUGGUCCCCUAGGGGAGUGUCCACCAAGUGGGAGACCUGCAUAAAUACGGGCAGUUGGCCCACAGUAAAGCCAGAUCCUGUUUUGACCCUCAAUGCGGAGCUUCUGUCUCGUUAUUGGGGGAUUUCUUCUUUACGCUUAGAGACUGCUGGAUGGAACCGAAAGCCGCUUGGUGGAUGUUAUUGUUCGGCGGCUAGCAGCAGUUCGUGGAUUGCUGUUCAGGAGUUUGGAGCCGGUCACGGAGCUCGGUCGGGAGAUUGCCGCUUCCCCUGAGCUUGGUUCGUGCACUACAGGUUAUGCGAACGGAGAUUAUUGGUAUUGCAGAAGAACCGACUAAACGGCGGUUUCAUUUAAAGACACCGGGGGUGUCUUAACAAUGCUGUUCCUGUUACCCAGCGGAGAUACUGUGGAUUAUACUACCUCUCCGCUACAGAGACAUUAUACAACACUCCCGGCCAAUAUCAGCCAGACUGGCUCGACUCCUACAGCCUAGACUUGUACAGUCUGGGUACCUAUUGGACACCUACUGGCUGGACGACACAUAUUCAGACUGUGCAAUACAGAUCCUGCCAUGGUUUGAUCCCUGUGUCAGACCGUUUCCUGUAGAGUUUAUUCUGUUACUAUUACUUGAAAUUAACCCAAACCGCAACAAGUUUUGCGGUCCAUAGAGUUUACAUAGCCGGAGUUUGUGGCUCAGAGAACAAUAUAAAGUGUCCUCAGACUGUUUAAACUGGCCAUACCUUAAUAAAAAAACGUCCUCCUACCAUGUAAAUCCACCCCAGCACCAAAUAAAAUGUCUGUAACACUAUGUAAAAUGGCCACAGAUUGUUUAAACUGGCCAAAAAUAUUCAGGAAACUUCUCUGCAGAAUCUCCCAAAUAAUGAAAUGUACUGCUAUAGGCUUUAUACAGAGAUCAAUGCAUAUACAAUCAUUGUCUGUGUACAUACUGCGCACUGCACUGCAUAUGCUGUCAUUGUCUGUGUGUAUACUGCGCACUGCACUGCAAAUACUGCCAUUGUCUGUGUGUAUACUGCGCACUGCACUGGAUAUACUGCCAUUGUCUGCAUACUGCACACUGCACUGUAUAUACUGCCAUUGCCUGCAUAUACUGCCAUUGUCUGUAUAUACUGCACACUGCACUGCAUAUACUGUCAUUGUCUGUGUAUAUACUGCGCACUGCAUAUNNNNNNNNNNNNNNNNNNNNNNNNNNNNNNNNNNNNNNNNNNNNNNNNNNNNNNNNNNNNNNNNNNNNNNNNNNNNNNNNNNNNNNNNNNNNNNNNNNNNCAUGUUAAAAGACUUUGUUUCCCCUGCAGAAAAGACUUAUUCGUGCUUUUCUGCCCGGUGUUCGGUAGAUUCAAUCUACCGAACAACCGCCCGAAUGACUAGACCACCUGGGAGCUGGAGUGUGCCGGCAAUUAGCCUCCCAGAAGCUGCGGUUAACCGCAGCUUAAUCGACGAAUACUGGGUGGCCGCCAUUCGUAUAACGAACACGAGGUCGCGGCCAUUUUAAACACACGAACGAACAGCGGUGUUCGACGCUUAACUCAUGGAACUAAAAACGGACACGGCUUGGCGUGAACACCGCUGAGGUCGCCGACCUCCCUUCUUGUUGGGUGGAAGUGCACGAACGGCCCACUGUUCGGUAGUUGUGCCUGACUGCACUAUACCCCAGAUAGGAAUCCCAUGGAGCUCAUUCGUAUGAGAACUGACUUUGUGAAGACUUUGGCUCCAUGGCGAUUAAACUGAAUUUGUGUGGUCUGAGCGCCAUUUGCUUAAAGGACCACUCUAGGCACUCAGACCACUUCAGCUUAAUGAAGUGGUCUGGGUGCCAGGUCCAGCUAGGGUUAACCCAUUUUUUCAUAAUUAUAGCAGUUUCAGAGAAACUGCUAUAAUUAUGAAUGGGUUAAGCCUUCCCCCUAAUCCUCUAGUGGCUGUCUCAUUGACAGCCACUAGCGCUGCGUGCUUCUCACUGUUUUUCACAGUGAGAGCAUAGCGUCCAUAGAAAACAUUGUAAAUGCUUUCUUUCCUAUGCGGCUCUUUGAAGCUAGCUUCUUUUCAUUCAAGGGAGAAAUGAGGCGGAGGAGGAUACUCCCCGCCCAGCUGGAAAAAGGUAAGUUUAAACCCCUUUCCCCCUUCCAGUGCCGGGCGGGAGGGGGUCCCUGAGGGUGGGGGCACCCUCAGGGCACUAUAGUGCCAGGAAAACGAGUAUGUUUUCCUGGCACUAUAGUGGUCCUUUAAUAAUCCGCGCUCAGACCUGAACUAUCUGGGGAUAUGUUAAAUGAAUAGUUUUAUUGUAACUUGUGUCAUAUAAUGUAUUUUAAUAGUAAUUCCUGUAUUGGUAUCCCCACAUGAAUAAUGGUGAUUUGCCUUUGUCCUGGGAGAUAAUUGAAUUACUUCUCAAUUAUCUCCAGAGCAGAGGGGAGGAAGCCAGGAUGCAUUGUGGGAAUAUAAUGUGACUGUGUGUCCUGUUUGGCUGAUUGUUUGUCUUUUGUCACAGUCUCCCAUUUGGUCCCCUAGGGGAGUGUCCACCAAGUGGGAGGCCUGCAUAAAUACUGGGCAGGUAGCCCUCAUUAAAUAGACCACUGCUUGACCAUCAACACAGAGCCUUGUCUCGUCUUUGGGGGGAUUUACUGAAUGCUGAUAUAGACUGAUUGCUAGGAGUGUAAGCCGCUUGGAUGCUUUUCCUAUUCGUCUGCUAGCAGCUAUUCGUAUGGUUCCAGUUCGUGAGUUUGGAGUGUUAUAUUGUAUGCCGUUCGGGAGUUUGGAGCAUUCCCUUACAUGCGGUUCGGGAGUUUGGUGUUCUACAGUAGCUGUGCCUUCAUCUCUGAAAGGGGACGAUCGCCUAAACGGUUUUAACCCCUUGUGUGCUGAAACGGUCCGUUACAAUUGGUGGCAAGCGGCGGGAUCGUUCCUACAGCCAGAGGGACAGCUACAGGAGACACCAUUCCGUGGAUUUUACAAUUUGAGGGCAACGCAUGUCCCAGUACAGCGACCCUGACAGCACCAGGAUGGAACCAGCAGUGGAGUAUGAUGAGGGUGUCAUGGAUGACCGAGAUGCAGUUCGCAAAGGCAUCUGGUACCAGGCACUGGGUAUUGUGGAGUACCAGUGGGAAGAGAGAUUCCCCAAGCAAGACCAGCGGUUAAAGAAGCAAGUAGCCCUGCGGAUGCCCUUCCUGGGAGAGCAGCCCCUGGAGGUAUGGGUGAAGAAAUUGGAACACCUAGUAUGGCAAGAGAUGUGGCUGGAAGAUGCCUACCAGGCGCUCUGGUGGUAUGGGGCACAGUACCUGCCCUGGACAGCCGAGCACAACAAGCCAGAGGGAGAGGAGUUUGAUGAGCCCUACACAAGCCCGGUUCAGUGAUCUAUUGGAGUGGAGGGAGAGCAGGUAUGACUGGAACGACACUCAGGAGAUUGAGCAAGACCUGGUCCACCUAGUGACCCGAGAGAUGGAGCUGGAGCAGGGCUACCAAGAUCUGUUCAACUCCAGUGAGAAGGCUCAGCAGGGAAGUGGAGACCCAGAUCCAGACCUAGAUAUGGCAGAAAAUUACUGGGAAGAACCCCAGGUGGCUGGUGGAGAUGGGACCGAGGUCUCUCCACCGGUCCUGCAGGGAAUUGGGAGCUCGAGCUCCAUUCCCCAGCGGGAGAUAUUGCAGGGAAUUGGGAGCCCGAGCUCCAUUCCCUAGCGGGAGAUAUUGCAGGGAAUUGGGAGCCCGAGCUCCAUUCCCCAGCGGGAGAUAUUGCAGGGAAUUGGGAGCCCGAGCUCCAUUCCCCAGCAGGAGAUAUUGCAGGGAAUCGGGAGCCCAAGCUCCAUUCCCCAGCGGCAGGCUGAGUUACAGGGGGCAGAGACAAGUGGUCCUGUCCCCCAGCGGCAGUGUACUUUGCAGGGAGAGGAGAGCAGCGUCCUCCCUCCCCAGUGGCAGGGUGAGCUACAGGGAUGCUGGGUGGUCGGCUCAGAUCCCCAGCGGCAGUAUGAUUUUUUGGGAAUUGGGAGCCCAGUCUCCAUUCCCCAGCGGCAGUACGAAUUAUUGGGAAUUGGGAGCCCAGUCUCCAUUCCCCAGCGGCAGAGUGUCCUACCGGGAAUAGAGAGCCCAGUCUCCUUUCCCCAGCAGCAGGACUCUGUAUUGGGAGCGGAGACAGUCGGUCUCCCUCCCCCACGGCUGGAAGUAUGUAUGGGAGAGAAGCUUGUUACCCCCUCUCCCCAGCGGCAGCUUAAUGUACCAAGGGGGGACAGUAAGCCCCACAACUGUGCAGCACAGGGGGUAGGGACGGUUGGUUCUGCCCCCCAGCGACAUGGCUGUUUAACCAAAGGGGAGACAGUCGGUCUCCAGCAGCAGGGCUGUGUGUCUAAAGGGGAGACAGUCGGUGUCUCAAACAGCAGGGCUGUGUGUCUAAAGGGGAGACAGUUGGUCUCCAGCAGCAGGGCUGUGUGUCUAAAGGGGAGACAGUCGGUCUCCAACAGCAGGGCUGUGUGUCUAAAGGGGAGACAGUCGGUCUCCAGCAGCAGGGCUGUGUGUCUAAAGGGGAGACAGUCGGUCUCCCCCUCCAACCACCAGGCUCCAACCAGGCUACCUCCACAGCAGCGCUGGCACCAGGGCAGAGUACUGCUGGUCUCUACCCACUCAGCAACCCACCAAAGCAGCCUACCAGUCACCCACACAGCCGUGGUGAGGCACCUGGACAUGGACAAGCUUCUCCUCUACCCAGGUGUAGUAACCAUUUAGUGUGGGUGGGCUGUACUGCUGAUUGUGUUUUGUGGGUGGGCUGUACUGCUGAUUGUGUUUUGUUAACCGCAGCUUAAUUGACGAAUACUGGGUGGCCGCCAUUCGUAUAAUGAACACGAGGUCGCGGCCAUUUUAAACACGCUUAACUCAAGGAACUAAAAACGGACACGCUUUGGCGCGAACACUGCUGAAGUCGCCGACCUCCCUUCUUUUUCGGUGCACGAACGGCCCGGUGUUCGGUAGUUGUGCCUGACUGCACUAUACCCCAGAUAGGAAUCCCAUGGAGCUCAUUCGUAUGAGAACUGACUUUGUGAAGACUUUGGCUCCAUGGCAAUUAAAUUGUAUUCGUGUGGUCUGAGUGCCAUUCGCUUAAUAAUGUGCGCUCAGACCUGAGCUAUCUGGGGAUAUGUUAAAUGUAUAGUUUUAUUGUAACUUGUGUCAUAUAGUGUAUUUUAAUAGUAAUUCCUGUAUUGGUAUCCCCACGUGCAUAAUGGCGAUUUGCCUUUGUCCUGGGAGAUAAUUGAAUUACUUCUCAAUUAUCUCCAGGGCAGAGGGGCGGAAGCCAGGAUGCAUUUAGAACAAGUGCAUCCUGGCGGAAGCCAGGAUGCAUUGUGGGAAUAUAAUGUGACUGUUUGGCUGAUUGUCUGUCUUUUGUCACAGUCUCCCAUUUGGUCCCCUAGGGGAGUGUCCACCAGGUGGGAGACCUGCAUAAAUACUGGGCAGGUAGCUCUCAUUAAACAGAGCACUGCUUGACCCUCAAGGCUCCGGCCUUGUCUCGUCUUUGGGGGGGAUUUACUGAAUGCUGAUAUAGACUGAUUGCUAGGAGUGUAAGCCGCUUUGAUGCUUUUCCUAUUCGUCUGCUUGCAGCCAUUCGUAUGGUUCCAGUUCGUGAGUUUGGAGUGUUAUAUUGUAUGCCGUUCGGGAGUUUGGAGCAUGUGCUGUGUGCAUGUAGCUGUGCCUGCAUCUCUGAAAGGGGACGAUCGCCUAAACGGUUUUAACCCCUUGUGUGCUGAAACGGUAAAUAGAGUACAAAGAGUUGUCAUUAAUGGUAAAUUUUCAAGCUGGACAGAGGUGGCAAGUGUUGUCCCUUAGGGUUCUGUUUUGGUCCCCUUCUAUUUAAUAUGUUUAUAAAUGAUCUUGAAAAACAAUGAAAGUAAUUUUUCAGUGUUUGCAGAUGACACAAAUCUUUGUAAAGUAAUAAAAUGUGAGCAGGAUAUUGCUUUGCUACAGAGGGAUUUAGAUAGACUGAGGGAUUGGGCACUCAAAUGGCAGAUGAAAUUUAUUGUUGAAAAAUGCAAAGUUACGAACUUCGGCGUAAAGAAUGCACAAGCAACGUAUACCCUUAAUGGAAACAAAUUAGGGAUAACAACACACGAAAAGGACUUGGGAAUUGUUAUAGAUAACAAACUAUGCAACAAUGUGCAAUGUCAAUCAGCAGUGGCUAAGGCCAGUAAGGUAUUGUCAUGCAUGAAAAAGGGCAUUCAUUCUCGAGAUGAGAAUAUCAUUUUGCCUCUUUAUAAAUCACUGGUAAGACCACAUAUUGAAUAUGCUGUUCAAUUUUGGGCACUUGUUCUAAAGAAGGAUAUUAUGGCACUAGAAAAAGUGCAACGGCGGGCUACAAAAUUAAUAAAAGGAAUGGAACAUAUCAGCUAUGAAGAAAGGUUAACAAAUUUAAACCUAUUUAGUUUAGAAAAACGUCGCCUGAGAGGGGAUAUGAUAACAUUAUACAAAUAUAUUCAGGGCCAAUACAAACCAUUGUGUGGAAAUCUAUUCACAAACCAGACUUUACAUAGGACACAGGGUCAUGCGUUUAGACUGGAAGAAAGAAGAUUUUGUCUAAGGCAAAGAAAAGGUUUUUUUUACUGUAAGAACAAUCAGGAUGUGGAAUUCUCUGCCUGAAGAAGUGGUUUUAUCAGAAUCCAUACAGAUGUUCAAACAGCAAUUAGAUGCAUACUUGCAAAAAUAGAAUAUUCAAGGAUAUAAUUUUACAAUGUAGGGUAAUAGCUUCUUGAUCCAAGGAUAAAUCUGACUGCCAUUCUGGGUCAAGAAGGAAUUUAUUUGCUCGUUUGUUGCAAAAUUGGAAUUGCUUCAAACUGUUUUUUUUGCCUUCUUUUGGAUCAACCGCAAAAAAAACAAAUGUGAGCAAGGCUGUAUCUAUGAUCUGGUAUGAGGGAUCUGUGGAGAUAGUCAUCCAGUGUUGGCCUGAAAAGAAGGGAACUCUCUAAUAAAAACAAAAAAGACUGAUAGGGCUACCAGGGAUCCUAAGAACUAGGAGGCACCACAUAUAGUAGUGGAGCCACUGCUAACUAUUAGUUUUAGUUCCAACGAAAAGAUAUCUAGCAUUGCCAUGGAACAUCCUGAGAACCCAUCAACUACCAUGGAAAUAAGAAAAAAUUAUAAGAAGAAUAAAACAAUACCAUUAAGAUUAUAAGUGAUAUGACAGUCACACCGAGUGAGGAGAGGUAUCUACCACCAAAGAUGUCNNNNNNNNNNNNNNNNNNNNNNNNNNNNNNNNNNNNNNNNNNNNNNNNNNNNNNNNNNNNNNNNNNNNNNNNNNNNNNNNNNNNNNNNNNNNNNNNNNNNUGUUCGGGUUAAAUGGCCCUUUAUUAGGUACAAUCUCCUCCUUAGUGAAUACAACCUCCUUCUGUGCUGUAUUAUUCCUGGUAUCACACACACAACGUUAUCACUUGUUUUCAGAGAGUGAAAAUUCCAGCACUUUAGGAAUGAUUAGAUUAUAGCUGGGCUCAGCGCGGUCUCUACCAGAGACGUAUCAUUCCUGAUUAUUUCCUGCCCAGUCACCCAGCGGCGCUUAGUUUACCGAGCUUGGCCCUGUUUAUCCAAUCUCUCUGUGCUCUCAGUUAUCUCUCACCUCGCUCUCACGUUCUCUAUUCUUCCCCCCAAAUCAUCCUCUUCAGAGGUCCCAUCGCUAGUUUGGAAGCCCGGGGGCCCUUUCACUUUCAUUGCAUUAUAUUUCUCUUUCUCUCUUUCGUCGGGGUGAAUUCAGCAAACUCUGCGUUGUAGUAAAUUGAGUUCUGAAUGGUAAAAUCCGGGCUGAAAUAGUUAAUUUUAAAAACAAGCUGUAACUGAGCUCUCGUCACCGCUUGGCUAAUUAGCUGAAUUUGUGCCUUUGGAUAUAAUUUUAUAAAUUAGUGAGUGAUCUUUCAUAUCUCUCUGUCACUCUCUUCAUCUCUGUAUCUUUUACCUGAAGACAGUUUCAGUCUAUAUGUGUCAGCUGUCAGAGUAACGUAACGGGCUGUUUAGUGGAUAUACCCCUGUGUGGCGAGACCAAUCUCGCCACAUUGCAUUGGAGAAGCCUGGUUGCUCGCCUGCUGCCUUUGGACUAUGGCCCCAUGUUAAAAGACUUUGUUUCGCCUGCAGAAAAGCUUUAUUCGUGCUUUUCUGCCAGUUGUUCAGGUAGAUUCAAUCUACCGAACAACCGCACGAAUGAAUAGACCACCUGGGAGCUGGAGUGUGCCGGCAAUUAACCUCCCUAAGGCUGCGGUUAACCGCAGCUUAAUUGACAAAUGCUGGGUGGCCACCAUUCGUAUCCCGAACACGAUGACGCAGUCAUUUUAAACAUACGAAUGCACAGCGGUGUUCGACGCUUAAUUCAUGGAACUAAAAUCGGACACAGGUUUGCGCGAACACCGCUGAAGCCGCUGACCUCCCUUCUUGUUCGGUGGAAGUUCACAAACGGCCGGUGUUCGGUAGUUUUACUUGUCUAUGUUAUACCCCAGAUAGGAAUCCCAUGGAGCCCAUUCGCAUGAAACUGACUGUGUAAAGACUUUGGCUCCAUGGCGAUUACACUGUAUUCGUGUGGUCUGAGCGCCAUUCGCUUAAUAAUGUGCGCUCAGACCUGAGCUAUCUGGGGAUAUGUUAAAUGUAUAGUUUUAAUGUAAUGUGUCUUACAUGGUGUAUUUUAAUAGUAAUUCCUGUUUUAGUAUCCCCACAUGCAUAAUGGCGAUUUGCCUUUGUCUUGGGAGAUAAUUGAAUUACUUCUCAAUUAUCUCCCAGGGCAGAGGGAAGGAAGCCAGGAUGCAUUGUGGGAAUAUACUGUGACUGUGUGUCCUAUUUGUCUACUUGUCUGUCCUUUAUCACAGUCUCCCAUUUGGUCCCCUAGGGGAGUGUCCACCAGGUGGGAGACCUGCAUAAAUACUGGGCAGGUAGCCCUCAUUUUGGGGGGAUUUACUAAAUGCUGAUAGAGACUGAUUGCUAGGAGUGNNNNNNNNNNNNNNNNNNNNNNNNNNNNNNNNNNNNNNNNNNNNNNNNNNNNNNNNNNNNNNNNNNNNNNNNNNNNNNNNNNNNNNNNNNNNNNNNNNNNUAAAACCAGAACUUUGAUAGUGGUUACUACUCAUGCAAACUCGGAAUGGCAAGGUCAUCUUUGGAACCAGCACAGAUAUCAUACUGGAGCCCAGCACCAGUCUGUAGGGCUGGGGCGUGUGAAAUGGAGCUCCUUGUACCCACUUCUUAGCUGAAACAGGGGACAAACUGCAGCACUUCUGCCCACAGUCGCUGUUGCUUGACUGGGGCCCUGGAACCGCUCUCUCCUGGAGCCGAAUGGGGAAUUAGCUCUAGACACCCCCAGGCACUGGGCGAUAUUCAGUCCUGGGAGCUCUAGUCCUUACCACGUUGAAUCCCCUGCAAGCUGAAUCCCCUGCAAGCUGGAACAGGAGACACAGGAGUAAAUCUUCUUUCCCUCCAAUAACAGGACGACACACAAUUUUGGAGUGUAAGCAGGAAUAGAUUUUAAUGGUGCCACACUUGGCCUUAUAUGACAGUCCCCAUGCAAGGGGUACGCCCACAUGGAACUUGUUGGGGACAGGGACACAAACUUACAAACCAAUAAUAACACAUUUACAAUGUAAGGCACUCCCAAACAUGGCAUACAAUCCUUUCCCUCUGCCUGGGAGAUAAUUGAGUCAGAUACUGUAUUAACCCAAUUAUCGCCAGGCAGAAAAAACACACAUUUCUAAAAAGCCCCAAAAGUACCCCAAAGCACAUGAUAUCCCCACAAAUGUUACAUCCCCUAAUAGCCCUGAUCUGGAUGACCAACAUAUCCAAAAAUCACCCAGAUCAGUUCAGNNNNNNNNNNNNNNNNNNNNNNNNNNNNNNNNNNNNNNNNNNNNNNNNNNNNNNNNNNNNNNNNNNNNNNNNNNNNNNNNNNNNNNNNNNNNNNNNNNNNGGGUUCAGAAAUUCAAUGGAAGUCAUUUAUUUGACCGACCGCAGGCAAGGUCCCAUGCCCAAAACAGUUCCAGAGAAUCAGGGCUUGUGGCCGGUCUAGUUCGGUAGUUUUAAAAUGAACAAACUACCGAACAGAGUCAAUAGCUCUAAACUACUUUCAAUUACUUCCUCCCUCGGACUAUUGCAGUGGGCUAACUCUCCCACCCAUGUAGCUGGCAAUACCCUCGACCUUAUUUUCUCUUAUUCAUGUAUAGUAUCUAAUAUCUGCAACACUCCAUUUCCUCUCUCUGAUCAUUUUACCCCCUCACCCAACAACCUCAGCCUAACCCCCUCUCAACUCAGGAGGAACCUUAACUCUAUUGACCUCCAGCAACUGUCAGCUGACAUUGAUUCACAACUGCUAUCCAUCCCAUCCCUCUCCUGUCCCUCACUGGCCAUCUCCACAUAUAACACUACCCUCACAUAAAACCAUAAAAUGCACAACCUAAAAAUACAAAGGGAGACCAAUAGUGCAGACAAAAAUAACUAAAUAUUAAAAAAUUAAAAACUAUAAAACACUCACAAACAUAGAAGUAAAAAGGCAGGGUAUAGCCAAAUUUCUUCAAAUGCUUCUUCUUCUUCUUCUUCUUGUGUAUGAAGAUGAAUACUUAAAACAGAGCACAGAAGAAAAACAUAGUGUAUAACUGUAUGGUAUUAGAAAAUUUGCUUUAUUGGAUACACUUACAAGAUAAAAGAAGUAAAAGGGCUCAUCAAUUUGAAUCACAUCCACUGUCUGCCAUCCCAAAUAAAUACAACGCCAGAGGAUGAGGACAAAGUAAAUACAAAGAGUCCAGAAUUAAAAAAUUGAAUUGUAAAAAUAAAGCUUGCCACCCUACGCGUUUCGUCUACAAGACGUCGUCAGGGGCUUGUGGCACAAAUAUACCAUACAUCUACAACACUACCCUCACCUCUGCCUUGAACGCUGCAGCCCCGCUCUAAACAUGCACCUCGAGGAGGACACAACCCCAACCAUGGCAUACUAAAUCAACAUGCUAUCUGCAGAGUUGCUCCCGUUGUGCUGAAUGCUCCUGGAGGAAGUCCCGUACCCAGGCAGACUUUCUCCAUUAUAGAUUCAUGUUGCGUUCAUACAGUGCAGACCUUGCCCUCACCAAACAGUCAUAAUUUUCCUUUCUCAUUAGUUCAUGCUCCAGCAAUCCCAGACGUCUCUUUGACACCUUUAACUCACUUCUGCGCCCUGCUGCGGCCACCCCUCAAACUAACCUUACAGCUGAUAGCUUUGCAUGCUACUUUACUAACAAGAUUGAACAGCUAAGGAAACAAUUCUCCCCUCCUUGCCGUUCUCUUUCUCAACCACACAUAAAUCAUACCUUCCCUACCCUUCAGACUUUCUCCCCGGCUACUGAACAAGAGGUGGAUGCGCUUCUCCAUUCCUCUCGCCCUACCACUUGCCCGCUCGAUCUCUUUCCCCUUGUCUUGUGCCUACCCGAACACACAUCUUUAACUGCUCUCUCUCUUCUGGCACUGUUCCUGCUGACCUUAAACAUGCCACUGUAGUACCUAUCCUGAAAAAAACAUCUCUUGACCCAUCCUUCCCCUCUAACUAUCGUUCACUAUCCCUGCUCCCUUUCUCAUCAAAGCUUUUGGAAAGACUUGUCUUUACCCGUGUGUCUCGCUUCCUCAAUUCCAACUCUCUCAUUGACCCUCUUCAGUCUGGCUUCCACCCUCUCCACUCUACUGAGACUGCUCUCAUCAAAGUCACUAAUGACCUAAUCGCAGCUAAAUCCAAAGGUCACUACUUCAUAUUAAUUCUUCUUGACCUCGCUGCUGCCUUUGAAACCGUUNNNNNNNNNNNNNNNNNNNNNNNNNNNNNNNNNNNNNNNNNNNNNNNNNNNNNNNNNNNNNNNNNNNNNNNNNNNNNNNNNNNNNNNNNNNNNNNNNNNNUGUAGGGCUCCCAAACUCAGGCUCUGCAAAAGACUCCCAUAACAAGCCAGGACCAUCAAACUCCUCUCCCUCUGGCUUGUCAUGCUCGGCUGUCCAGGGCAGGUACUGUGCUCCAUACCACCAGAGCACCUGGUAGGCAUCUUCAAGCCAAAUCUCCUGCCAUACUCGGAGCGCCAAUUCCUUCACCCAUUCAUCCAAGGGCUGCUCUCCCAGAAAGGGCAUCCGCAGGGCUACUCGCUUCUGCAGUCGCUGGUCUUCCUUGGGGAGUCUCUCGCCCCGCUGGUACUCCACAAUGCCCAGUGCCUGGUACCAGAUGCCUUUGCGCAGCGCAUCUCGGUCAUCCAUGACACCCUCAUGGUACUCCACUGCUGGUUCCAUCUCGGUGCUGUCAGGGUCGCUGUACUGGGACAUGCGUUGCCCUUAAAUUGUAAAAUCCACGGAAUGGUGUCGUCUGUAGCUGUCCUUUUGUCUGUGGUAACGAUCCCGCCGCUUGCCACCAAUUGUAACGGACCGUUUUGCACACAAGGGGUUAAAACCGUUUAGGCGAUCGUCCCCUUUCAGAGAUGCAGGCACAGCUACCGUAGAAAACCAAACUCACGAACCGCAUGUAAGGGAAUGCUCCAAACUCCCGAACGGCAUACGAUAUAACACUCCAAACUCACGAACUGGAACCAUACGAAUAGCUGCUAGCAGAUGAAAAGGAAAAGCACCCAAGCGGCUUGCACUCCUAGCAAUCAGUCUCUAUCAGCAUUCAGUAAAUCCCCCCAAAGACGAGACAAGGCAGUGUUCUGUUUAAUGAGGGCUACCUGCCCAGUAUUUAUGCAGGUCUCCCACCUGGUGGACACUCCCUUAGUGGACCAAAUGGGAGACUGUGACAAAAGAUAGACAAGUAGACAAAUAGGACACACAGUCACAUUAUAUUCCCACAAUGCAUCCUGGCUUCCUCCCCUCUGCCUUGGAGAUAAUUGAGAAGUAAUUAAAUUAUCUCCCAAGACAAAGGCAAAUCGCCAUUAUGCACGUGGGGAUACUAAAACAAGAAUUACUGUUAAAAUACACUAUGUAAGACACAUUACAAUAAAACUAUACAUUUAACAUGUCCCCAGAUAGCUCAGGUCUGAGCGCACACUAUUAAGCGAAUGGCGCUCAGACCACACGAAUACAGUUUAAUCGCCAUGGAGCCAAAGUCUUUACACAGUCAGUUCUCAUGCGAAUGGGCUCCAUGGGAUUCCUAUCUGGGGUAUAACAUUUCAAGUAAAACUACCGAACACCGGGCCGUUCGUGCCCUUUCACCAAACAAGAAGGGGAGGUCGGCGGCUUCAGCGAUGUUCGGCAAAACUGUGUCCGACUUUAGUUCCAUGAAUUAAGCGUCAAACACCGCUGUGCGUUCUCAUGUAUAAAAUGGCCACGACCUCGUGUUCGUGAUACGAAUGGCGGCCACCCUGCAUUUGUCAAUUAAGCAGCGGUUAACCGCAGCUUCAGGGAGGCUAAUUGCCGGCACACUCCAGCUCUCAGGUGGUCCAGUCAUUCGUGCGGUUGUUCGGUAGACUGAAUCUACGGAACACCAGGCAGAAAAUCACGAAUAAGUCUUUUCUGCAGGGAAAAAAGAUGUCUUUUAACAUGGGGCCAUAGUCCAAAGGCAGCAGGCGAGCAACCAGGCUUCUCCAAGGCAAUGUGGCGAGAUUGAUCUCGUCACAAUCACAAAUAACUGUUAGUGAGAAAGCUAGUCAUGUGCUCCUCGUUCAGGAGUUGGUUUUCACCAAACGCCGCCUCCUUCGGAUGACUUGGAACCAACAUAGGUGAUCCUGGAAGUCUCAGCGGUGUUCGGGUCGUUAAGUGUCCAAAAAUAGUUCCAUGCACUUGAUGACCAAACACCGCUGGAGGUGUUCGACGAAACAAGAUGGCCGCCGCCUCGUGUUCGUACAUACGAAUGACGGCCUCUCAGUGACCCACUUAGAACAUUUAAGUGUUGUGGUUAAAGCAAGCGUUAGUAAGGUCAAGUGGGUCAAUUAGCGGCAUAUGACUGCUCUGGGUGAUCCAAGUGUUUGGUAUAUUAUUCGGUAUACUAACCAGCUGGGCAAUUAUGUUCAGUUAGAUUCAUAUACCGAUCCAGGCAAAGCAAAAUUAAACUCCAGGAACAAGGUAUCUGUUACAAGUGCAAUUUAGAAAUAUUUAAUCUUUACAACAAUUAAAUGUGAGCAUUAAAUCAUUUCAACAAAUGUGUAAAUAGUGCUAGAAAUAUACACUAAUAAAUGAAAGCGUGUAUUAUAAGGAAUGUUUAUUAUCCAUAGCUAUUAUCGUGUUCACAGUACUAAUAAAGGUCACUUUUAUUGCUCUCACCCAUUGGAGGGAGUAGAAAUGAUUAUUGGGAUUGCUGCUUCCAGAGAAGGAACAUGUGAGUCUCUCAUUCUCUGAGCACGGCCUUGUUGUAAGUCUUUAAAUGCAAAUUCAAAUAAGAAAUAACUGGUAUCUGAACGGUGGCCAGACCAGCAAAGCCACUAUAUUGCUGUAUACUGUGUGCUUUAUUUCUCAUCCUGUGAUAAAACAAGCUAGCGAAGAACUUUAUAAUCAUGUCUUAAUGAUGACUGCCGCUAAAUGUACCCAGAACUCAGAAAGUGUUAUUACAGUGUAACUAUGUCCUACCAACACGGGGUUUAGUCCUUCACCAGCUGAGAUAUCAAACAAUUAAAAUAUUUACCUUUUAAACAACAAUAAUCCUUUGCCAUGUUGAGGAGGGCACCACAUCCAUUAAUACACCAAUACACAAAUACCGCAGAAGCAGAUCAUACAUUAUAUAUCAGCUGUAUGUGCUAAUUCCCACCAUUAUUCCAAAAGGGAAAGUGGAAACGUGUCUAAAAAUGUCCAUUGUACAUAUUAGUCUUUCCUAACGCUGAUAAGAUAGCGGGCGCUUUCAUCAGCUGUGGGCAUCACGUCGUUGUGCAGCCUUCUGUGUAGUGACGUGAGAUACACACAGUAACAAGGGCAUUACUAGAGGGAAUGGAAGAGUAUUAGGACAUCUUGUAUGACACGAAUGCUGAGAUCNNNNNNNNNNNNNNNNNNNNNNNNNNNNNNNNNNNNNNNNNNNNNNNNNNNNNNNNNNNNNNNNNNNNNNNNNNNNNNNNNNNNNNNNNNNNNNNNNNNNGAUCACGCUCUCCUCCUUCAAACUCUUCAAUCGCUCGGUUUCUAUGACUUUGUCCUCUCUUGGUUUUCCUCCUAUCUCUCCCAACGCUCAUUCAGUGUCUCCUUUUCCAAGCAUACCUCCUCCCCUCGUCCUGUCUUGGUUGGAGUUCCCCAUGGCUCUGUCCUUGGUCCCCUUCUAUUUUCUAUUUAUACUGCCUCUCUUGGCAAGCUUAUUGCCUCUUUUGGAUUCAACUACCAACUGUACGCUGAUGACACUCCCCGGACCUCUCCCCUGCCGUCCUGCAACGUGUCACUGCUUGCCUUUCUUCCAUCUCUGACUGGAUGUCCUCACACUUUCUGAAACUCAAUCUCUCUAAAACUGAACUCCUUGUCUUUCCUCCUCCUUAUACUGUUACUCCUCUCUCACUCUCCCUUCAAGUCAGUGAUAUCCACAUAAGUCCAUCCUUGCAAGCACGUUGUCUUGGCGUCAUACUUGACUCUGGCCUCACCUUUGAGCCUCACAUCCAGUUUGUUGCCAAAUCCUGUAGGUUCCAAUUCAAAAACAUAGCCCGCACCUGCCCCUUUCUUACGCAAGAUGCUACCAAAGAGCUUGUCCAUGCUCUAGUAAUUUCUCGCAUGGAUUACUGUAACCCUCUCCUGAUUGGUCUCCCCAAAAGCCGUAUUGCCCCACUACAGUUUGUAAUGAAUGCUGCAGCUAGACUGAAUUUCCUCUCUAGUCGGUCCUCUCACACAUUACCCCUCUGCCAGUCCUUACAUUGGCUCCCUGUAUCCUAUAGGAGUCAUUUCAAAGUGCUAACCCAUACAUUUAAAGCACUGAACAAUUCUAGCCCCUCUUAUAUCUCCUCAAUGAUCCAAAUCUGUUGGUGCUAUAUAAAUGGCAAUAAUAAUAAUAAUAAUAGUCUUACCCUGGAGCUUGUUCCCCUCAUCCAGAUUAAUGAUUUUACCGAACAGUGCCCUUCUAAGUUGUAUAGAAACAAACGCAGGCGAUGAUGGAAGUCCAGCGAUGUUCGGGAGUUUCUGUAUACAAUUUUAGUUCCAUGAGAUUCAUGCCCAAACACCACUGCCUGCGUUCAUGCGAAUAAUAUGGCCGCCACCUUGUGGUUGUCCAUAGGAAUUGAGGCCACCCAGACGAACAAUUGGAACACUGCCGUGAGAAACGUUUCAAGUUGUUAAUAGGUGUUAACAAGCUCCAGGGUGGUCUCUGGUUUGUGUGAUUGUUUGGUAAACGAACCAUAUAAUCCCAAUUGCACGAACAGAGACUUUUACAUUAUUUUUCACAGGGUCCAUAGUUUGUGGGCAGGAGGCUGGCAAGCAGGCUCCUCCAGGAGCUCGUGGCAAACUCAGUUAAAAGGGGGAGUUUGUCACAGCGUGUCCUUCAUGGAGGGCUCUAUGGGAGGACCAUGGUUUGAGUCAAAAAGAAAUUUGCACAUCAAUUGUUUGGAGCUGAUUGCAGGCUCUUUUGCAAUACACAGCCUCACACAACAUAAGAUGAAUUGUUGCAUUCUAUUAUUGAUGGACAAAAUCUCGGCAAUCUGAUAUUUGAAUCACCUAGGGGAGCGCGAGAUCCUGUUUACUGUUGGAAAUCACAAAAGUCAUAUACUAAUUUUGCUUCCAACACAUUUCCUUGAAAGAAGAAUAAGUACCUCCCAGGCUUGUCCAAGCUGUCAGAAGAUUGGUUCACCAGGUUUUGGAGGGACAUUAGAGACUGGAUGUUUGACAAGUCCGUGUUCACAAUCCUUCAAUCCUUCAUUCCAUGAAGGGAACUUGUAGUGGAUCCUGGAUCCUGAGUGUACAGUGAUGGAUGCCUUCCUCCAAAUGUGGCCAAAUCAAUAAUUGGUUGGUCAUUGGAAAGCAAUAUUGAUCCAUUUACAGCUCCUCUACAAUUCUUUAAAAUUUUCUGUCUUCCCUUUUUGCUUCGGGUAAAAAUAUUGCUCUAUUAAUCUCAUGCAUUCAUGAAUCUUGGAGGUUCACAUCCUGAUUUCGGGUACAGGGUAUUCUUCUGUCAUGCCCUCCGCAAAUAUUCCCAAUUAUGGAAUGUGAACCUUGUCCUACAAUUCUGGAGAAAUUGACCUGACAACAAUUUCCUCUCCUUACGCCAGCUAUCGAAAAAAUGUACUCCUACUUUGUUUAGUUUCUUUUUGUUGGGUCUCGUAUGUUUGAGCAUUCUACAUUGAUGCUUUUUCUUUUUCUCUGGAUAAAUUUACCUUUCAGAUUUUGUGACACAAAAUCUGAUUAAUUGUCGGUGUUUNNNNNNNNNNNNNNNNNNNNNNNNNNNNNNNNNNNNNNNNNNNNNNNNNNNNNNNNNNNNNNNNNNNNNNNNNNNNNNNNNNNNNNNNNNNNNNNNNNNNUAUCCUCUCUUUUGAGAGGAACCCAAACUUUCUGUGGUUUCUACCCUCGCUACUUAUGUUUCAGUUACAGCAUCUCUACGUUAUUACCCCUCUGGUCAAAUACUAAUUUCUUAUGCAAACCAUAUAAUGCUUUCAGUUACAACAUUAGCCCGCUGGAGCCAGUGGCUCUAAACCGGUGCCCGGAGAAGACUCUUCUUUCAGAGCUUAUCUGGAUCGUGGAGCGUCCGUGCUUUUUUGUCAUCUUUUAUCUUGGUUACUUCACUGUCUGACAUUCUUCGGUUUGCAAGAUCUCGGACCUUUUAUUUUUGUCAGUCUGCUCACAUUUCUCGUUUCAAUAAGCAAAAUCUAUAAUUAUAGAUUAAGCUCAAAUUAAUGUACCAAUAAUCCUAAUUUUAGUAAUGUUAGGAGGAGAAUAUGUUCCCUUCUGUUCCACUCCCUUUUCGAGAGGUAGACAUUUUCUUGCAUAUUUGAUAAUAUUUUUAUUGUUUCACAAUGUGUUAUGUAUCAUUAACUAUUUAUGCUGCUGAUAUAUGUCGAACCGCAGAUAUAGGCGCUCACUAUAAAUAAGAAUAGGCUGCAAUAGAUCAGCAAGGAUUCCCCCACCUUGCGUAAUAUACAAAUAGGGAAAAAAACAGGUNNNNNNNNNNNNNNNNNNNNNNNNNNNNNNNNNNNNNNNNNNNNNNNNNNNNNNNNNNNNNNNNNNNNNNNNNNNNNNNNNNNNNNNNNNNNNNNNNNNNGAUCUAUUGCACCAGGAACAGCCACACAAAUAAAACUGAUAUUCAAAACAACCUUAUAGCGCAGAUUAUUUGUAUAUAGGUAUAUGCGUACACUUAUUCACAACCACAGAUUGUUAAUUCCAGAUUGUACAAAAUCUUUAAAAUAAAAAACAGCCUUUACAAGCCCUUACAAGCCCUUACAAGCCCUUUCCCUUCUCAAUCACAGACUUCCCAAUGUGGCUCAAUGAGGAGUCUUUGCAAGGUGCUCUGGGCAGUUGUUGCCUCUUGCCUUAAUCUCCACUAGAGAUGUCGCGAACCGUUCGCGAACGUCUCUAAUCUCCACUGAGCUACCCAAACCAGGAAGUAAAAGGGUAACAGGACCGGUGGUCUGAUUGACAAAUUCAUAAAAGUAUCAAUUUCUGCUGAAAUCUACACUAUUUUCAAAAUGAAUAAAGAGGACACACUGUUCACAGAUAAAACUUUUCAGGGAGCUAUAGAGCUAAACAAUUAAUUGGAAAUUGGAAAAGCACAUUUAACCCCAGGCUAUUAAUCUGAAGAGUUUUCCAGACACCACUUAAUGAGUAAGUACAAAUUGUGUUAAACUCUCCGAAACUCCAAAGUAAGGGCUUUUCGAGAAUUCAACGUGGUGCUAGGGUUAUUAAGAGCUUCCCAGGCGGGAAGAUAAAAGAUUUUACAACAGAGGGAUUGGCUGACUGCAUCCAGCCAUUCACCAUUUAAUGUCGUUACCUAUGAGAUCCACACUGAACUAGCUCACCAUCGGACAAUGACGUUAUUAGUAUAAAAUGUUUAUUUUAGAAAUAUUUGUCUGUUUUUACUAUCUUAAAUUGAGCAGUAACUGGUCGAACACAAUGAUGAAGAACCUGGCUGAGUUUUUGGUUUCAGUUAGAUAAAUUGUUAAUAUAUUUUCUUUGCUCUCCUUGUUGUCAAUAACCUCUCCAUGACACCAUCGCGUCCACUUCCCGGGUUACUCUCAUUCAAAAACACAUUCUAUCCCUCUGUCAAUAUACACAAUAUCAGGAAAAUCUUUCUCAACCCUCUCCCUGCCANNNNNNNNNNNNNNNNNNNNNNNNNNNNNNNNNNNNNNNNNNNNNNNNNNNNNNNNNNNNNNNNNNNNNNNNNNNNNNNNNNNNNNNNNNNNNNNNNNNNGGGCCAUAAUCCAAAGGCAGCAGGUGAGCAACCAGGCUUCUCCAAUGCAAUGUGGCGAGAUUGCUCUCGUCACAUACAUCUAGACCGAUUCUUUGAGUUGGAACACUCUUUGAGUGAGGAACUGUAUCAAAUGCCUUGACAAAAUCCAAAUAGAUCACAUGCACUGCAACACCCUGAUCUAUGCUUCUACUUACUUCUUCGUAGAACGCAAUCAAGUUAGUUUGACAUGACCUGUGCUUCAUAAAACCAUGCUGAUUUUUGCUGAUAACCACGUUCUUCACAAGGAAUUCUUGAAUAGUAUCCCUUAAUAACCUUUCAAAUAUUUUCCCAGCCAGAAAAGUUAAGCUCACAGGUCUAUAAUUUCCAGGCAAGGAUUUGGAACCCUUUUUUGAAUAUAGGAACCACAUCUGCCUUCCUUCCAAUCCUCCGGAACACUUCCUGAAAGAAAAGAAUCUUGAAAGAUUAAAAACAGAGGUUCACUUAUUUCUACACUUAGUUCCUUAAGUACUAGUCUCUUCCGAGAUCCCUCAUACCAGAUCACAGAUACUUUUCUCCCCAGAUCCCUCAUACCAGAUCACAGAUACGUCUCUCCCCAGAUCCCUCAUAGCGGAUCACAGAGAUAUCCCUCCCCAGAUGCCUCAUACCAGAUCAUAGAAACUUCUCUCCCCACAUCCCUCAUAGUGGAUCACAGAGAUUUCUCUCCCCAGAUUCCUCAUACCGGAUCACAGAGAUCUCCCUCCCAAGAUCCUUCAUACUGUAUCACAGAGAUCUCUCUCUCCUCAGGUCCCUCAUACCAGAUCACAGAGAUCUCUAUUCCAGAUCCCUCAUUCUGGAUCACAGUGUUCUAUCUCCCAGAUCUCUCAGACAAGAUUACAUAGCCGGCAAGAUCUUGGGCACACUUUAAAGAGGCUAACAAGGCAUGUGCCAGGGUGCUUGGGAGCGGUGUGAUAGUGAUGCCCAAGGCAAAUGCCCUGUUAGGCUUGUGGAAGAUAAAACCCUGACUGAAUCACAGAGAUCUCUCUCCCCAGAUACCGUAUACCGGAUCACAGAGAUCUCUCUACCCAGAUCUCUCAUACCAGAUCACAGAUAUCUCUCUCCCUAGAUACCUCAUACCAGAUCACAGAGAUCUCUCUCCCAAGAUCCCUCAUACCCGAUCACAAAGAUCUCACUACCCAUACCCCCCAUACCAGAUCAAAGAGAUAUCUAUCCUCAGUUCCAUCACACGGGAUCACAGAGAUUUCUCUCCCCAGAUCCCUGAUACUGGAUCACAUAGAUCUCUCUCCAGAUCCCUCAUACCGGAUCACAGAGAUAUCUCUCCCCACAUCCCCGAUACAGGAUCACAGAGAUCACUCUCCCUAGAUCCCCCAUACCGGAUCACAUAGAUCUCUCUCCCAGGAUCUUUCAGGUCAAAUUACAGAGAUCUCUCCCCCAGAUCUCUCUGACCAAAUUACAGAGGUCUCUCUCCCCAGAUCCCUCAUAACGGAUCACAUCGAUCUUUCUCCCCAGACCCCACAUACUGGAUCACAGAGAUCUCUCUCCCCAGAUCCCUCAUACUGGAUCACAUAGAUCUCUCUCCCCAGAUCCCUCAUACUGGAUCACAGAGAUCUCUCUCCCCAGAUCCAUCAUACUGGAUCACAGAGAUCUCUCUCUCCAGAUCCCUCACAGAGAUAUCUCUCCCCACAUCCACCAUACUGGAUCACAGAGAUCUCUCUCCGUAAAUCCCCUUUCAGACCAGAUUACAGAGGUCUCCCCAGAUCCCUCAUACCGGAUCACAGAGAUCUCUCUCCCCAGAUACCUCAUACUGGAUCACAGAGAUUUUUCUCCCCAGAUCCCUCAUACCGGAUCACAGAGAUCUCUCUCCCCAGAUCCCUCAUACCGGAUCAAAGAGAUCUCUCUCCCCAGAUCCCUCAUACCGGAUCACAUAUAUCUCUCUUCCCAGAUCUCUCAGACCGGAUCACAUAGAUGUCUCUCCAGAGAUAACUUAUACCGGAUCACAGAGAUCUCUCUCCCCAGAUCUCUCAGACUGAAUCACAGAUAUCUCUCUCCCCAGAUCCCUCAUACUGGAUCACAGAGAUCUCUCUCCCCAGAUCCUUCAUACUGGAUCAAAGAGAUCUCUCUCCCCAGAUCCCUCAUACCGGAUCACAUAUAUCUCUCUUCCCAGAUCUCUCAGACCGAAUCACAGAGAUCUCUCUCCCCAGAUGCCUUAUAUCGGAUCACAGAGAUCUCUCUCCCCAGAUACCUUAUACUGGAUCACAGAGAUCGCUCUCCCCAGAUCUCUCAGACUGCAUCACAGAGAUCUGUUGCACCGAUCACCACGUAGCGCCCACCCGAGACCUUGCGCUUAGUUAAGGUUGUAACCAUCAGGUCCUGUUUUUGUAUAUUGCUUUAUGUAUUUAUCUGGCUUAUCUGCUUUUCCUGACGCAGAGACCUAUGUUUUACACGUAAAGUCGGACAGUUUCCAUGGGAUUAUGCUAAAGGCCAGCUUUCUACUCAUAUGCAGACAACCUUUGCGUGGUAUUUUAUCCUCUGUACUUUUCCAAGCAAUUCUACACUCGGCCGCCUCAGGGUAAUCGGCUUAUUUCAGUAUUUAUGCAGCUUGCCUCCCUCGAAUCUAAAGAGUUAACGUUAGUGAAAUGAAGGAGUUAACAGGCUCAGUGCAGCCAUUACUAAUACAGAGGAUUGAAUGGAGGUGAGCUUGUGACCUGGGCUUCAGGCAUGAACUGGGCCAAGGAAGACAGAAACCGUGAGAGCGAGUGAGUGCGGCAGGAGGGGGAGAGAAUCACGUGCUUGAGAAAAGUCCAAAGCUAGAUUCCCGACUCAUGUUAAUCAUACGUAUUAUCUGAGGUCAAUGCACUACCUGCAGAGCGGCACGUCUGAAUGUGUGAGGGACAAGGGGAGGGGGCAGCUGGCACAGCGGCUGGAAGGAGAGAAGGAGGAGAGAAAGAAUGAGAAAAGAUAUGGAAUCAGUAACUAGCUCAGUUCUGGACCAAAGAGCAGAGAGAAGAGCAAUGGCUGCGGAAACCAAUGAAAUGUUCCUGCGGUUUGCCCUUUAGAAUUGCCCUUUAUAAAGAUGCCCCCAAUGUAGCAUGAGGAGACAGAGGGCAGGAGGAGACAGAGGACAUUAGAAGAGACAGAGCGUGUUAGGAGAAACAGUGGGCAGGAAGAGACCGAGAACAUUAUGAGAGACAGAGGGCAUUAUGAGAGACAGAGAGCGUUAGGAGAGACAGAGGGCAUGAGGAGACAGAGAUUGUUAGAAGAGACAGAGAGUGUUAGGAGAGACAGAGGGCAUGAGGUGACAGAGAACAUUAGGAGACAGAGCAUGUUAGGAGAGGCAGAGGGCAAGAUGAGACAAUGAGGAUGAAGAGACAGAGGGCAUUAGGAGAAACAGAGCGUUAGGCGAGACAGAGGACAGGAGGACAUAGAGAGUGUUAUUAGUGAGUGUUAGGAGAGACAGAGGGCAGGAGGAGACAGAGUGUUAGCAGAGACAGAUCAGGAGGAGACAGGACAGUUGGAGAGACAGAGGGCAGGAGGAGAUGGAGAGCGUUAGGAGAGACAGAUAAGGAGGAGACAGAGGGCGUUAGGAGAGACAGAGGGCAGGAGGAGACAGAGGGUGUUAGGAGAGAGAGGGCAGGAGGAGACAUAGGGCAUUAGGAGAGAGCGGGCAGGAGGAGACAGAGGGCGUUAGAAGAGAGAGAGGGCAGGAGGAGACAGAGGGUGUUAGGGAGAGAGAGGGCAGGAGGAGACAGCCGGUGUUAGGAGAGAGGGCAGGAGGAAACAGAGGGUUAGGGAGAGAGAGGGCAGGAGGAGACAGAGGGCAUUAGGGAGAGAGAGAGGGCAGGAGGAGACAGAGGGUGUUAUUAGAGAGAGANNNNNNNNNNNNNNNNNNNNNNNNNNNNNNNNNNNNNNNNNNNNNNNNNNNNNNNNNNNNNNNNNNNNNNNNNNNNNNNNNNNNNNNNNNNNNNNNNNNNACCCCCUCUCUCAUUCAAAAUUACCUGUACUAUAGCUACACAUUUAAAUGUGUCAAAAUUAAAUAGGGGGGCAAUUAUUGCAGUGCACAGGUACUGAAUGUGAUAAUAUUUCUGUUCUCUUGGAACCUAACUUUCUCUUUCCUUCCAGUUCUCCCAACAUACUGCAUCCCACAUCCACAAGUGAGGAGAUACACCACGUAAGAGGAGGAACAGGAUACCUUACUCUUAAUCUUAAAUUUUACUUGAGUUUGUGUACUAACAAAAUCUUUUAUAACAUUAAAUUGAUGACCACAACUCUUACAGUUCCCACAGGUAUAAAAACCUCCCAUACAUCUAGUCAGAUCCUUUUCUGAUCUAAAAGUACUGGGUGCAAGGAUCUGCUCCAAAUUAGUCCCUUUUCUGAAGAUAAUUUUCGGAGCCUGAGGGAUGUUAUUGACAUGCCUUGUGAUUGUGAGUGUAAUCAUUUACCUCUAUAAUUCCUAUUGUACUACGUUACUGCUCUAUGUCCGUCUCUAUUAUUUUUGUGUUGUAGAUUGCCUUUUUGGUAGUAUAUUAAUGUCUAUGAAUUAAAACUAAUGAGUCAGAUUGGCUAAAAGUAUGAAUAGCUGUCUAGUAAAGAUUCCAAUACAUGUGACACGUAAUAGCUGCCCUGAUGGUAAAAAGUCGAAUGAAGAUGUUUCUUGGAAUUGGGAAUAAUAUUGAAAUGCACCUUGCUUCACUCAUGCACUAUAUAGGCACAAUUGAUAUGAGGCAAAAUGGACAUUACGGGGCCAAACAAACAGCCCAGGUAGAUGUUUACCAAUCCCUGCAGCUAUUAGUCAAUGAGAAAUAAGUCUGGGCUCAGAGUGCUCUAAGCACCAUGCUCUAUUACAAAGUGAUUACGGUGCUUAGUCUGACCCUGUAAAGCAUGGUUUAUAAAUGUACACUUCAUACGUAAAUUGGAAGGGUACUAUCUCAAUGACAUGACAGUACAUUAUUAACUAUACAGCUCUAUGGAUGGAAGAUUUGAGAAACGCAAUGGUUAAGUACGAGAAACAAUCAAACAUUUAGUCUCUCAAGUACAUCUCCAGUCGUUCUCAUUAUCUCUCACUACUCCAUCGUCGUCCUCUGAUCCCAACUCAUUGUUUCCAUUCCCUCCAUUGUAUAACUUGCUUGGUUUAUGUUCUUAUUCUGAUCAAUAUGUUAUUAUCGUGUGGCAAUACUGACGUUCUUCAUCUCAAUACGCGCUGUGUCAGGCAGGAUGAGAUGGGUAAAGUCAGAAAACUACAAAGCUUUAUCCGAAAUAAGUUCUCAGUGACAUGUCCUAGUUUUUCUCUGGGGAAUGAGUUCAAACAACUCCGUACAAUUACAGGUUUUGGAUCUUCCAUAUAAUUACUGCAUAUUGUGGAAAAACACAGUGACUUUGUAUCUCAUAGACCUCUGAUUGUGUCGCUGUCCUCACACCUAACCUCUCUUUGGAAUUGAUGACGCAUCUCUGUAGACGCUUGUCUUCGCACAUGCAACUAUGACGUGUGCAUGUGUGUUAUUGGGAGCUAAAUCAAAGAAAACAAAUAUUUAUGUAAUAGGUAUGUAAUAGGUUGUUCUCCAUGUCAAUCCAAGACAAAUUAAAUCAGCUUGGUUUCUCUGUAACUAAACAUUUCCCCAAAUCCAACAAUCUGCCUCUGCAUUAUGUAGGUGGUUUUGAUUUACCUGCUUAUAGGUCGGUUCUCCUGCUUCGGAUUAAAGACUCAAGGUUUCGACAGUGUUUUCCAAAAUAUAACAAAAUUAUGUAUUUUUAUGUGGGUUGAAAAGCUUGAUAAAAAGAUGUACAAGAGCAGAACUACAAAAGACAAGGUCAACUCAGGUUUUCAUUCAUCCAAGGCCAACUAAAUGAGUGCCAUUAAGUUGGGUAAUAGCUUUAAGACACCUUAGAAAAAAAUAGAAAUUAACGCUUCCACGUUAUUUAUGAUAUGGCAAGAUAAGGGUUCCCAGCUUUGGAUCCAGACCCGAACUGGUCUGGACCCGGUCCGUCUCUUCUUCACAGUCAACAGCCAAGCACUGGACGAAGGAUAAAUAUUUCUCCCAAUCUCGCUCCCAAAUAUCCUGGGAAGAUAAAUAUCUCUUCCAACCUCGCUCUGAAACAUCCUGGGAGGAUAAAUAUUUCUCCCAAUAUCGUUCCCAAACAUACUGGAAGGAUAAAUAUCUCUUCCAACCUCGCUCCCAAACACUAGACAAGUAUUAGUGAGGGAAUGAGACAGUUAAUUUAUUGAGGAAAAAACAGUGCAGAGCACAAUGUUUGAAUAACUGGGAGGGAGACUGUGGGCCUUAUUGUAAACUUAAAGGAACAUUGUAGUAUAGUGGUUACGGUGUCCACAGUGCCCUUGGGGCAGCCCAAUGUAAGUCGUCAGACCAAUCUAGCACAGUUGGAUAUUUUCCCUGUUCCUGGACAUUAUUUUUAUUAAUUUCACCUAGAUCGGUAUACAAACUCAACCGAACAGAUUUUGUCCCAGCUGGUUCAUAUACCGAAUGUUCUACCAAACCCUUGGGCCACCCAAAGCAGUCGUGUGCCACCAAUUGACCUUAUUGACAAUUGCCCUAGCCGCAACUCUGAACGUUCUAAGUGGUUCACUGGGUGGCCAUCGAUUCGUAUGCACGAACACCUGGCGGCAGCUGUAGCGGAGAUACAAUAUUCCACAGAUUAUCUCCGCUUAAGAUCCCAGUGAGGCUCAGGAACAAGUAAUUAUAAAUCCACAAAGCAAGGUUUCCAGCAGGUAAAAUAAUCCAACAGUAUCCCAAUAGCAAUCCCAAUAACUGGACGACACACAGCAUCAGGAGCAGAACUGAAAACCUUUUUUUCACAGUGGCCUUAUAAAGCAUGCUCCCAUGCAAGUAUCCAAUCCUGUUCCGGUAACCUCCCAGACAUCCCCUCCCCUCAGACUGCAUCAUAAUCCCCUUAUCCAGGAUACCAAUUCCCCCCCUUUCUGGAUGUACCCCUAAACCUAGGGGUACCACUUUAAAUUAUACAUCCCCUGGUAGCCCUGAUCUGGGUGAACAACAUAUCCAAAAAUCACCCAGAUCAGACCAGGGGUUCGGGAAAUUCAUGGAGGGAAUAAAAUGACCGACCGCUGUGCUGGAAGGAAUAGCCAAAUUGGGCUUCAUGCGAUGGGGCCCUGCGGUCGGUCCUGGAAAAAGGGAAUGAAUCAUACGAAAGCCUCUAGUUAAGGAGACUGGGGAGGGUUCGCCUGAAUCCCCUCGGUCGGUUGUUUCUAUCUACCAAACGAGGUGCCAUUCGGUAGUUUGGAACCGAACGGACCGGGCUUGUGGAGGUCUCAGCGGUGUUCGCUUAGUCGAGUGUCCGAUUUGAGUUCCAGACACUCGACGGCAAAACACCGCUGUUCAGGAGUUUUCGUUUCCCGAAUGGCGGCCACCCCCAAGAAAAAAGGACUGCUACUUAGCUUGUCAAUUACCCGUUCGCAACAAUGUUGCAACGGUAAUUGAAGGCACACUUCACACAGGGGAGGUCUGACUGUCGGGUAGUUUCAAUCGAACAAACUAAGGGAAUGAAACUACCGAACAAUCAGACGAACACAAUACAUUUAACACAUAUAACUUUGCCAUUUACACGAAUGCAGUCAAAACCAAUACAAUUCCCAAGACAGCCCAGUGCCAUCCGCUACAGCAGCCAUCUUGUUUUGUCGAACGCGUCCAGCGGUGUUUGGUCGUUGAGUGUUGUGACGGACCACCUGGCACCCCGACCGGAUGCCUCCGCCAAUUGCUGCUUCCUAGGCACUGCACCGGACACCAUAAGUACCGUAGCCCUUUAGCUGACGCAGCUUGGCUGGGGUCUCGCUUUCCUCCACCCACCCACCCUUCCAGUGGGUUGACCUCUCCUCUUCCAGAGAGUAUAGCAGGUCUGGCUGUGUAUAUCUUAUAAGAGCUAGUGACUAUAGCCAGUAUAGUAAUUCAAAGAGCAAUCCCAGGAGCAGGGAUUAUAGCUGGUAUGGCCGGUAUAGCAGUUCCCUACAACAAGAGACAAGACUCUUUGUUGAGGGUGAAGUAAGACUGAAUUUUAAUGGUGCCACACUGGCCUUUUAUGACAAUCACAAUGCAAGGGGCACGCCCACAUAGACCUUGUUGGGGACUCCAACACAAAGACACAGACCAAUAAGAACAGUCAUUUAAUGCACGACACUCCUAUAACAUACAAUAACAUACAAUAAACAUACAAUCCCAAAAAACACACAUUUCUAUGAAGUCCCAAAAGUACCCCAAAACACAUUGUAUCCACUGAUAGCCCUGAUCUGGGUGACCAACAUAUCCAAAAAUCACCCAGAUUUGUUUAGGGGUUCAGAAAUUCUAUGGAAGUCAUUUAUUUGACCGACUGCAGGCAUGGUCCCAUGCCCAAAACAGUUCCAGAGAAUCAGGGCUUGCGGUCGCUCUAGUUCGGUUGUUUGAAAAUGAACAAACUACCGAAGAGAGUCAAGAGUCUUACCCUGGAGUUUGUUCCCUUCAUCCAGACGAAUGAUCCUUAUUAUGGGUGUUUUGAGUUCAUUUUCAAUUGUCUCAAACAGCCCCGNNNNNNNNNNNNNNNNNNNNNNNNNNNNNNNNNNNNNNNNNNNNNNNNNNNNNNNNNNNNNNNNNNNNNNNNNNNNNNNNNNNNNNNNNNNNNNNNNNNNCCUUACAGAUCCUCCUUAACGUAUUCUCUGCUUGAACUGUGAUUAUCUUGCUGCCUGGCACAAUAUGAAGGGUAAAUAACACAUGUUCUACUAUUUACAAAUAGCCAAAACAAUGCCGAGGGCCCCCACUCUCAGAGCUCUGACGUCCAGCCACUGCCUCCCUGCAGAAGCCAAUCAGAAGCCGGGAUCCGGGCACAGCCAGCCGAGCAGUUUCCAGUGCAGAGGAUAUGCCGAUGGAGCUGAGUCUGCCAUUGGUUGGCUGGGGUGGCAGCAUUGUCUUGGAAUGUAUAUAUCAUUGUUCUGCCUUCUCCUCCUUCUCAGGGAAUGUUGCCAAACCCAAGGGACAGUCUGAAUGGGCAGCCUGUAUUGCUCUGCCAGCUUCUCAGGAGAUGCACAAUGCCAUGGGGGAAAUAAUGUGAAUUCUCCUGCUAUCUGUUCAUACAUUCUCUCUGCUUUCAUCAGCCUUCCUGGAUGAGCCGGACAUGGAGGGCUGACCCAAACUGACAUAGCGAGGCCGCUGUUAACCUCUCGUGAGCUGGAGAGGAAGGCAACACGUCGCAGUAACUCCACAGAAUAUUAGUGAAAACUAAACAGACUGUGACCGAUAAUGGCCUCAUUCUGAGAUCUAAACUUUUGGUUCAACAGUUGUCAUGAACUUCUUCUCUCCCGAUGUAAUCAGUACAGCCAUAGCGUCAUAGUUUUGCCGGGUCUGCGCAAAUUUAAUCCUAGCCACUUUAUACACUAAUUGGGUAAUCAAAGAUUUCUGUAUUUUCAGAACUGUGUCAUUG
rnacentral:lncRNA from 1 species